GUCGUUAGCUGCGCCUGUGGUGUCACCUGAGGCAUCUGGACACCUGACCACCGGCCACUAACCCAAACUAUCAAGACUUUGCCCUUGGUACAUGUGGUUCAACCAGGAGUUAGUAAAUUCUGACUUAAUUUUAAACUUUAUUGUUAUAUUUAUCUUGUGUGUAUUUUAAAGAGCUGAAAAGAAGUGCUGUUGAGUCUUAGAGGCGUGAACGUAACUUAGCCUGGGCUCUGAAGUAGCCAGUUAGCCAAAGUCUGUGCCAACAUUUUCGGGACUCUGCUCACUCAUAUUAAAUAUUCAGCUUUAAUUUCAGUGUUACACAGCAUUUUUAUACCGAAAUGCUCGGACUUUAAGAUAGUUUUUUAUGUAGUUGCGGCCAAACUACCGCGUUUAUCCGUUUGUGUAGCACUUCCGUUGUAACGUCUCAACUCUGUCACCUCAGGAUGUGUCAUGGAGGAAAUACUCCGGUUUGAGCUGCACAUACAACUCUGAGGAGGGGUUUCUGGCUGCUGAAGGUCCUUACUUCACCGUGGAAGUUUUCCCAACACUGCAGUCUGCACAUUUUGGACCAUAAUGGCACUUUCCUCUGGGACACCAUGGACCAUUGCCUCACCUGGAUAAGCUAAGUAACUUCCGUUUAUGCUCAUUAACGUCGCUGUUUGUGUCUGGGCUGUGCUUAUUUGCUGUUUGUGAUCUGGUGUGAGGCUGCUGUAUUGCUGGCUAUUUAACAGCUUCUCAGAAAUGUUCUCCCGUUUCUUUUAAGGCUUUCUGUCAAUAUAAUUAAGCAGUUAAUUUCUGCUCUGAAUGCUGCUGCUUUUGCUAUUUGUGUGUGUUUGUUUGCAUCUGGAAUUAAUAGUUAAUGAGCUUACUUUAUGGUGGCUAAGCUCAUUGUUUAUUGGUGGUUGUUUGGCAGGUGCAUUGUGAUGCCUUCAUGUUGUUUGUUUACAUAGUGGAUAUGAGCUUAAUAAACAAAAUUAGCUUUGCAUAUUUCCCCUGGGUUUUCACCUUUGUUUCUGGUAGUCUGUUGCAGAGUGUAUUGGCCUUUUCCAUCCUGAUCGUUACACGGACAGAUCUUAACAAUAUUUUCAGGGGAUCUUGGUUUCCUGGAAACCUCCAAUGACUUUCUGUCACAUACAGCAUUCUCAUUUUAACCACACGGCUCAUAUUCAGUUAAUAUUUCACAGAAUACAACCUCAAAGCUAUGUCACACCUUGCUUUUCUGUUCUGCAUAUCAUAAUUGCAUCUAAAAUACCAGGCUGCUGCUGGUUUCCUAUUUCUGCUACAUUAAACUACACUGAUUUCCAUGUUAUGAUGGUCAUCUGCUUAUCUGGUAGCCUUACAUUUGAAAUGGGAAUUCAAAAACAGAAAAUAUGAUUUAUUAAUUAUCCUCUGCGCAGCUCAUGUUUCUAUCUUGCUGUAUAUCAGGUGGAUUUCUGGUUUUACAUUAGUACAUCUUGAUUUACUGGAUAAAUUAUUCCCCGCUAUGUGCCGAUGAUCUGCUGGAGAAAGGUCACACUGAAGGUUCCACAGAAAAGCUGUCACCAGUUGCCGUUUGCAAUAUGAUUUUAAGGUGAAAGGUUAUUUUUGUCUCUGCCUGCGCAGUUCUGGCAUGAGGUGAUGAAGUCAAAGCCCUAAGUCCCACAUCUGUAUAUUGGUAUAGAUUUAUUUAUGUCAGAUUGCAAAAAAGGCAGUGAACUAACAGUGAAUAAUGGUUGAAAAAGUAGAGGCUCCUCCACACUCAGAUGCCAUGUGACCUCUCCUACAGCAGGGGGAGGUGGAAGUCCAGUGACAGCACUCUGCAACCCAUUUCAAACCCCCCUCUUCACUGUCCAUGGAGAAAAGCCAAUCAGCUCUCCUGAUAUUAGUAUUCCUAAAUGCCUCCUAGUGUUGUUUUCACCAGCUGCUCACCAAAUAUCUGUGCUGACGUGUGUUUAGAUGGUGUCCACUUGAGUUAUCUCAAGAACAUUAGCAUGAAGACGGCUGCUUUCACAUAACAUUAAGCCAGUAUCAGAAACGGUUACAUUUACAGCAUAACCAUCAUCGGUAUCAGUUAUUUCUGAUAAUCUACUGCGAGACUCAGAAGUCUGAAAGUCUUCUUCUUCUCUGAUCCCUGUGCUGCUGUGUCAACCGCAGAAAUAUCUCUACAGCAGUGGAUAAAUGAGUAUGACAGGAAAGAACGAGGGAAGGAAGGAAAGCUAAAAUAUUUACUGUAUGUCCCCCAGCUAAAAUGAAUUGAUUACCUACAUCCCUAAUGUUCCCAUUCAUCUUUACAGUAGAAAUGCUUGAGGCAGCUGUGAGUCAGACAAAGUAUUUUACACCAACACCUCUGUCAGUCAAAUCUGUGAAAUGAAUAAGAUUCUAGCAGCUAUUUUUCAGCCUUGCCUGAAUUUAGUGAUGUUAAAUAUGCAGUUGCAGUACCAUCAGCAGCCUAUCUCAGAAACAGUUUAUAUGAUUGUAUUAAAAGCAAUAAAACAGGAAUAAAAAGGAUUUGGACCCUCACUUUAAAAUACUGCAUGGCCUGAAUUGUUUUGCCAUGAUUUUAACCAACACCAGGUGAUACUUUAAUGACUGUCUCUCUGCAGUCCUCCUCCUCAGCCCUGAAAAAAAACCAACAUUUGGAAGUUAAAAUGGCAUUAUAUUAGCUGUUGCAGCAGUGAACACCCUGCAGCUCUCAGCAUAAUGAGGAAACAGUAUUAACAUGGCCGCAACUACUUACAGAGCUGUGUGGGGUUUUUCUGAGAACACUCGAUGUUAAUCCACCACAGUAAUCACGAAUCUACACAGAAUAAUAAGAUAUUCUCUAGAUGAAUUAACAAGAGUAUUGUGGUUCUUCAUUUUACAACUUCUUGCUCAGACAACCAACAAGCUAAACACUGUCAUCAUGGUGGAAAAUAGCAGUUCCUAAUGUUUGGGGUGAUCUAAGGGGGAAGUGUGUGGUAAAAGCAUCACUAAGGGAUUCAUAUUAGUCAUGCCACAUUGCUCCCUAGUUGCUGAAAUAAUCAUUAGCAGCCUCUUCUCCCCUGGCAUUACAUGUGUGUGCAUACUUAACAUCUAGGGUGCAUCGAAAGACUGCAACUUACACUAUCAGUGUCGUUUAUAGACUCUUUCUCUGAUUGAUCGGCCUGUAAAUGCCAGGAAACAAUGUAAAAGGUCACCACAAUUAUGUAAACACACAAAAUUCAAAGGCGACUGGUGCUCCCAUCACAACAAGGCCCUGAGUCACUACCCAGACCAUAGACUUCUGCUAGUAUACAGAUUUGAAGCGGUAAAACCUGUCAGUAUUUCUGCGAUUUUCCUCCACUUCCUGAAACCAACAUUGCGCUGUAGCAUUGUACACACUCCACCGCUUACGCAGUAGCAUAGUACAUAGUCGGCGGGAGAGCCGCCUAGAGUUGCUGUGAUGACGCUCGGCUGAAACAGCGUAUCCCCUGGGUGAGCUACGCAACCUUUGUAUGCCCAUAAGCUGUAUCAAGUGUCAAUCAUAGAAAACAUGAACCCCCUAAUAACUUUUAAAAAUGGAGGUGUACAGAAAAAAGAGGACUUGAGCACAAACCAGUCUUACAAUAAAUACAUGUCAACAUCACAAACAGGGGGAAGAAACAUUUAUAUUUUGUGUAAUUAAUUUUUUCUAAAGUUUGUCAACAACUUCAUUAGGAUGGAGGCGGGAUUUAUGACCUAUACUGCAGCCCGUCACCAGAGGAUGCUGUUCUUGGGUGGCUUCACCCAGCUAGGAGGCAGACGGCAUCCACUCUAUAUAGUCUAUGGUCACUACCUAGACUUAUUCCCUCUGUUGGUCCCAAUUGGUAGAAUGGCUAAUACAACCACCUCGAUUUAAACAGUCCCCUUCUACUCCUGGGACACUUAUUGGCCAAGCUCUUUGUAAACAACUCCACACUUGGUAGCUUGACACUCAUAGUGAUGGUGUUGUGCAUUUGUAGUAGUUUGUGUCUCUUACACAUGUUGUUUCCUUCUGUCUUUAUCGUUGUUUGGGUUUUAUGCUACCUGAACAUGUAAUUUUGAAUUUUUUACUCAAGCUGUAUUUUUUUAAAUCUUGGCUUUAAACACAACUACUGUUGAUGAAAAACAGGUGGUACGUUCUGGGGUGUCGUGUGAUUACUGUAGUGACAUGGUCAGUGUUGACCCCACUGUUGAGUAAUGAGAAAGGAGGAAGGAUAAGAGAGGAUUUAGGGUGAGAGACUGAAAAUAUAAAUGAGAGAAAAAUCAAAUAGCAUGGCCCCAGCUUUGUGCUGUUGGGCUGAAUGUUAGCGGUAAUGUCUAAAACAGAAAUUUGCUUUUUCUCUCCAAACACUCAUUUCUCCUCUCAGAUGUACUCCCAUGGUAACUAAGGUCUGUGUUACAGAUUUUGAGGCAGUUCUUUUCAGUGUUGAGUGUGAAUUACUCCCAUCUGAACAAGUUUUAGGACAUUAUGGUGAUUUGUCUGCUGCCACCAUUAUGUUGUUUCUUGUCCCUGCCUGCUUGUGGGAUGUUGUUUACUCUUAGCAGAAGCUGUAAGUUGCUUGAAAGUAAGCAUGAAAAUGUAUGUUGAACCAAAUCUAUGUUUUCCUUCUGCUGACGAUCAAUGAGUUUUGCAAGUCAGCAAAGAAAUUUGAAACAAGUUGUAAACUCAGUGAGCCAGGUAUAAAUAAUUCAUCACACAACUUUUUAAAUACUUUAGAUGUAAAGAAAUUCACCUGUACUCCCACAUUAGCAUCCCACCUGUGGUGUUUGCUGGAUGGGUUACUAGAAACUUCUGUGAGAUUUUGUGUAUUUUGUAGAAAGUGGCAUCAACUAAUCAGCUUUAACUUGACUCCAAUGUGACCUGCCAAUCAGCAGUAGCUCAUUAGCAAAGUUUCAGCUCAUGUUUGCCUCUAGAUGAAAAGCCAACUAAAUCUCAUCUUGCUUAUCUUCAUGUCUGUACUCUAAAUGAGAGAUUGCACAUAUGUGUUGAGGAAAAAAAUGUGACCCUUACUGAAUCUGAACCAUCUGACUGAAAGCCAGACUAAUUACAAAAUUGACAUUUUGGAAAAGCACCCACUGCCCUUGUUAGGAAAAAAUGACUUGCCAAAUAACCUUGUAACUUAAGCAGCAAAUACAUGGCCAUCAUAUUACUUACAGUAUCUGACUGCAGCAAAAGCGACAAUAACUCUGCUUUAAAAUGUUCUCUUGUGUCUCUUUACUGCAUCAAUACAUUCAUUAAAGCCAGAGCGAUGUUUUUAUUCCACAUCUCUCAUUAGCAGUCAAUAUGAUUCAGCUGUUUAAACAGGCUGUAUUGACAGAAGUGAUGUGACUCAAAUUCCUUAUCAAAUAAUUGACUGGAUGGAAACAAACAAUGAAGUGAUGACAAUGAUGGCAGCUCUUCUGUUUACUGUGAAAUAUGUGUUGUUGUAUGAAUUAUUGUUUGAGCUCCGUUAGAAGGACAGCAGCUCAGAAUACAUGAAAAAUCCUGUGCAGCGUUUCCUUCAGACCAUGGCUCCUUUUUUUCAAACUGAUGACUUUGACUUGAAAAACAUCCUGCAUCUGUUGGUUUCUGCACUUCAAGGUGAGUUUGCAGACAGUAAAUUAGGUAAUUUUGCUGCUUCUAAAGGUGAAGGAAGCAGAGGUCCUUGAUUCAGUCUGAGUAUUCGGCUGGAAAGCUUGUUUUGAUUUUUUUUUUCCACCCUUAAUCAAAGUCUAAAUUACAAAACUUCUACAAACUUCUUGCGUCUCUGUCCCACAGAGUUAUACUACUAAUCAGAGGUAAAACACACUGCAGGAAAGUAGCUCCAAAUUAUGAACGCUUGACUUUAAAUGCACUAAAACAUCAGCUCCAUUCACUGUGCAUUUAGAAAAUUUAUAUGAGGCCUGUUUGAAAGAGAAAAACCUGGUGCCUGGUGAUAGUAUAAAUCCUUUUCUGGAUUAUAUCGUCAUUACCUUUCACUCUUCAAUGUUUAUAUCAGGUGAAGUAAUGGCCGCAUAAUGUGAAGCGGGCCCUCAGUAUUUUGAUAUGUGACUGUUUUUCCCUCUGUUUUCUCAAUUUCGUUGGAUAUGUGUCAGUAACUUACAGAUUUAAAUGUACAUAUGCAUGAACAAGUCUGUUCCAGUGGCAAUGAAACUAUAUCAGUGUAAUAAUAUGAUUUAAUAGGAUAUGAUAACCUGCCAUGUUACUGUAUCCUAAUUGGUCAGAACCCUCGAACAAUGGUUAUAGUGGCGAAAACAAUAGUUUCUGAUAGCAAUGAUAACAAAACAUGAAGGAGACUUUCUGCUGAUUCAUUUGGAGAACAUGAAACUGUACACGUGUCAGCAGCAGAAGAAAGAUCAGAGUGAAAAAAACAGCAGGGGAGGCUAAAACACACAAGGAGCUGAAUCAAAGAGACAUCAACCAAAUUGAAGAAAAUGAGGCACAAGUGAUCACAAAUCGCAACACGGUAUUGGAUCAGCAGUGUUGUGAGGCUAGUGGAGUGAAAAGUAAAUUCUCUUACUGUGUUCCUAACAACCUGAAGGAAAAAAAAUGUAACUUAGCAUUUUGAUUUUAUGUCACAGUAACGGGUUCGCCUGCUUUACUGUUAUAAAUCACAUUGAUUUAAACAUACUGUACAUAGUGAAGUCAAAACACAAGUGUGCAGCAUCUGCAUCAUGUCUUCAUCCCCUCCAUCCUCUGUUGGCUUUAACCUCUCACUGAACCAGCCUUGUGACACAAACUCUAAUCAUUUUAGACUAAUCCUGUAGUGUUUUGUGAUUUGUGGUCGCAUUGUGACUCAUUUUCAUCAGUUUGGUUGAUGUCUCUUCAAUUCAGCUCCUCAUGGAUUUUAACCUUCCCUGCUGUAUCUCGCUGUUUCUCAUCUUCUUUUCUCAGCUGCUGAUUGGUCAGCCAUUGACCACAAGUCUAAAGCUUGGCUCUCUCCAGAUAAAUUGGAAACUAUUUUUUUUGCCUCAGUGUUUAAGGAGGCGCCACCAAUGUUUUUUCACUGCAUGGAUGAGUCAUUUUUCAAUUAAAAAAAAAAAAGAAACCCUCUUUACAUCAAUAACCUGUAAACUUGUUUGUAUCUUUGGUUAGUGGCAGGAAAAUUUAAAGGGAGCGGGUCAUUAAGUUUCGAGUAUGAGUUUUGUGACGCCCUGCAGGUAUCUAUCUUGCAUAAUGACCCUCUCACGCCACAUUAACCCUUUCACAGAAAAUCUACUGCUGCUCCCAUUGUCUGCACCGAUUCAAAUGUAUUAUUUCUCCCUCACAUGAAAGCAUACAGCUCCUGCAUGUAGUCGAGUAUUUACUUUAAAUGGAUUUCUUAUUUGUUUUCCUAGAAACAAGUAUGGCUCUGUAACUGCUCAGUGCUUCUCUGUUUUAGUCACCAACAUUGUCUGCCCAGUACCACAUCUGUCUGCCAUGUUAUGUUGGACAAGUACCAAAAAGUGGGUUUGUGUAUUUAUUGUUGUGUUUUGUUUUGUUUUGUUUUGCAGAAAGCAGCUAUGAUUUUUUAAAGGAAUUGGCAGAAUCAGGUCACCACUGGCACAGUGAAAUAACAGUAAAUUGAUCCAACGCUGAAAGUAAAAGUAUUAAAAAAUGUCUUCUCUUACAGCAAAUUGUGGUUCAUAGAGCUUCAAGAUGAUUUAGUUUUUCUUAUUACUGGUAUGUUUGAAAAAGAAAGUACCUUAAUGGGGAGAAAUGCAGACAUCCGUGGCAUGUGUUGCCGCUUACUGGGUUUCUAGAGCAAGUGUAAAGUGACAUCGUAUUGUGACAGAUCAUUUAAUGUGAAGACAUAAAGUUCAGCGAGCAUCUGGUGAGUGUCAAACACUGCCAUGUUCUGUUAAGAAUAAUAUGGUUGAACAUUUCGGGCUUCAACUAGAACUGCAGAGAGUAGUGGUUCUGUUUUUAAAAACAUUCACGUGGAGCAGCCAGCUUGUAGUCCCUCUGCCAAGCUUGGAAAGACAGACGACCCAAAUUUUGACAUGGUAUUUUUCCAACACGAUUUGGAUUCCAGCAUACCCCCUACUGAGCCUAACAUUGUACAAAACACAACAGAACAACACACUGUACUCUGCCAAUGUGAAAGCAGGCAUGUGGAAAGAGGCAAAUCUUACCUUUAUUGCUGCUGUCAGCUGUGACCAUUAUAAGGUUGGUAACUUUAACAGAAACUGAGAGUAUGUAAAAGAGCUCAUUAGUUCUUUGCAUUUCCCUCAGUCUGACCAGCUGACAGAUCUCUGUGGCUGCAGCUCACAUGUUUUCCUACCCUAGUUUGUUUUUUCUUGGUAAAGGAGAGCAGUCACGCUUCAUUAGGAGGAAAUCGAGAAACUCCCUUGGCAGGUUUCUUUCUCACUUUGUCCAAUCAAAGAGAAACCACUGGAGCUGGGUACAAGCUCGAGGAAUUCACACAUUGGAAACCAUCAGCUUCUCUGAAGUUUUAAAAGCACAGUGUGGAUGUGUAACAGCAAACACGCUGCACCAGAUUCCUAGAGCUGUUAGGAAGAGGCGCAAUAUGAUAGUAUGUGGGUGAGUUUUCCUUUAUUUUGCUUUAACUUAAAGACCCACUUCGACGAAAAUCAUGUUUUUCUUGUUGCCUACAUUUUCAUAUGGCAUUUUUCUGAUGUGACAGGACAUAUAAUGAAUUAAAAUUGCUGUGAAUCUCUGGCAGACCCAAACGGCAGGCUCAGAUACAGUGAGAUUUCCUACGUCACAAGUCCAGAGCCCCGCAAUGCAGACUCGGACAAGUAGAGAGGACGAUCUCGGAUCAAGCAUGUGCGUUAGCAGAUUUCAAUGCACGUAAGAAAGCUAAUUGUGAUAUAAGCUUUUAUUAUGUCACCAAAGACAUUAGUGUCCAAGAGCUGAAUAGCUCCAAUGUUACCUGCCACUUCUUCUACACGGGCAAUGUUAGAGGAGAGGAGUGCGCACAGCAGCUCUGCCUCCGUCCACGACUCAGAGGUGAAUUGCUAAUGAACUACUGGAGCUCUGCAGAAAAAGCCCUUGAAAAUGACACAGGUAACAUGAUUUUGGCUUAAAACUUCCUAAUUUAAAGACCACUGAGAACACUUGAAGUAGUGAACAUAUAUUGAGGUUGUACCCAGAGUUGGAAUCUGUGAUGAACAAUUAACUCUCUCUAUCACUUUUACUUUUAUAAUGUCUGGAUUUCUUGCCUUAGUUGGAUAAACUAGCCUUGACCUCUGCAUGUCUGUUGUGCUGAUCGACAGCUGCAUUGAUAGAAAUAAGAAAGAAACACAAAGGCCAAGUAGUUUUAGCUGUUCAUUGUCUCAUUUUCACAAUGGCGAACAUUUACCUUGACAUUUGUUAUUUAUCUGAAAUGAGCGAGGACAAAGACUUAUCAAAUGUAAGGACUAUUUAUAGCUGUUGUAUUAAUGUUAGAAAAUACUGGAAAAAGCUUCUGAGAUCUGAGUGAAAGAAAUGUUCCAGUAUCAGCCUUUUUAAGAAAUUUCGACACUCAAGGCUCAGUUUUUAUUAUUGCAAUCUCAGGAAUAUCUGGUCCCUGCACCUGUGGUCCCUGUGUGUUCAUAGCUGUUGCUGGGUGAACUACAGCUCUUAAGAUAUUUAAACUCAGUGUAUUUCUCCAGAGUGAUCUUUCCUCAUUGCUGUUUGUUACAGAGUUCCUUGAGCAAACAUAGAUAAUUGAAGUCUGUGUAGUUUUGGGGUUCAAACAGGAACCAUAACAAAAAGUUCGAGGCCACAUCAGCAAGCUUAUCAGUUGCUGCUCAUUAUACUGAUGAAAAUGAUCCUGCUCCUUUUGCCUUUCACAAGGCCGCUGAGAAAAAAGCCUCAAAAAGAUAGAAAGGAGGCUUACAUCUGCCUUUUGGUGGAGAGUUUUGACUAUCAUUUGUUGAUUAGUGGUUUUUCAGACUAAAAGAUUAGACAUGAUGACAGCUAACUGAACUGCGGUUGCUGGUUUUAGUUUGGCGUGUCUGCAAAAUGAGCUCUGAGAUCAAUUUCACUUAACAUUUAUGUUUUUUAUUAAUGCAUGGGCUUGUCUUUUCAUAUCAGUGAAUUAUGGUUUGAAAAGCACUACUUAGUACAUCACACCAAGUUUUCAAAGGGGUACUGAGUGAUCCAAACUUGUAAUUAACUUGGGCUUAAUGUCCUCUUAGACUGACCAGUAUGGUGGCCUGUAAGUGACACUAAUAUUAAGGUGUCCUUUUAAUAUUCCUGUGAGCUGAGAGGAGUUUGUUUGGGGAAAAAACAGCCCAGGUCAGAAAGUGAAAUAACACCAGGUGAACAGAGAGUUAUUGGUAUUGAUCAGCGUUUCCCUCCAGGUGUAUUACAGUCAGUUUGUGCCCUGGUGCAGUAAAUAUCAAACUUAUUGCCUCUUGAAGGAAAUUUAAUGGAAUCCGUGACUCCAUUGAUUUAAGGUAUUAAACGCACAAGCCAAGCUUAAAUAUUUACUUAAUUCUUAUGGAUUUUUGUUAGAACUCCAAUAAAACUGCAUGUAUUGUUUGGAUGCACGCAGCUCCACUCUGAGUAAUUCUAACCAAACUUUGAGCACUAUUGAUUUUAAUUGGUCAUGUUGACACUAAUCAGUUUCUUUUAAUUAGUGUUAUAAUUCAUCACAGCAAAGCAAUAAUUUUUCACUUAACCCCAACUCCAAAGACAUUGGUCUGCAAUCAUUGAGACACAGUGUUUAAUUGAAAAUAGUGGAAAGAAAGCAUGCUCAUUCUUAAUUUGACACCAGCGUGUUUCACAGAAGUUAAGAAAGGGCUUGUCUAUCGUAAGGUUAUAUCACCUUGUUUUUUAACGACACACUGUAAAAGUUUGGAUGCUGAGGAGAUCAGUUUUGGGGGCUUUGAAAGUGAAAUGUGGUCCCAUUCUUGCUUGAUGUAGGUUUUGAGCUGCCUGCAGUUUUUCCACAUGAAGCUUGGACUGUAGGCAGACCAGUUUUGUACCCAGACCCUCCUUCUAAUGUUGUUUUUCAGAUGUGUAAGCUAUCCCCAUGAAUCAUCCCCAGAUGCUGGCUUUUGAAAUGUGCCAGGUGAUCCUUCCCCUCUUCAGAAGACAGGACAGAGUGUCCAUGACUUCCAAAAAAUAAUGUUGGGUUUUCACUUCUUAGAACACAGGAUAGAUUUCUACUUUUGACGCUUUUUAAGAGAAAGGAAAGAUAAAGUGUUCUGCUGUUCGGGGACGGAUCCAACAAUCCAUUUCGAUAAAUUCGCCUCCGAAUAAAUCACCCAAAUAUUUGAAUUGGUCAGCUCAGUUGUCUUCAUGGAUCUGUAGCCUUGAACAGUGUGCAAUAAAGACAUGCAGCUGAAACAAACCAAACAAAAGAAACUGUGGGAGAAAGCCAGUGACAGAGUGGGAGAGAGAGAAAGAAUUAAGAAGGCUGGGACAUAAUGCUCUCUGAGAGGAGAAUAGAUGCUCAGUGGGAGACACACAGUACAAGCAGCAUCCCAUAGAGAUACAAACCCUUAAGCCAGGCCAGAGCUGGAGGGUCAUCACUAUAUGUUCCCAGUGAUGACAUAACAUCCAGUACUAUAAAGUUUCCACCAGAGACCGUUUUCUUACUCUGUCCCUUCUGUUUACAUCAUAAAUAGAUGAGAGUUAUGAUAGCCGUUCCACAGUUCCUGAUUUUAUUUCCUGAAUGCAGCUGUUAUUGACUGCUUUAUAAAUGACAGAGUUAUUGGUCUACCGCUUUAUAUGCUAGUGAAGAGAGGUAUUUGUUUGAUUUAAUACGUUAACUUGUCUGUAAAGUGCUUUACAAAUGAGAGCUUAUUGGUUGACAGGAAAAGGUCUGCUGAGCCACAUGUGUGUUGGUUUAAAAAGUCAAAGGCUUGAAGGUGUGAGACCCAGCGAGACGGCAGGACCACUAUGAUGAGAUUUCAGACCCAGCGUGGCAGGGCUGCCUGUUUCAGAUUCUUUAGUUUUGCAAAAUAUAACUGGAGAGUUUUUUUCUGACACUGCUUUUUUUUUCUCAAAUUAAGAGGUGUCAUUAUGGCACAUUGUGGACACAGACACCUUGAUAUCUAGCCCGCAUUUGUUAGCAGAUGCUGGUGGGAUGAUACCAAAGCGGGGAAGAUUAGCCUGCUAAUAAUGAAAGUGGUGACUGGAGACAUGUUCCCUUUAAGUCUGUGGAAGGUGAAGGCUUUAGUCAGCUAAUGCCGUUUGUUGAGCUGGACUACAAGCCACCUUCACGGCGAACAAUAACUACGAGAGUGGGAAAAUGUUUGAGGAAAGUGCAGCAGAAUCGAGGGCUGUUAAGUGUUGACCGUAGACUGUAUGGACAAUUUGGCUCUGCCUUCUGCCAUUAUACGGAUUUUAAGCCAGAUUUCUUUCAGUAUUUCCAGGAUUUUCUCCAUUUCCUGGAACCACCACUAGCCCAGUAGCGUUGUACGCAUUUGGCGGGAGAGUCGCUGUGUUGACGCUCGGCUCCAACAGCGCAUCCCCGGGUGAGCUAAGUAAACUUAAUACGCCCAUAGGCUGAAUCAAGUGUCAAUCAUAGAAAUCACAAACCCCCUAAUAACUUUUAAAAAUGAAGCUGCACAGAAAAAAAGAGGAUUUGAGCACAAACCAAGUUUGUCCACAACUCCAGAGGGAGAUUGCUGGAGGAGGCGGGAUUUAUGACCUAUACAGCAGCCUGUCACCAGAGGGCGCUGUUCUCAGGGUGGCUUCACCCAGCUAGGAGGCAGAGCACCCGUCCGUAAAGUAAUUAGAUUACUCGAACGUGGAGGUUUCUGAAAAUGCUCAUCCCUAGUAUCGAUACCAGUAUGAGGCACACACACAUUAAACACUCUUGUCCAAAACCUACUUUUAAAAAAAAGCGCUUUUAAAAAAAUGUUUUGAAAAGCAGUAGUGACUUUUUUUUGACCGCAUGAACCUAAAGGGAGAAGUCUUUUGUGAAACUCUUCUAAUGGGCUCCUCAGCGUUCACCAUGUCCAUAAUUAAAACUGUAAAUAGAAAGUCAGGACUGAACUUGGCUCCCUUGUGCAAAAUGGCCGCCCAUAGUUUGGCGGUUUGUUUUGCAACGCAGCGAGUAGGGGGUCCACCCGUCGAGGACUGUGGGUAAUUAGCCACUGGGGCAGCAGCUGAAAGUCACAGUCUCCCUCAAAGCUGUCGUCUGUUGCAUGCUGAUAACAUUGACAUGUCCUCCUCCUCUCGCCACAUUCGCCAGACAAUGGGAGAGAAGCCGAGAGGAACAGAAACUCACAGGAAAGAAAGGAUGGAGAGGAAGACAUUGACGGAUGAAGAGGGGGCUGACCUUCGCUCAUUAGUAAGGCGACCUUUUAUAAUCGAUGAGUGGUGCAAUUGAAGGCACAGAGACCCAGCUGACCACAGUCUGGCUUCUGAUGGAGACAGAUUGAGGGGGACGGUGCAGGGUCUCCAAAAGACAGUUUAGAUUUCUUCUCCCUGUCAUGAUUUAGGCUUUUUUUAAACAUCCUGUUGUGUGUUGAGUGUGCUUUGUUCAUGUUUCCCACACAACGAUGAUGCCUGGGCUGCUCGCCAAAUUCUUUUUGCAAACUAUGUUAGCAUUUUUUUGUCUACCAAAGAUUGCUAUGUGCUUUUAAUAAUGGGAUGUCCCCACAUCCUCUCUGCAGGUUUGGAGACAUAAUGUGCAUAAAAGACAGAGUUUAAAGGAUGUAAUGGGACAAUCAAACGAAAAUGUAAAAGGAAGAGGUGCAAAUGCAUCCAGCAUUUUAAUUAUCAUCAAACUCUGUUGUCUGUUGCAAACUAUCUAUUAUGGCCUGUCUUUGGUAGGGGAAUUUCAUCUGUGCUCAGUUAAAAGGUGGUAUUUCAGAUAGGGCUGUUCCGAUACCUUAUUGAUAUCGGAUAUUGAUCCGAUAUCAGCCAAAAAACAAAUAUCGGUAUCAGCUGAUACUGAAGGCUACAAUAUCGGUAUUGUAUCAGAAGUAAAAAGUUGUAUCGGGAUCUCACGUAUGUUUGUAGUAACUUUGUUCGAAUUGGCAGUAAACGCAGAUAAAAAUGAAAAUAACGUUGGUAUUGUGGAGAGAACCACCUGACAGGACUUUGAAGAUGAACUUAAUAUUCCAAAGACAUGUUUCUUUACCCACUUCUGCUCUUCAAGGUUUGUUUCUGCUUCCCACCCACAACAUAACUGCUGCACUGCUCCAUGAUUUCUCAAAGUGUAAGAUUGGCCAGGGGUCACGAUCAUAGUCGUGUUAUAAAAGGAGCUUUAUGUAUUUAUUAGUGCCUUCUUCUUGACAGCCCUUCAACAUCAAUUAAUAGUGAAUAAAGUAAAAAUCAAUUCAGCUUGCAUGGUCAAAUGAAACCUGGUUUAACAGCGUCUGUUUAAUCUGUACAAAACAGUGGAGCAGCAGAAAUAUCUGACAAAGUGGGCUGGAACAUUUCAGUCUUUAUGAAGACAGUAGCCGAGCUUUAAGCCAACUUAAAUAAAAUAACCUUCACUGGAUCUGUCAGAGAUAAAAGCUGCUUUACUUUGGAUGUCAUCAAAUUUUAGAGAGCAGUAAUAGUGAGUCCUCUUUGUCUGACCUCUAAAGUUAAAUGACUGACAUUAGUUGAGCCAUUUUUCAAUCAAACCAUCUCAGUUCACAUCUUUUUUGUGUGUGUGUAUUUCAGUGAGUUGUGUUGUGUGCCUUUAAAUUCAACAUCCUUGGAGUCGACCAUAAAUAUUGUCGACCCUCACAUUUAGACAGUGUGAAGAUCUAUUAGAACUUGCCGCCAGCCAAUUUGAUAAAGAAAAUUGAAGUGUUUUUCUUAUUAAGCUAGAAACCGUAAAUGAUAAGAGUUCUCUCCCAGAGGAUCUUGAGAAAAUUUCUAAACUCCUUAUUAUCUGACUUACUGAAUUACCGAGUUUCUUAGCUUUUGAUCUAACGAGGUACUCAGACAAAGUAGCUCCACCAAAGAAAAUCACAAUUUUGCAAUGAGAUCCCCCUAAAUGUUAAUAGACAAUUGUGAACCAUCACCCAUCCCUAAAGAUUUAUCCCACUUUGCAAAAGGACUUUGUCUAGGUGUGCUGUCUUUUUACAGCCCUGGAGACGAGCCUGUGAUGAAGAGCUGAACAAAUAAAUUACUCAGAGUUUGAAUGACAAUUAAGAUGCUUGAGUGCUUUGGCCUCCCUGCUCUGCCACGAGAAAUGAGCACAUCACAGCACCGACGGAGGGCUCAGCUUGCGAGAUGAUGAUGGGGAAUCAUUUUACAGGCAUGCAGAGCAGACCAGGUCUAUCAAACCAGUGCCCUGAUGGCUAGAGGACAUGGAGUCAGAUACAGAAUGAUCCUGUUUGGAGCAGUAAUAAGUUGAGGAUUAAAAGCACUUUCUAAAUGCCUUAGAGGACACCUUUUAGGGAUACCUGGCUAGGUCUUAAAAAAGAGCCAGGGCUGCCACUAACCAAAACAAUCCUCCCCUCUCACACAGAAAUAGCCCCAUCUGUGUAAUAAGCAGCUGGUCUAUCAUUUAGACUUUGCUUUGGCCUCGUUGGGCAGCUUAGUGAUGUGUGGAAUAUAAACCAAAUAUGUCAACAGAACUUUAAUGAGGUCCAAAAAGUCAGACUAAAUUGAUACAUUACAGCGAUCCCGAUGACCUAUUAUUUUGAGAUCUGCUGGUAUUUUGUUUGCCUUCAGUGUCUAGUCUGUGAUGUGAUUAGAGACAAGGGAGUGCGAUCUAUUGACCUUACCCUGUCAACACUCUGAUAUUUUAACUAUAGGGAGAGGAGCUGGCUGUGAAACUAUGCAGCUUACAGCUCUUCAUAAGGUCUCAAGUUGAUGUUCAGAUUAUAAACCCACAGAGUCGAGUUUUCUCAUUAUUUCUCAAGGCUUACCUCAUGUAUUUUUUCUGCGUAUUCUUAAGAGUCCCUCUGCUGCCGUAGAUUAAACCUCAAAGCUUAUAUCUAAUAAACAAACAUAACACAUUUCACCUUUUUUCAUAAACUGGUUUAAAUGUAAAUGGUUUUAUUCUUUUAUUCUGUCUUUAUUUGGAAUGCCAGCUUAAUGGACAUGAUAAUACUCCCCGGGUCUGGAUUUUCUAGCUUGCUCACAUUACACUUCAUGGUCUACAACAUAAUAAAUUUAAGAGCAAUUGGCUCAAAAUAGAAAAAGGUGUUUCCAGACUUCCAUGAACUGUGGUCCCAUAAGCUAGCUCUUGUCUCUCUUACAUCUGAGCUACACUAAGGACGUCCUCCGAAACCCCUUGACUUACAUUAGCAAUUAGCCACAAUGACAGCUAAUAGGAUCAGCCAGAUUCAGAUUUUAUCUCGUAAACUGGUUUCCAAGCAAGGAGUCUUAUUGGCGCUCACACCAAGAGCGAGUAAAAUCAUCUACUCGCUUAAUUUGCGCAAAUCAAGAUGCGUGAAUGAAUUGUAUUUACUUGCGUCAUUUGCACAUCAACGGUAAUUUCAAUGGUAACCCCAGCCAAUUCAACCAGCGAGAUCAAGUGAUAGACAAAAGUUUUUUACAAUUUACCAGGUAAUCCGAACUCCUCACUCACUUGCCUCCAGGCGAGCUCCUUUUAUUCCAGUUUCAGUAAUUGAGAGAAAAGGUAUCAUAUAACUCGGGCACCCACACACCGACAUGAUCAGUGAACAAGAGUCCGGCAACCUUUGUGCUGACGUGAAUAUCCGCUCAAGUCAGCUCCCGUCCAAUUCGCAUCUUUUGUGCUGCCAGAGUAGUACGAGCGUCUAAUUGCAUCUUUGCAUCGACUUAACAUUUAAUUCAGUUGCACAAAUGAUUUUACUCGCGCUUGGUGUGUGGAGACAGUUAGUGCAGUGUAGUGGUACCUGUAGUACCUAAUUUUCUUGUAACUGGACUUGGACUCAAACAUGAAUGACAUAGACACAUUCAUGGACUUCAUUUGAAGUCUUGAGGUGGCAAAGAGGACUUGGACCAUAGAUUGUAUAAAACACAACCAUGUUCUUGGUGAUGCCACCCACUGGAAUCAGUUUCGAAGCCCUUCAUAUGAUAAAUCAUUUUUUUUCAUAGGAGUUGGACUGUGGUCAUCUAAAGCAUUCAUCAGGUAGUGAGGACUUAACUUGAACUUGACUCACAUCUUCUCUGGUGCUGUGGACUUGACUCUGUCUCAGACUUUGAGCCUCAGGUCUGAGGUUUGGUAGACAUGACCACAAUACUGCCCCUCUGUUAAUUAACCCUUAACUGCCCCUUACGUUCCUAAUAUGCCAUUCGUCAGGAGAGAAAAGCGCCACAUGGACAUGUUAACACAAUUAAAAACUCAAUUUUCGAUACAGAGGCAGAGGAAUAAAACACAGUCAGAGAUACCCAAGUAGCCAAUCACAGAACAAAUGCAGAGUUAGCUACUGUUAGGAAAACAGGCUAAGAGAUAGUGGCAGGCAAGGUUGGUGGCCAGCCAGGGCAGAUGGGAGUUUUUGGAUCUGGACAGGUCUGACCGGAGCUGAGCAGCAUGGGAAGCCAGCUGUUGUUCACCACCUGUCACCUUCACCAAAGGGCUGUAAUACGACAAUGCACGGCGUGUCCCUCUUUACCUCUCUGUGCCCUAACAAAUGUAAGCUAACCGUCCAAUUACAGCGCUAAUUUAGGGAUGCAGACCUGUUAAAGAGAAGGAAAGCCCCAAUUGUGUCUGACUGAUGUGAAGUAGCAGAGCGUGAAAUGUUUUUUGACCAUUCUGAAACCAGCAGCUAAGUUCUUUGUUUUUCAGAACUGUCUUUCCUGAUAUUUAUCACAUUUUGUUUUAUGCACUGCUGGGGGAAGAAAGUGGGGCUUCUCUUUCACUAGCAGACGGGACAUGAGCCAACUCAUGCCACCUGUUGUAGAAAAAUACCACCCAAAGUUCAGAGAAGCAGGUGUAAACAUAUGAACGCUACCACCAACAGUAAAACUAAUAGGUACCGUGUAUGAAAACACCUGCAGGCAAAGCAAGAAACAGCUUUAGUCAUUUCAUAGUGAGCAUCCUUCUGUGUGUGACGUGACAGACGUCUGCUCCACAUGACAUUUCCAAACUGUUUAUGUGUGAUCUAAACGGCCACAUUUAGAAAUAUCUGCUGUCAUGUAAUCCAUGUGUUAGAGGAAUUCAUUUUUGAACAGGUAAAAUAAGCACUUGGUGUUUUGCUCAUGUUGUUCCUUAAAGUGUCAUUGGUUUUAUUGUGAAUCUCAAAGAUAAAAGAUUGAAAGGGAUGUCAGGCCGUCGUUUACUGUUGGCACAUUGAGUUGCUUGCUGCAUCUAAGAGCUCAGCUUGAGUUUUGGCUGCAUCAGGACUCAGAAGAUGGAAAGGAAAACUAACGUGCAGUAAAGAGUACUGUAUUUUUGUUAGUUUUUCUAGAACAAUACCCUUUAGUUUCAAGCAAGGGCUGGAGGAGUAUUCAUCUGAAUGAAUGUUAAAAUGCAGUUUUCUUCCCUGUUACUUUUAAUGAUUCUCUUUUUGCAAAUGUAAGCUAGAGUUGUGCAACAUGUUCAAUACGUAAAAGUAACAUGGAGGAAAAGAUGAGGACAGCCUUAGACUGAGACAUCAGUCCAGGGUGCACCAAGACAGUGAAAUACUAAAUACGCCUUUUCCUCUCAGUGUUGAUAAUGUUACUGUUAGCAACCUAAUUGGUACUCUGAGUCUCUAUGGUGACUCAACCAGAGGAUAUUUUUGAGUUUAUCAAACACCUGCAGUAGUUCCACUGCAGCAGUAGCUUACGUGUCUCCACUUUGAGAGAGUUCUGGUGUGCAUCUGCAUAUAACGCACAGCGCUGUCACUAAAUUGAAUAUUUGGAUCUGCAGACACACAGACAGACCCGAUGCUAUUGAAUGAGGGGGUUUUCUAAACAUUAAAAAGUAUCACAUGGUCAGCAGAGGCUCAUUCACUGAUUAGUUUAAAACAAUUUAUACAUAUAUAUAAAAUAAAUAGUAGUAAUUAUAAUGAGGACUUGACCUGAACUUGAACUAUAGCUCUUGUAACAGGAACUUAUCUUGGCCCAGAUCCUUAUUUGGUGACCAACACCUAAAUUUGUAUUUGAACGAUCCGACUUGGACCUGAGGGUUUUGAACUCAACUACAAUACUGGUUAAAGGUAAUACCGAAGCAACAAUAAAGAAAAAAACUAUUGGGGAUGUACAAUAACAACAGCACGAUAUCGUUAUCAGCAGAUUAACAGCUUAAAAAAUCAGUAUUUGCACAUUUCUGCAGGAGUAAAUAUUGGCUGAAGAGGUGAUGCAGAGCUGGGCACUGGUAUUCAAGACCUCCUAGGGUGCUGUCCAAAAUUACCAAGUCAGUGUGGUGAUACUGUACCUUCAUUCGUUUUUUCUUGUAUGAUCAUCUAGUUUGCUUGCAGCUGAUCUUUGCAGGUAUUUUAAGAUUUAUGGGGUGGGUGAUUGGCCUCGUAUUGCAUCAGCUACAACCUGUUGAAAUGAAGUCAAGCAGUGAGAUGUAGACUGCAAAAAUGUUUCCUCAAAGAUUGUUAGGAUGAGGAAGAGUGGUUGAAGUUUAUAUAAUUUAAUAUAACAGAAAGAAAAAGAAACAACUCAGGAGCUGUUUGGGUAAAGGAGGCACUUGAACUCUUUUCAUAUUAGCACUGGUGUUGCUUUUUAAUUUGAAAACAGCUGCAAAAGUUACACCAGACCACGUUAAAUCCUACAUCAAUUAGGAAAUUACAAUUCCUUCAUAUUUUUAUAUCAUAAAACAAACAAACCGAAUCCAGUUAUGCUGUUUUCUCAACACAGCUUCAGGAGCUCCAACUUUUUGUUUUGCCUGCUGGCCAACAAGAACACCCUGGACAAAAUCCUUCCUAGUUUAUUAUGAAGUCAGUCCUCAGCAGACUCCAACCUGUUUUAGAAGAAGUCCCUGUGUGGGCAGCUUGAACCAAAGCAGGAAUAUAGUCAUUACACCAUGGAGCCACCAUCUGGUCCCAGGGUACUGGUUUAACAUUCCCUUCUUCCAAACACCCACACCUUACCUAUUACUGGUAGCAUCUCAAUUUAUUCUGUGUUUCUUUUAUAAAUAACCUCCUCUACACAGCAAUUUAGGGAGAAAAUUGGCAUAUUUACCCACAGGACGUAGAGACUCAGGGUGAGAAAUUCAGCGGCCACUUCAGAUAUUUGUUUUUUGGACGAUUUUAGUGUUAGUCUCCCACUGAGGAUUGGCUGAAUUCAUCUGUCGAGGAGAGAACACUAUCUCCGCGGCGAGCUGUAGGAGAUAUUUUUGUCUACAAAUCGCUGCGAAGUAUGUGAAUUAAUUACAAAAGAGGUCAAGUUUGGACCUGGUUUUACAUACAAUUCUAUAAGGGACACCAGGAGCUCGUAAGAGAUGAAAGACAGGAAAGAAACACUCAUUUUUAUUUGGUACAAGCCCGGACCUUUUAAAGCUCAGGGCAGAAAGCAUUUGCAUGCUUUAUGCAGGGAGAUUUAUUUACAUGAGGCAAAGCAGAACAAUUUGCAUACAAUUGUGAUAGGAAACAUUCUGCUGCUGUUCAUUUCUUAUUAUUUAGUGAUUUUUCAAACUUUUCUUAAUCUUUGAAAUGUUCUUGGUGAAAUGUUUACUUGCCUUAAAGGUCAAAUGUAGGAUUUCAAUACAAACUAUGAUAAUAAAUCACAACAGCUUGCAUAACCAGAGGGCUAUACUCAAAGCGAAGACGUAAUAUUAGGACGCAGACAGAUACACUUCUGAAUAACCCCACAGCAGAAAAUAAGACAAAGAUGUUAUGCAAUUACAAAAACAAUUCUUCUUCACUGAGUUUUGCUGUGAUGGUUUGUUUUCCUUCUUUCGGUUUUGGCAUUACAGAGAGAUUUCUCUGUGGAUAGUGAGAUCCGGUGCCAACUCUAACAUAUAAAAACUGCUGAGUUGUAAUGAAAAACCAAACACAUUCAUCAAACUCGCAUUGAAAGCCUUUUGGAUAUUGUUGACAUUUUAAACUUUCGCAACAAGAAGAUUGAUACUCACCAGAGAUGUAAAGAUUUAGAAUCCGACAUUGAUCUUGAUAAAAAAGAGAUAUUCUGGCGAAAAUUGACGUUAAGGUCAAACACACGUGUCACCGAGUUAGACACCCCCCCCACCCCUCGAGAGAUGAAUGUUGCCGACUGCUUGCUUCUCUAGUUCUACCAACUUUAGCAACGACCGUAUGACAGCAAUACACAGCGGUCUACAUCUUGUGGGGGAGCCCUGACGAGUGGAUCACUGAGUGCAGCGGAGUUUCGCAGCUCAAGGAAGAACAUUUAUGAUUGUUACUUCAUGGAAAUGCAAUCAGACCAAGACGCUAAGGCAGAAGAACUACUGCAUCUGCAGUGCAAAAUGAUUAUUAUGAUGAUUAUUACUUCAAGGAAAUGAUUGACUGCAAUCUGUGAUCGACUCUUCAGGGCCCCCCCACAAACAAGCAGCUGCUGGAAGAGUGUAGGUGAGUUUUGUUUGGUCUCUUUGCUAAAGAAAUCAGGCAAAGCUAAAAAGAUGUUUGAUGGCUUGUACUAUGGCUAGGACCCUAUAUUUACUGUUGAUAAAGUUGGGUUAGGUAUGGCUAUUGUGCGGUCAUUAUUUAAGUUGUUAUAACAACUAAGAAGCAAGCAGUUGGCAACAUUCAUCUCUUGGGGGGGUGUCUAACUCGGUGUUAUGGUGUGUUUGACCAUAACUUAAAUUUAUGCCGGAAUAUCCCUGUAACAUCUGAAUGCACCUGUCCACCCGGUAAAAAUGUCUCACAAACAGCUCAGUGGCCUAGUUUCAAAGUUGGGUUCUUGUUUAUUGAGGUUUUGCUGUCUUUUUAGUGUGUUUUUUAGUGGCAUACCUGUCAUAUAAGAGACCUUUUUCCCUUCAAAAGAAUAACUGUCAUAUAAAUGUCCAGUACGGUUGAAUUGGCUGGCUCAGAGGGGAAAACAACAACAACUGAGAUUGACGAAGCAAUCAAGUCUCCACCUCGGAAAUCAAGUCAUGUAGACUGUAAACCUUCAAAGGUGGAGUUUACGGUUAUCACAACAACUGUAGCCAGUUUUAUAGCUGAGAUUUACAACGAAGCCGAGGUUUACAGUGUGUGGAGUGAUGGCCUUUUGACAUACUGCUUUUACGUUCAAUCAGAGUUGCACUGUACCAAACAGACUGUAUUAAACAGGCUGUGAUGGAAAUGUUUCUCAAAUUAGGGACAAACUUGAACAAGAACUUUCAAAUAAAGAGCAAAGCUUUACAAGAGGGGAAAAUGUCUGUGCACUCAGGGGAAAUAAGUGCUAUGGUGCAGGUGCCAGCAGAGCUUUGCAAAGCCAAUGAAGGUAGAUAUCUAGAGGAAAUUGGAUUUCUGUAUACAACCCCAAGUUUGGAUGCUGUGCAAAAUACUAAUAAAAAGCUUUUGAUGGUUUGUGAAUCAUUUAAAUCUUAUAUUUAAAUUAAAAUAAUGUGAAAACAAAUGUAAAUUGAUUAAACUUAAUUUUUUUUGGUUAUAUUUGAUUCUGGCAACAUGUUUAAAAAAAGUUGGGUCAGGGAAAACAAACUGAAAAAGCUGUGCAGACCUGAAGGAGCAUUUUCCUGCUUGUCAGGUUCAUUUGUGCAGGUUCAUAAUGUGACUGCAUUCAGAAGGAAGGAUGUGAAAGUUCACAACUCUGUUAGAAACUGUGUGAGCAAGUAGUUUAACAAUUUUUCUGUAAAGGAGAGCUGCACACCCCUUACAAACACUGAAUAAUAAACAGAUAGUUCAUAAUAAUAACACCUCUCAUUUGAAGCCCUGCAAUUUCAUAUGAAUUGCAUGGAGUUAUGUCCCUUACAAAAAGCAGAAUUGCUGUAAAUAUUUGCAACAAUCCACAAAUUCCCAUAAGAAUUUAGCGUCUGGGUGAGUGUGCUUUCCUUCCUUCACAUCCUUUCUUAUCUUUCACCUCUGAUUUAUUUUCCUCCUUGCCUCACUGAAUACUGAAUGCUGGCGGUUGCAAUAUUGCUCAGUACAAGGUCAUGACAUGUUUUACAACAACUCAGACUAUACAACCCAUCACAAGAGGCACACAUCAGUGCUGACUGCCUGUUGUUUCUCCACAGAUUUUAAAAUUCUUCAGUGUAUACCAGAAGCACAGCCAUCUACACAGAGCCUGGGGCUCAGCUAACACUAAGUUGUCACUGAGUAAACCAGCCGUGAUCACACAGCGCUCAUUCUCUGUCAUGUCUGACCCAUUUCCCAAUUCAGCAGUCAUGGUCAUCAAUGCAAUCAUUCAUUUUGCUCUGCAAGCCUCAGUCAGGCCACUGUUCCAGCAUAUUUUUCUUUUACCAAAACAGAAAAAUAGGGGGAAAAAAAAAUCACUUCAUUUCUGAAGUAAAUGGCAAUCCUCUGUGCAUACUUUAUUUUGAAAAACUAUGAUAAGGCAUUUUAUUUCAGGGGAAUUUUUUCUGUUUGUUAAAAAAAAAUCUUAUAGCAUUUUGACAAAUAAAACAUCUAAUAUUCUUACAGAUAUAUGGUAACGCCCCUCAAAAAAAUCAUGCGCAGGUGUGUUUAUGUAUGUUUGUCAAGCCUUUUGAGCCACAUGCAAGGGUUGGAUAGCUUACUUGCCUCUCUUUAUGUGCAAAUGAACAUUCUUCUUAAGGGUAAUUUAGCAAGCUAAUACCACACAAUUGGAUGAGAAAUAUCAUUUGGUGCUUUUCACAUUACUCUUCUUGUGUUAUGAAGGUGGCAAUCGACAAUCUUGUGCUUUUAGAAGGGGUCUUUGCUUUUUUUGAUUUGGUAUAAAACUAGGGGUGUCCCAAUAGGACUUUGGUUUGAUAUCAGCAAAAAAAACGAAUAUCGGAUUAUAUCAGCCUGUAUCUAAAAUCUUCGGUAUCAGCACUCCAAUACAAGCAGUCCAUUAAAGACUCCACUCCGGCACCUCUAUCUAGCAGCGCCCUGAUUCAGCAAACUAAGCCCACGAAAUCACAACAACAGUGUGUACUAUGGUACUGACAAAGUAGCGAGGAGUAGGAGUGAUGUCCUUGUGGCAGUAUUUUUUGUUUAAGUCCAAAAAAGACAUUGCAGCUGAGUGAAAAACUUGUCAUGCACAAUUUUAUGCCAAUAUCGGAUUAAAUACUGGUAUCGGUCAAAAUUGAAGGCUACAAUAUCGGUAUCGUAUCAGAAGUGAAAAAGUUGUAUCGGGACAUCCCUAUAUAAAACCCUGAAAAUAAAGAUUGAUUUAUCUGUUUCUCCUAAUACCCUAGCUUCCAUGCACUAGUUGCGCAUGUGCUUCACGACUUUUAGAGACAGCGUAAGUUAAUAGUUAAGCAAUUCUAGAGUUAUCUUGUGAAACAUAAAAUUGCAACGACUACAAGUACAGUACAUAAUACCAUUGAAAGAUUCAGAGAAUCUGAAGCAAUCUCUGUGCGAAAGGGACAAGGCCAAAGCCAAUGCAGGAUGGCCAUGAUCUUUGGGCCCUCAGCCUGCACUCUAUUAAAAAUCAGACUGCGUGGUGAAAAUUGCAGCAUGGGCUCAAAACCCCUUAAAAAAAAACAGUGUCUAUGAAUAUUUCGUUGCUCCAUUCACUGACACAGGUAAAAAAUUUCUACCAUGCAAGUAGAAAACUAUGACUGGCAGAAAUAUCUGUCACUUCUCUGGGCCUUUGUCCCUAUUAGGUGGACUUUGGUGAAGAUAAAUCAAAAUUUGACAUUCUUAUUGGAAAUCAUGGACACUACAUCCUUUGCUUUAAAGACAAGAGGGACCAGCCUGCUUAUUAUCAGCGCACAGUUCAAAAGACUGCAUCUGUCAUACUGUAGAAGGGAGAUGCAUUUGUGCCCGUGGUGUGGAAGGUACAAUUAAUGCUGAAGUACAGAUUUUGCAGCAACAAAUGCUGCCAUCCAGAUGAUGUCUUAUUCAGGGAAGAUUUUGCAUAAGUCAGCAUGACAAUGCCAAACCACAUCAUGCAUAUAUUACAACAGCAUGGCUGUAAAGAAGAGGAGUCUGGGUACGUCACAGGCCUGUCAUGAGUCUCAAUUUGACAGCUGUUGGGAACAUUUGGUGCAUCUUGAAACCAAAACAAAAAGCAAAAAACAAAGAGACCAGUUUCUGAACUAUUACUAGGCAAGAAUGGGCCAACAUUUCACUUUCAAAACUUCAGAAACUGGUCUCCUGGGCUCGCAAAUGUUUUCAAAGAUUUGUUAAGAGAAGGGAAGCAACACAGUAGUAAACAUAACCCUGUCUCAGCUUUUUUAAAAUGUGUUGCCAGAAUCGAAUUAAUAUAUUUUCAUAAAUUUUGACAUUCCUCAUUUUCAACAUUUGGUAUUCUUUUCACACUAUUUUUAGUUGAAUAUGUGGCUUAAGUGAUUUGAAAAACACCAAAUCCUUUUUGCAUUUUCAUUUAAUGCAGCAUAACAACUGUUUUGGAAUUUGGUUUGUACAACUUAAAGUACAACUUGAGCCGGAGGUGUAGCUACUUGUUUGUUUUCUUGCUACAUAUAACAUUAAUAUUUUUCACAUAGUUGACUAUUCACACCAGAGGGCACACCAGAGAGCUCAGGGAGUAUUUAACAUUUGGAUGUAUAGUUUUGAUUUUUGCACACUAUUGGAUCUGAGAUCACAGUAGAAAAAGCGUUUCCCCACUCUGCAAUAAAUAAAUGGUCCUGGACUUGCCUCUAUUUAUUUUUGCAGGUUUCCACGUCUACUUCUAAAAUGAACCUGAUUUGCCACCAUUUAUUUUAACUGGCGUGUUUGUUGCUGUAAUGAUGACAAAUCAUACUGUUGUGGAUAAUUGCUGACAUGGUCUUGUGGUUUUUCCUGAAACUCUCAGGCAUUGUUGUCCCUGCUGCUCUGUUGAUCCUGUCACACCCCUCUGCCUCCACACUGCGCCUACCAUUCAUGCAUCUUGCAGUUAUUUUUGGGGAUGUGCAAAGCCGAUGUACCAAGUAGACACGGGGAAUGCGGGGCAGCUGUGAUGUGCACUCAAACACCUAUGCAGUAUAAUAUCAUAGGUAUAAAGAUGAUGAAAAAUGUAGUUCAUUUCAUGUUUUAGUCAUUUUUUUCUUCAUGUCGGUGUGGUCCAGGUUAUUCUUCUUACCUUCAAUCAUAGAAAUGAUCUUUUUUUUUAAAGUCUGAAAGUCAAAACGGCUCUUUUCACACAGAUUUCAUCAGUCAGUUUGAUAAUCCUGCCGUAGAUCUUGUUUCAGUCACUUUUAUUGCAUCAAUGUUCGAUUUGGUGCCCUCUUCAGACUUUGCACACCCCCUGUUUGCUAUCCAAGGAUUGAAAUUGGGCUUCUUCUCGCAGACAUUUAUAUGUAAAUCCUUUGCUGCUCUUUGCCAUCCAGCAAAAUUCUGGUCUUUUUUUUUUUAACCAUAAAUGUGGUGUAUUUUCUAUUCAGUUUUUUGCACAAUACUGAGCACAGAGUUGAUUGCCCUUUAGCCCUCACCUAGAUGAAAAAUGUGUGUGUAAUGAACUCCUCCAUUAAUGAAAUGUCUUUUUCCUCAAUAUGAACGUAUUAUUGUUAAAUAUUACAUUAUUGUCAAGGGUAAAGGGAAGUCUGUAUUCAACAUAAUUUCCGUCAUUUUUCAAGGCUGAAGUCUUUGUGGAAGUGUAUCAGAUUGUGUUUUAAUUGAAAUUUAAUAAGAAAAUAGUCAGCACAUGAAGCUUUCGUCAUGUACUGUAGGGUCAGGGUUGAUAUUCUGCUCUAAAAAACAUGGAAAGAGCAGAGAAGAAAAUUAAAUCACAUUUAAACUUUCUGAUUUUCAUAUUUAGUUAAAAUGCUAAUGUCUGCGUUUGCUCAAUGGUCUCAUUUGUUUAUUUCCUGCCUUGUAAAUCUGUCUUUGUGUGCUCAGCAGCCUGAUGGUCACAUGAAUACAGUCAAUGACACCAGUAAUGAAUGUUGGCAAAGUAAACCAGAGUAAAGCCCUAAAAUAUAAACAUAUACAAAUACUCUGUGGAUCCAUCUGUGUACAGCUGCACCACAGAGUCAAAACAUUUGGAUAAAAAAUGGAAUAAUAUUCUCAACUAAGGAGCCCCUUUAUACCUUUCUUACUGAAAAAAUAUCAACAUAUUCUGCUCUCAGAGGUGGAAUAUUGUCUGUAUGAACAAUUGUACAAAAAGUAGUCUAAUUUUCAUUGAAAUACAUUCAUAUAAUGUUGAAGUUGCUGGAUCUGUAUACUAAACUGCAGAAAAGUCCCAUAACAUGAGAUCAGGGAUGGUGGUGUUGUUCCCAGACAUGCCUUCCAGGCCUUAAUGGCUCAUUUUCACACAUGGCCACAACCUGAUGACAGGUUAAAGACGGUAAAGGACGAACCCAACCAGCAGCUGGAGAGUCUGCCCUGACUGCUUGUCUUUUUCUGCCUCACUGCACUGUGUUGACUUAAUACUUCACAACCAAAAUAACACUGACGUGCAACUCUCAGAGAAGGAAAGUCACAGCUAUUUCUUCUUUUCAAAGGUAAAGGCACCAGAAACGGGCAGAAAGUUUUCAUGGUUUGGGGACUAGAAUGUAGCUGUCUGUGCCCCCUCUUGUCACUGAUGACUCUGUUGUAAACAAAGGCCUGUAUUAGCUGGACUUGGGUCACAACUGUUACAGAAGCCAGGGGCUGUUCAGUGUGCAAAGCAUAGACUGUAUAUACUAUUGAAAACUUGGUUCCGUCUUCCAUCAUUAUAUGAAUUUGAAGCCGAAUUGCUCUCGGUAUAUUCGGGAUUUUCUGCACUUCCUGGAAACACCACUUGUGCAGUGGCAUUAUACGCGUUAGGUGGGAAAGUCACUGUGAUGAUACAGCUUAUGGGUGUAUGAAGAUUGCGUCAAGUGUCAAUCAUAGAAAACAUGAACCCCCUAAUAUCUUUUUAAAACGGAGAUGCACAGGAAAAAGAGGACUUGAGCACAAACCAGUCUUACAAUAACUACAUGUCAACACCGCAAGCAGGGGGGAGAAAAAUGUAUAUUCUGUUCAAUUAAUUUCUAAAGUUUGUCCACAGCUCCAUAGGGAUUGCUGGAGGAGGCAGGAUUUAUAACCUAUUCUGCAGCCGGUCACCAGAGGGUGCUGUUCUCGCGGUGGCUUUACCCAGAGAGGAGGCAGACAGUGUCCAUUCUAUAUGCAGUCUAUGGUGCAUGGAUCUUUCAAGAAAGCUGGGGCCACAAACUUUAACUAAUACUACAACAACAGCUGAUGCAGCUACAGCCUAAGUUUGCCAAUGUGGCUAAAUGGGAAGCCACCGUGUGCCCUAACAGCUAGCUCCUGUCACUUUCUGACAUUUGAUGACGAAGAAGCUGUGUAAAAAGUAGAACCCACAUAUUAGUGGAAAAGUGGCCAAAAAUGGGGCAGUAAGUACUGUUGAGAGGGUUUUCACUGAUGCCAUAGAUGAUGUGGAGUUUUAUGGGCUGCAAAUCAAACAAUACACUCUCAAGGAGUCCCAGACUGAUAUGAUAAAAGGUGAGGAUGAGUAUAAUAGGUCUACGAAAAAGCUGAAUCGUGAUCUCAAUGAAGAUCUAGCCAGUUAACCUCUGAGUGGGAGAUGAGAUUAGCAGAAAUUUGCUUUCAGCAUUUCCUACCCUUAAGUUUGUGUUAAUGAUCCUUAACCUUGGAGUGAAAAAAGACUUUUCUCCUUGAAAUUAUAAUCAAAUGAAAAGCCCCACACUAAGAACGAUUAAAUCCUAUGAACAACUAUUUCCUGUGUAACCAAAGGCUUGUGUAGCGCAGCCAUGACUCACAAGGAUUAACUUUUAUACAGAAACUCUUAAACCCAAUAACAUUCCACACAUUGGGGGAGUAAAAUACUGUAAAAAAAAAAACAAAAAACAACAACCCAUUUUUAAAUCUCUUUAAGUAGUUAUUUUGAUGUUAAUUCCACAUCAUGUUGCAUAAUGUCUGUUAAAAAUGUUAUGUUAUGUUAUUAUAUUUCCUCUUUAAACACACACAUUCUGAUAAAAUAAGAUAAAUUGUAAAAUUGUAAUUGGAUAAUUCCAAAGUUUUUCUUUUAUAUAAAAAAAUCAAACUUAUUUUUAUUAGACUUUGAAUCUAUUACUCUUUCACUGAAAAAACCUUCCUCUUACUUUCAGCAUUCUUUAUUUAGCCUUUUGCCUGCAAGUCUGAGAGCAGCACUCGAUGUGGUGAGACAAUAGGUGCUUUACAAAUCGAUUUAAGGGUUUUUAUGACAAAAAUGUCAUGAAGAAGAAGAAGACUGAGUCUGUUAACCUUUUAGAGGGAAUUCAAUUACUUUUACUCUGUUAUUGAACAUGCUCCACACGUGGGCUUAAAACCACACAUUCACAGAUGGGACUCCGUAAAAAACAGUUUAACAGAGAUGUCAGAGUGCCUAAAUGGAAUUUUAGAAAGAAAGCAAAAGAGAAGAGAAGAACAUUUUAAAAGCGAGAGGUGUCAUGGCUGGAAGUCCAAGGUUAAACGACUGAUAUUUUCAUUAAAUAUUAAGCAUUAUUUGCCAGAAGUUACUGUUUUUAAGCUGAUCCCAUAAUCAUGAACUUGUUUAACUGGGAGGUUUUUUUAGUGUGCUAUUGGAAACUUGCAGUCAUACUGUGUAAGAUUGUCCUGUGGGGUACCCCAUGGGUCAGUUCCCGGACCACUCUUGUUUUCAAUCGAUUUUCAUGUUAGUGCCGAUGAUGCCCAAAUCUACCUUCCUUUCUGCCAUAACACCCCAGAUCACAUUUCCUCACUUAUUAACUGCAUUAGUUAUAAAUUUAGGGUUCAUUAACAGUCUUUUUAACCAUCACCUGUCAAAAAAUAUCUCAUUCAGUUUUAACAAUUUAACAAUCAUCUAUUGAAGUCUAUGAUACCACAAAAACUAUCUGCAUGACUUUAAAUAUCAAUCUUAUAUAGGCUGGCAUGUUACACCUGACAUGCUUUCGGACACAUUUCCAAUUACUUUCAUUGAGAUUGGAUUUAUUUUUCAUACAUGUUCUUCUGACCACCUGAGAGGCAAUGUCAGUACUGUGUCAGUUAUCCAUAUUGUUAGAAUAAAAUGAAAACUAAAUUAUCUCAGGUCUACUCAAGCACAACGUUGGAUGCAGUGGGUGUCUGUCAAACUCAGCACAUUUAAAUGAACUCUCCAUGGUGCAGCCUGUUUUGAUAAUUCCUUGAAAAUUCCUCUCACUUGUGUGUGAACUGAAGCGUAGUGUUGUGAGUGUGUAGGUCAGAGAGAAGAGGAGAGAAGAGUCCACACACAGGACUACUUCUAGUCAUGAAUUAAAUGAGGUGGUGCAGUUUGGUUCUUACUUUUUAAUGAUUUUAGUAAUUUAAGUGGUGCUUCAUGCUGUAUGACUCAACUAAUCAUACCCUGUUUGAUUUAUUCAGAGCGUCAGUCAAAAACAUCUUUUAUAAUAGGCUAGGAGCAAUAUGACUGGUAGAAAGGCAAACAAGCUUAGAUUUAUGCAGCGGAAAUAAACAAAUUACUAAAAAGGAAAGGAAAGAAAGUUUAACUUUUUUUGAAAAACAAAUUCAUCAAAUUAAAAAUGAACCUUCUCCGACAUAUCGUCACACAGAGUAAGGCCCAAACUACUAAAUAUGGAACUGCUGCAAACGAGAACAGGAAAAGAAAAAAUUCAGAUUGCAGUAUCUAGUUUUCUGCAUACUUGUUCUUUUUCAGAAAAACAAGCAUACUCAGUCUGGAAGGUAGCAGACGGGGGCGCAAUCAAGGUCACAAUCAGUCUGGCUGCAGUAAACACACGCUCAGGAGACUUCAGUGUGGCUGGUAUGCAGAGACACUGGUGUGCCAGCUUUGCCUAGCUGUGUAGAGGUUAAACUCCACACAUGAACAUAUCAAUAAAAGCAGAGGGGCUUGGUUUGAUUGGUUCAAGAGGUGCGGUCAGUGUGAAAACCAGCAGCAAAAAUCACUCACUGAUACAAAGACAGACACACACACCAAAAUGAGCUUAAGCAAACUCGCAGCUUUCUUGAACACAUUGUGCAUCAUUUCACACAGCACGUCCUAUCAGAAUAUUUUCCCCCUCACUUCACAGAAUUAAAGCCUCGCUGUCUCAUUUUCAAGUAACACAGUAAGCAAAGACUGCGAGAUUCAUCACGGAAGCUAUUAGCGGCUCAAACCCAUUUUUCAGCACUCUGAGUGUUGUUUCUCACCAAGCCGCAGCCGGACCUCAGCCAGGGCUGCAGACUAAAUAAUUAAAAAGCACUCUCAAAUGAAGUGUGGAAACCCAAAGUAUUGGGGUCAAGCCUUUUUACAACCCCUGUGGAACUUUUGCAUAGAGAGGGCUCUGUUAAGAAAGCAUUUCUUUUAAAAAUAAAGAGAUUAAACCACAAAAACAUCCACUUUUCGGGCCUCAGAUAUUAGCUGUAUUGGUGAUGGAACAUUGAACAUCGAGGUCAGCCUGCAAGAUACCGUCGUCUGGACUAAUGAAAAGAUUUCUUGCUUUGUUAGUUACAUAAAGAUACCUCCCUCCUGUAAACUCGAGCACAAACAUGCUUUUCACAGGGAAAAGUAAAUAUUGUUGCUGCUGCAGUAGGCAGGAAGGACUGUUGGAGCAGAAAAUGAAUCAUUAGUCAGCUAAAACACAGAAACUAAUCAUAACACCGCAGCAAGCCUCAAAAGUAAAUGUCUCCGCUGCCACUGAAAUCCCCUCGGCUCUGUAGUGCUUUACUUUACUAUUUUGGCUUUAGAUAACCCCAAAGCCACAACUUUGAAAGUUUUUAAGUAGUUUACCUCUGCUUGCUCUUUGCUGGGAAGGUCCUGAAAUGUUGCGUUAUCUUUGUUUGGCUAAUUAACAGAGGGAGGAAAGCAUCACAAAAGAAAAAAAGGGACCAAAAACUUGUCACAAAUAUUUCUAAUUGCUGUUUCCUAAAACUAGCUCUUUGUAGUCGAUCGUGUUUGUUAUUUCAGAGUAAAUUCGUGUGUUAGUGUGUACUGCCUGUAACUUUCCAGUAAUGGUGUACUCUAGCACACCCCGCCAACACAUUUAGACGUUGUUAUGGGAAGAAUAUCUCAAUCAAGGAUGUUCUGGAGCGACUUGUUUCCUGGUUGCUUUGAGGUAGUGUUCAAGUUGGCAGCCUCUGUGGAAGAGGACGUGCUUCUUAUGUAGAUACGAAAGGCUCAUUCUAAGUUAGUACAAACAAAAAGAUAUUUAUAUUACAGUGAUGUACAUUUAAUGAUUAACAUACUUGGACACAACAUUAUUGUACCCCAUUUCUACCAACUGGUAGAUGCUACACAUUUAACUUUUAAAUAGAAAUGUAGAUUUCAACAGACCGACUACUCUUAAGGUAAGAAAAUGAUCAGAAAUUACUGCAAAUUUAUCAUAAUUUGUUCAACACAGCUAAACAUGAGAUGACACAAUUUGCAGGUAAACUUCAUCAAAAGCAUUGUCCAGAUCCAGUGGCCGAAGCCUUUAAUAAUAAUAAAUAAUAUAUAAAUAAUAAUAAUAAUAAUAACCAGAAUAUAGCAUAAUACAUUAAGCAGUGUUUAAGGUGCCGAAACCCACAAUAUUAUUAUAUAUUCUCCAGAAAGUGGUGGCCGCCCUGUGUCACAGAAAUAUAAGAAAACAACAGAUAUUGAGAUUUCGUGAAUUGAAGAGGCGGCCAGCUGCUCAGCCUCCUCUUAGGUAAUAAGAUUCUGGACCUGCUGCCCCGCUGUCUAAACAGCCACGGGCUCAGAGAUAUGUGGGCAAAGUAUGGAGGAGUCUUUUUGAUGACACAAACACACACACACACACACGCACGAAUACAUGCAGACACACACACACGGAGUCCAGCUGUAGCGGGGUGAUUUUUGCUGUCCCCUGUGGUCAGCAGAAGCUCAUUUCAGUGUCUAACUGAAGCAAUCACCGCCCGGAGACUUUCUGAGACUCCUGCAGUCCCACUUAGCAUGAACUUAAUCCUCACAGGGCCAGCCUGCUGUGUACUUCCUCUAUUCUGCAACAGUGCACCAGAUAAAGAAGGUGAGGAAGGGUCUGAAGGUUUUUGUAUGGAAAUGAGACUGCCAUUGUUGUCACUUUCUCUCUUAUAGAUUUUGUUUCCUUCCUCAAACUUUCAGAUUAGUUUGGUGCCACUCUCCAUAGGAAAUGUCUCUAACCCUGAAAUGUCUGCUCACAAAACUUAAUCCUCUGAUGUACCUUUUUCCCAACAUGACUCAUAGUUUUUGACUUUUUUAUACCAGACACAGCUGUUCACAGAUUCAACCCAAAAUCUGUCCUCACAUAGGAAGGACAUCAGCACACCUGCAGCAGUAGAACAUCAGUUGCACUUCGUUCUAGGUCAGUGUUGAACUCUUGAUGAUCCAAUACUUCAUGUUUUAAUCUUUCAAUCUCUAACCAAGCUGAUGCUGUUAAAUAAUUGACAUAUUGUGAAACACAUAAUCCAUAAUAACGACAUUACAUGUAAACAUCAUUUUUGGUUAAUCGAGACGGCAGUGUUGGAGUACUCAAGUCCAGGAUUCAGACUUUGACGAUGGAGAGGAGGACUUCGACUUGUAAACCCUUUUUUUAAUUGUACUAUCAGUUUUUGAACAAGGCCUUGAUCAUUUAUUUAUGUUGGAAUAAAUGUUGGCUGUUUUUACCGGUAAACAUGUUCACCUGCAGUCUUUUUUAGCAGUAAUUCCUGCCAGGAAGUCUCAAGAGACUCGACAAGUCAUGUUUGGCUUGUACAGCGAUUUCAAGCAGGAGCAGCACAACAUGUUCGGUAUGUGAAAGAACCAGAUACUAAAUGUUAAUCCCAAAUGGUAAUGCAUGAAGAGUUUUGGUGGUAAUUCUGAUUAAUGGGGAGUGGGUUGGGUCAUGGAGGGUCAGUUCAGGGUUUUUAUUUUGAGGUCAGAUUGGUGCGUUUCUCCAUUAAGGGAGGCACAGUGUGUACUUGCAGAUAAUAAGCAUGAUUUUUGAUUUAACACAGCUGAACACAGGUUCAUCGAGUCCUCAGGUUAAUGUCAAUGAUGCCAGACUGGUUUGUCAAAUAUGACUAAUGCCAGCAGAGCUUGGACCUCUAACCUUAAGUCCUUGUUAUAGGAUAACAUCCUCACACCUGUGCAGCAGUUUGAGCUGCUGUCUGUUGUGUGUUGUUGUUUACAUUCAUGUAAUAAUGCAUUUUAUAGUUAUGGAAGAAGCCAUGAACCAAACUACAGCUCUGGCUCGAGGCUGGUGGCUGUGCUACACUUCUGCUAAGGAUGGGGCUAAAAAAUUUAGCAUGAUAAGAUUUGUAAUGAUAAAAGUCUUGAUUAAAAAUAUUAUAAUUCCAGUCUAUGUUUUUGAUUCAUCCUGUCUUGAGGACACCGAUUGGCAUAGUCAAAUAAGAUAUGUAACUACAAGUUGAAGUGUUAGGUUAUAGAGAAAGCUAGCGAAAUGUGAAAACAUUUUCAACAUUAAUUGAAAACUCUUAUUGCACAGAGUGAGUAGAUCUACUGUCCGAUGUCAGGCAUACCUGAUUGUACUCGUCUGUGUGGGGUACGGCUGCAAGUCCGUCGCUGAUGCUUACAUCAUCAACUUGCAUUUAUCGUGUUUAUCGUGAGACUUGCAAAUAUAUAUCGUGGAGGAAUUUUCUGACAAUAAAUCGUAAACGGUAAUUUAUCACCCAACCCUAACUUCCACCAUAAUGUAUGACAGUUCAGGUUUAUUGGGUCUUUGGUUCCACUAACAAAAAUAUAAGUAAUUUAUGUAACCAGCCUGUAAUUCUGGUGCUGAGUGAGUAAUUUGGAGGGUUGCAGCAGUCUCCUCUAUAAAUCCUGUUGUUAUGGAGUUCAUCUUUAGUGGUUCAGACUGAACCCUGACUUGGAUCAAGACUUGAUUCAGACUCAAGGUUUAGUGACUCAACAGCAACACUGCAAGUUUUUGUUCGUACAAAUCAUUCAUUUUUUUUUAUUAUAGCACUACCACCUUUUCCUUUCUUCCCAUCUCGAGAGCCUUUGCCGACCAGAAAUAUGUUUGCAAAUCCGACAGUGAGCGUAGUUAAUUUGAAUUUUAUUGAACUUCUUUGAGUCCAUCAAUGUUUGGUUAUGCUUUUGUCAUUUCCAUUUCAGAGAGGAGACAAAGCUCGCUGAUUAACAUUCUGUGAGCAGAUUUUGUUUUCAUUCUUUUCCAAAAGACAAAGAGUUUUCACCGUCAGUUGUCAGAUCAACUUGCAUUUCUAAACAACAGCCACAUCUCUUAUGCGGAAAUAGCUAUCAUUUACAUAAUUGUCCUAUUUAUGUAAUACAGAGGCAUUAUAUGAUACAGAAAUUAAAUAGUGCUCGAGUGAGGGUCAGGCACCACUACCUACUGUAAAGCGUCCUCCUAAAUGACUCUGGAGAACAUCAGCAUAAUUUAUAUGCAUUGCUACAACCCAGACUCUUUUGAGUAGCCACUUAUAAAAGCUAUCCUCUCUCCUGUUGCAGCACUCUUCAACUCCCCCACACAUUCACAGAUUACCAACAAUAAAAACUGACCCUCACAUAAUUAGGUGACUCUUUUAGCCUCUGGAAAAUAUGUAUUUUAUGGAAAAGGUUACCUUGGCAAGAUUUAUUAUCCCAUCUGCUUUGAAAAAGUUUGAAAGAUGUGACCUACUAAGCCGGCAUGUGCACACGCAUGCAUGUGUUGGUGCACGUCACUUUCAUUUACUUCUUGAUCCCUGUGUAUUCACUAAAAAUAGACUCCUGUACACGGGCUCUGCUGCUGUGUCACCGCUCUGGCUCACAGAUCUGUCCAUGAUAAUGUGUUGGCAGUGAUGGGACAGUGCACCUCUGCUGCCAGAAUCCAGAUGUGCCAGUAAUCAGAGGUGUCAACCUGAUGCCAGACAAUCGCAGGACAAACACAAUGGGACACCAUGUCCCUCUUGUGACUGCACUCAAACCUAAAUUAAACUUUGCUUCAAUUGAAGUGGUCACCACCAGAUUUAUGACAAUAUCAAUCAGUCAGUGAAAAAACUAUGUGCAGUUUGUGAGCUAUUGGGAACAUACCAGUGAUAGGUGGUGAACUAGUUUCAGUGCCAUCCCCUAGAGCUGGGCAAUUAAUCAGAUUUUAAUAUUGUGCCACCUGCUGUUGCCCCCGUUACGUCCUAUAUGUUGAAUGAAGCGCACCUUGCCUCUUUUCCUUAAAGUUCCAUUCCAAUCAUUUUUUUUUUACUACCUAAAGUGUUAUCAGUGGUCUUCAAAUUGUGAUUAUGACAUUUUUAGCCAAAAUCGCAUUAUCCGUGUCAUUUUUAAGGACUUUUCUUCUGCAGAGCUCCAGUAGAUCAUUAGCAAUUUGCCUCUGAGUCAUGGGCGGAGACAGCGCUGCUCUGCACACUCUCCUUCACGUUAGUUUUUAGCCUAACAUUGUCUGUGUAGUAGAAGUGGCAGGUAUCAUAAUUAGAUUUCUUAUGAACAUUACAAUCCGCUUACGCACACGCUUGUUCCGCGAUUGUCCUCUGUAUUUCUCCCAGACUGGCCUGCAUAGUGGGGCUCUGGAGGCAGAGCUUGGAUUUGCUACCUAGUUGGACUGGGCGAUAUGGUCUCAAAUCAAUAUCACGAUAUAUCGAGCAGCUCACCUCGAUAACGAUAAAUGGACGAUAACUUCUUCACAAGCUGCUCAGCCCCUCCCACAUUAACUUCGUCUGCUUCAGCCGCUGCUCCAGCAGCUACAACUUUUGAACUGUCCUCCAUCUCCUCACCUGUCUUUUCCUCUUUCAUACGGACUGGAUGGGGUGGAGUCUCUGACGUAGGACAGCUUCUUAAAGGGACAUGAGACCAUAGCCUACCUACACACAUCCAAAACCAACUUUUAUUUAUUUUUUUUUGACAUUGAAUAUACCGAUAUGGGCAAAAUUUCGUCGGUUAUUGUCGUAAAUUUCAGUGUCGGUAAAUUUUCAGUUUAUUGCUCAGCCCUACCACGUAGGAAAUCUCACUGAAUCUGAACCUGCCAUUUGGGUCUGCCAGAGUUUCACACCGAUUUGACUGCAGAAAUACUCAGAAAUGCAAUUUUGCACUUAUUUUUCUCAUGAUAUGUUCUGUAGCAUCAGAAAAAUGCCAUAUAAAUAUGCAGACAAUAAGAAAAACAUGAUUUUUAUGGGAGUGGGUCUUUAACAGCAGAGUGAGGGUGCGGCCCCUCCUCUCAAACAGCUCUCACCUUCACUUCAGACACUGCAUCCUUAACAUGUUGUGGGGAAAACUAUCAGGCAGCAAUGGGUGGAGAGAGGAGAGCAGGGAGAGGAGCAGGAGGAGGCAGACACAUAUUGAGUUUUCUGCACACACACAUAAAGCAUGUAGUUGUCACACAAUGGCGGUUUACUUCCCCCAGCACUGAUGCAGCCAUAGUUACAGGUAGAAAAUAAGUAACAAACUGAUUUUUGAGUGACAACAACAAGACUUGAUUCAGGUCAGAGCAGAGUCGCUCACAGUCGCAGACACACUCAGCGAAGAGCCUCCUGGUGAUUCAGGAGGGCACAGUAAUCAGAUAAGUUAGCGCCCUUGUCUCUCCAAGUUUGUCAGUCAGUAAGUAGCAAGUGAACUUUUGUUUACACGAUUCCUUCAUAAUUUCUAACACUGGGAUAUAAUCCUGUGACUGCAAAAAGCAAAGGGAAAACUGUGAUUAAAAUUUGAACUCAUACUGCCCAGUCCAAAAAUGUAUAAAAACAGACUUUGUAAUGCUUUGCUUCAGCCAGAGAGACCAGUUUUCAAAAGAAUUCAUUAAGACAAAUCUUACUGCAGAACUCGGUCAAAUAAUGUUUCAUUUACUGUUGGUUGUUUCUUGCAGUUUCGUUCAAUAGUUGUUUGUAAUAUUCUGAAUUAUUGAUGAUAUUUACAACACAUAAGUCCAAGAUUUACUGGCCUUCAGACAGGCGGUGCUGCUGUCAGUUGAUGAGGCGAUUUCCAAGAAAAUAACCAAAGGAUUUAACUUGGGAUAACAAUCUAAUCUUUGCAAAUCAUAUUUAUCUUUGGCUUAGUUUUAUCUUGGCCCUGUGGCUACUCUGGGCUGAAAAAUCCCUGAAAAACAGACGUUAAGGAAACUUAGGAACCUUUUUUUUUUCUUAGCAACAAAUAUGUAAAGAGAUGGACGCCAAAUACUUUUUAUAAUUGGAUCAUGACUCUUACUUCAUUAAAAUGGAAGAUGCAUAUUUUAACAAAUAAACUCCUACAAGACCAGACUAUAAAAGCACUGCCCAAAAAUGUGUUUUGUCUGGCUGUUAAAGGGGUUUCAUUGUGUAGGCAGAUAAUCUGGACAUUUGGGGUUUUGAAACAAACUCUCUAAGGUCCUCUGUGUGCAGUGACUGUACAAAAAGUAGGGAUGAAGCGGAUCACAAAGCUCACAGUUUGGUCCAUGUCACAGAUUAAGGAUCAUAGUUUGAUCCAUUUUUCAGAUCGACCCCAGACUAAAGAAAAGAGAUGACUUAGCCGUGGUACUUCCUGCUAAGCUAUGAUUCUAUCCGUGUCACAUUAAAGGGAUGUUCCAGUGUAAAAUUGAGUUAGGGUCUACGGGGUACACGGUAGUUCUUCUGCCUUAACGUCUCGGUCUGAUAGCAUUUCCAUGAAGUAAUGAUCAUAAAUGUUCUUCCUUGAGCUGUGAAACUCCGCUUCACUCUGUAAUGGACUCGUCAGGGCUCACCCAACAAACAGGCAGUUGCUGGAGGAGAGGGUGAGUUGUGUUUGGUCUCUUUGCUAAAGAAACCAGGCAAAGCUUAAAAGAUGUUUGGUGGCUAGUACUAUGGCUGGGACCCUAUAUGUACUGAUGACGAAGUUUGUGCAGACGUGUGCAGACGUAGACCACUGUGUAUUGCCAUCGUGCGGUCGUUGCUGAAGUUGGUAUAACUAGAGAAGCAAGCAGUCGGCAACAUUCAUCUCUUGAGAGGGUGUCUAACUCUGCGUUACAGUGUGUUUGACCAUUACUUAAAUUUACGCCGGACUUUCCCUCUAAGAUCACGGUGAAUCAUGGUGAAUUCAUUCAGCUUAAAAGUCAACUUAACUGCUAGUCAUUCCCUGUGUGUUCAUGUCAUCGAUCCAGCCGUGUGCACUGUGGGUCAUGUUAAGUGUUCCUGUAUUCAUAUUACUGUCUCAGUGAAUCAGAUGCCCUCACAUCCCCACUCCUUUGGUGUUUCGGGAUCUUAACUGUGCUUAAUUACUGUUCCUGCUCUCACAGUGACUGCAGAGUUUGCGUGGGUGGACCGGUGCUUUGUCUCAGCGGCUUGGUGGGAAAAAAACCCAACACGGUGCAACGUAUGUUUUAUGUCAGUGAAAAGCAAAGCUGUCCACCCUCUCGCUGUAUCCCUCCAUCUGUUAAAGGCCUACAUUCAGAGGUGUCUCAUUGCUGGCAUUGGUGCAGGAAAAUGCAGUUAUUCAUCUCAUUUUUAAUUUAUUUGUUAAUCACACAGUAGGGCUGCUUGACUGUGGCAGUCACAAUUAUUCUUUGAGCAAAAUUAAUAUCAGAGUUCAUAUCAAUUACCCAUGAUUUGUCAUUUUCUCACACAACUUCAUGCAAUUUAGCGCAACUUUGUGUCUGAUUGACCUCUGAAGGAGUCGGAGAACUCGAAAACCUUUAAAUGCAAAUGGACAGAGGUAAUGGCAGGAGAAGCAAUGAGCCACUGGUCCUCAGCAUGUCUAUAAAGGUUACUAUCACAGUCAUUCGUCACGAGUGGCUUAACAAACAACCUUAAAGCGGUGUAUAAGCUGACUCAGCAUGUGUUGGUUUAGCCCUUUGGGCAUGAAAACCAGAAUAUUAAAGCUGAGGGUGAAAAAUCUAUCCUGUUGGGUUAUUCAUUUACACAGGUUGUCAUUUUGUUCUGAGGAUUUGCCCUGUAAUAAGCCACGAGAGGCUAUAUGUCUAUUAAAGUGUCUUAUCUGUGGUUAAGCCUGAGUAAAUCCAUUAUUGUUCAGCAUUUAAGUGGCUUUCCUACCUUUUCCACUUUCUCCGUUCAGACCUGAAACUCCAGGCACUCGAGCAGCACCACCUCUGAGAUAAGAAACGAAGUUAGUAGCUUUUUAAAGGCAAUUUACUUUUUGUUGAUUGUCGUGUUGAUUGUUGUGGAUUAUUGUGGAUGCUGGCAGGUGCAGGGUAAUGGAUGACGUGUUGGUUCAAAUUGGAAUUCUUCUCAUUUUUUUUUUGUGUGUGUGUAAUUUGGACAUUUUUUGUUAUUCAAACAUUCAUCUUUCAGUGAUUGUAACACAAACAGACACUUUGCUUUCAGAGUAGGUCCUGGUACUUUUGUUAUUCCACUGAAAACAACAGCAUUAUGAAUUAAAAUUCAAGUCACUGGAUCUCUGGCAAUAAAAUAAGAAAGCGUAGACAAGGACAUGCAAAAGAAAAGAAAAAACAAGAUAUAUGUAAGGAUGGUACCUUUGCAAUACACAGCUGGACACUGUCUGCUGUAAGAAGCUGUCAGUGUAAACACCAUGAGCUGUGACAGCGAGGAAUAAUCAGACAAAACAGCUGCAUUCAUGUCAGUAAAAAGUAACAGAGCACAGUUGCAAUCUCCACCCAUCAAACUUUAAGUAGAUUCAUGACAAAAACAAAUUCAUAAGUCAUGGAUCUCUCAGUUAAAGUUUAGAAAUAACUCACCAUAGUGUUGUGCAUUCAAAUUUAAAUGCACAACCAAGAAGCCUUAUCCUAAUCAUUUGAUAAAACUCAACCUUAAAGUUGGGGCAGGCAGGAUCUGAGGAUGUGCCAGUUUUUGGGGAGAAAUCUUGAAUACAAACACUACCCCUCCCAACCAGUUUUCCUCUCAGCUCCUCCUCUCCAGUCUCUGCUCCAGAAAGCCCCACCCACAAACAGACGCUCCUGCUCGCUCGUAUCAUUCCAAUUAAAUUCUGAUAUAAUGCAGAUAAAUACUUCAGAUAAUUACAAAUGGGGCCCAGUCAAAGCCAAAGAACCACUCGGGAUCCUUGCAAAACCAUCCUCACUAGGUGAUCUAACCCAUAAGGUGUCACCCUGAAAACACACAAGCUACUCUUCUUGACUGUUUACCUGCUAGGUUUACUCAUCAGGUUUUAAACAACAAGGUAAUGGGAGGGGAAGUGUUAUUUUGGCUGUGAGGGACAGACCCAGUCCACUCACUGUCUCCAGUAUAAUAUCCUGUGGGUGAAACACUCACUGUCUUUGUUAUUACAACGUUAACUUUCAUCCAUAAAGCCAGCAUUUAUAGCAGAGUCCUCUCAGUCCCUCUUGUCACCAAGUGUACUGUACCUUCGCUGUGAUCAAUUUCUAAGAGACUGUAAUCUUGAUCUAAGCUGUGGAUUCACCUGUUCAUAUUCCACUCACUACCAACCAUCCUCCCUGUUUACUGCCUUCCUGAAACAGACGUUGAAGAUUAUCGGCAGAGAAGGGUUUUUCCUGCUUUUGUUGUAGCAAACUUGACAGUCUGCCAGCAUCCAGGUCCCACUGUUUUUUUUCCUGUGCUGUGUGUUUGUCAGUAAAUGCAACAUGCGGCAUUAGGGUCUGAGUAACAAUGUAGGUACUUUACUGCAUUGUUGUAAACGUAAAAAAUAUAGCUUUAUAGUCAGUUCUAUAAGAUUUUUAUUUAUUUGACAUUCUUGCCAUCAGACAUUCUGGCUGAUAAUAUCAACCAAAAGCUGGUAAAAACCAACUUACUUCGCUCUGGUUGUGGCCUUGUUCAUCCUUUCAUUCAGGUCUAUGUUGCUAUGUUGCUAAGCACACAAGCCUUGUCUAUAGUGAAUAAACAUAAAACAGGAUUGUAGUAGGAGCCACAAAAGAAAAUGCAUAGCCAUAAAACUAUCAUGAAUUUAGACUAUUACUGCUUUUGCUGUUGUAUGUAAAUGUUGUUGACAUUUUGCCCUCAGCUCGAGAGUCCACAACAAUACCAAAUUUAGACAAUAAACAAAUACGUAAAGUAACCUCAUUUAAAUCCAGCUCCAGAGUUUCCCUGCUAUUUAACUCUUAUUGCAGCUCCUUAUCUACGAUGAGAUAAGCCCCCACUAAUUGGCUGUUUCUGCUCGCCCGGAUAAAUGCCACAGAUCAGCAGCCACAGCGGGCUCCAUGAAAAUAAUGAGCUAAUAAAGAUAAGGAUCAUGGGAAAAUUGCAGAUUGGGGACCACUCAUAUUCCCUGUGACUGGAUGAACAUUAUAUGCCCUCUUGUGAAGUAAUCAUAGAGCAUCCGUUCUCUCUGUGCAAGUUGUGUGAAAGUAGAAGUGAUUUCCAGAUUUAAGAGGCUCAAGGUUCAUAGUGUGAUGUGCGAAGGCCCCGGCUGCUAAUACUCUGACUGCUGAAUAAAACUUUGAGUCGAAACUACUUCUUAUUCUCUGCUUUCAGCUUCACUUCAUUUCAAGGCUGAAAGACCUUAUAACAGUGUCUGAUAGCAGAUUCUUCCUCUCUGCUGUCUUCUAUCUGAUGCAUUUGUGUAACAAAACUCUCUUGCAUAAACUUGAUUAUGCACUUCAAAAUCUUACAAAAAUAUCAGUUGUAGAUUAAACUGACCUUGUGAAAACAGCAAACCUGCAGCAAUUGUUUACAAAAAAAUUCUAAGUCAGUCAGUUUUCAUCCAUUUUUGCAGCACCCAUAUUUCUUUGCGCUUUUGACUCGAAUAUAGUCAAUAAUUCUGUUUAAUACAUGAAACUUGAGCUCCUUUUAGAAUAGAAUAGAAUAGAAUAUUCCUUUCUUGAUAUUUACCUCAAAAUAGUCAAAUAUAACCCAAAACAUCAUGCAGUUGAAAUACCAAAAUUUGAUUUCCUUUCAACUGGUGGUCUGAUGUAUGUUACUGGGUGUAUUUAAUCAAAGUCACAUACAUAUCUUAUAUGAAAAAGUCAACACAGGAACUGACAUUCACACAUAGAUACAUCAGAUAAUGUUGUGACUAAUGCUGCGUUCCAGUUACCUCGGAAGUCAGAUGUCGGAGCUGGGAAUGACGUUACACCCGAGUUGAGGGCUUUCCAAAAGUAAAAAAAACAAAAACAAAAACAAAAAAACAUUUUACAUUUUCUCCAAAAAUGUCUUUAUUUAGUGGCAAAUAUGAUGCAGACAGAACAAUUUAAAACAAUUGUAAUAGUCACUUUCUUAGUUAGAUGACGUGCCAUAAAACUGCUUUCUUGAUCUAGUAACAGUAAGUCCUAGUGAGGAGCACUUUGACACAAUCAAAACUUAAAAAGGGAAACAUGCUGAAUUUAAAUGUAUGGAAAGCUAUUUAAACCCGUACCCUUUAGCAUCUCAGCCUCAAUAGUAAUUAUUAACAAAAGGCGUACCUCUGGUGAGGUACAAAGCCAAUCACAUUGAAAGAUUUGAGGUGGCAGCUUAGAUUACCAACCAGAUUUUAAGGGGCCACCCGUUGGACUCUCCUCUGACAACAUUUAUCUGCAUACUAGUAUAAAACAAUUUAGUUGAGAAGACAGACCGAUUAUUACUCAGUUUAACUUUUGAAAGGAAGUAAUCAAGUAAUCACAAACAAAUACACCUUUCUGGCGUUGUUAUACAAUUUAUUUCCCAGAAUACUGUAGAGUUUGUUCACUCUGAAAUCUCACUGGACAGUAUAAAUGAAAUGUUACAUACUUUCCUCUGGUCCCUUAUCACAUAGUUCACUAAAUGUGACAUUAAGUGUUAUGGCCACUGUAAAAUAACCAUUACCUUGAAUUUCCUUUAUGAGCCAACAGCAGUAAAAUGCGGGUUAUAGUGUAUUCUAUAAAUAUAAUGAAGAGAAUACAUUCCUGUAAAUGUAGCUAUUAUUAUGAGUAAUAGAAAACAGCUUACAGAUUAAGGUUUCUUCCUGGCAUUUAUUAAAACCUUCCUAUGUAGAGCAUUUGAAAUCUCUUGACUGAAGCAUAAGGGAAGGGUGAACAUUUCAGGAGUUUUCAGGUAAAGCUACCCUUUAGUUUGCUCACUGUUAUCCUGCUUUUCUACCGUCAAGUCAGCAUUCACCCUGUGAUCAAACAGAGUAAUUCCAGUCAUAGCCUGUCUGGAGGCAAAGUGAGUAGAUGGACCCUGCAGCAAAGCAUGUAAUCAGCAGGAACACGAUUGGCAGGCAAUUCCAAUGAGAGGAGAUGAAUGGCAAACAAUCGCCUCCCUGCGAGCGAAGAGAAAGCCAGGAGUCAAAUUGUCUCUCUGAAAGAAAAGAGCAGGAUACAAGAGUAAGGUGGGGAUUUGGUAUCAGGAGAGGCGUAUAAGUACCUGAACUCUCCACAGAGCUAAUCAGAACUAGAACAGGACCUGACCCGUGUAGUCUUGAACUGCUAAACCCCCUUGUGUUUUUUGUGUCACGCUCAAAGGUUUGGUAAAUCUUUUUUACAGCACUGACAGUCAUCAAUCUUCAACCUGGUUAUUCUUGGUGUUAUCUCUGAAACUGUGUAAAACAAAUAUCAUCAGUUUAAAAUGAUUCUUUCAGAUUAUUUUAUGGUAAACCAAUUAAACCAAAUCAACCAUCCAAAAACCCAUUAAAGUGUUCAUUUUAUAAAUAUACUAACGGGUUCUUACUCAUGACAAUCUGAAAGCUGCUAAUAUUUGUCUAUUUUGCUUCAUCAUUAAAAACUAUCCAUAGAUAUUUGAGUCAACUAGCGACAGUAGAAAGUUUUCAAGGGUAGGCUCUAAACUCCUCAUUGUUUUUUAGAUUAAACCUCCAUCGUGACUUCAAACUGCUGACUUAAAUUUGAGACUGUUGUCAUUCAUAAUUGGCGGCCAGUGUAAGAGGAACCUCAAACACUCCUAAAAGUGAAAGUCAGCACUUUAAACUCCUUUUAUUGUUUCAUUUCAAAUCCAACAUACACAGCCAAAGCCAUUUGUCACUGUCUAGAUACUUCCAGUAAAGUGUUCUGUGGAUGUAAUUGGCCUGAUCCGGCCGAGAUCAUCAUCACUGUAAUAAGGUAGCUGUAGCUGGCUUUGUGACUUUUAUUUUUAUUAUAAUGUUUGGGUUUAUUUCAGAGUUUGAAAUUUGGAGUCAUGAUUGUGAAACAUACCACUUAAUAUUACAAUUCUCUAAUAAGAAUCGCCUGAAUUAUUACAUACUGGAAGGACUGACAAAGUAUUUCAAUCUUGUAGAUUUAUUUUCAUGUCUAUUUUACUCUGUUUUGAUCGUUCCUGAUUUAGACAAGCUGACUGCCAGAUGGAAAGCAAAACAGGCGUGUCAUAUGGCAGUUAUGUUUCAUCAAUUUUACAACUUGUAUGAUGUGAUAAUUUAUCAUCUCUGUCACUGUCAAGGCAGUGAUUCCAAACAUGCUCCACAAUCAGGUUCUGCAAUUAAAAAACUACAAGUCUCUGAAACUUUUGAUAGACAGUACAUCUGCUCCAUGUACCUGAUCUUCUCUCUUCUUUGCUUUAUAACACAUGCUCUUCUAUAAUAGCCACUCAUCUCCAAGCAAAGUCCUUAAGCCACUGAAAAUGAGUUUACCUAACGCAUCCUCCAAGUCACAUAGAGCGUGUGAAGUCAUGUGGUGAAGUGCUUCGACUGUCACACUUUGCUGCAGCAGAUCACGCAUCACUGGAAGGACCGACUGUAUUCUGCAGUCAUUAUCAGGUGGUUUAACACCUAAUAUUUGGUGGCUAAAUUAAGAUCCUCCCAGCUACUGUGAACUGUUGACAAAAAAGUGAAGCUCCCUGCCCCUAAAGUAUCUAAACCUCAUUAAAGAACCAAAGCCACAAUGUGUCUUCCUUGCAGUUUUGUCCUUUUAUAGCUUCCCCUGUCCUUUUUUAAACUUGCCACUUCUCAAAGCAGAUGGGUUACACCCAAGGAUUGGCCUGCUGCUAUUCAUUCUCAUUCCCUUUUUUAGCACUUCUUUCCACUCUGGUUGUUCCUACAUUGGGGUAAUUACCAUCCAGCACUCUCCUGAAGGCUCCGGCUGUAAAAUUCAAUCAGCAACCAAGCAAGAUUUAACUCCCAAACUCCCAUAUGUUGGAGCAGUAAAGCCCUGUCCAUUGAUUUAACGGUAACAUCCUCUCUCUCCUUCGGCUGUAAGGAAACCGCUCUGGCUCUAGCUUUUAUGUGUGAUUCCAAAUAAUAUCGUAAAUAUAUGGACUUUGUUAGAGGAGGACUGUAGGGGGAUCUAAAGUAUAUGACUCUCUAAACAGAGCUUAUUGCAGACAGUAUUUCAGAUGUUGCUGUUAGACCAAACCACACCGAGCAUGAGAUUUAAUUGAAAUAUUUGGACUCCUCUUACUAGGGUUGAAACAAUAAUCAUGAUAAAAAAAACUCAUUAUGCAUGCACUAGUCAGUUUCUUUUAAUCUUACCUAACACUGGGUACAAGGCUGAAUUCAUCACACAGUCGCUAACAGCAACAUAAGGCUAAUUUAGAGACCAAAACCUUGCACUCAUCACUUAAAAGAGACAUAUCUAAUUUCCAGAGCCCCCUGGAAAGGCUAAUGGUUAUUCUGUUGUCUCCUUGCAGCAUGCUUUGUUGCAAGGAUUGAAACCCCAGCUAUCCAUUUGCUAAUGUCACAUCUCUUUUCUCUUGUUCGCUUUUCACUUUUCACUCUGGACACAAAAGGAAAUAAGAGACUCACAAAGGCUGCGGCGUCCUCUAAAAGGUCUUUUAUCAAUCUGUGUUAACUACCUGCCACGAGCUUAUUACUCAGGGCCAUAUGUGACUCAGCAAACCUAUUAGAAGUGAACAUUUAGCAUGCUAAAAAGCCCUCUGACGAACACUGUAAACCUGAACUCAAACUUUUGCUGCAGUUACAAAAGGAAGCUCUACUUCUCUUUUCUCCCGCUUUCUGAGUCCUUUCCCUUCUCUUAAUUAUUUUAGGUCAAUAUUGAUUAAAAAAAAGACUUGAGAAAGUCUGCUUUGCUCAUCUUUACUCUGGAAGGUCUUUAUUUUUUCAAGUUUACUUUUGGGCUUUAUUGAGAGACACAGUGGCGAGAAUAUGAAACAAGAGAGGGAGAGUGGGGAACAUGUGCAGCAAAGAUCCAGGGCUGGACUCAAACACUGCCCGCCUGCUUAAGGACUAUAACCUCUGCACAUGGAGUAUGGGAUUGAAGUGCUAAGCCAAUGCAUAACUUGUAGAAUAUGUGACCCACACCAAUCGAGGAACAGUUGCCAUCAUUGCCAUCUUUCCCAAAAGUGCGUUUGGGGUCAUCAGUGUAAGACUGUAUUUUGUGGGUCAAAUCUUUGCAUUUUCAUUACUGCACACAGAGUCUUGUAGGAGCUACAGGACAGCAGCUUAUCUGAAACACCUGCACUAUAUGAGGAGGAUCUGCAGUACCUAACAGCAUUGUUCAAUAAUGCAAUAUAUGCCUCAUCAGACCUUGUUUCUUUGCAGUAGUUGCAGUAAUUUACACUGUUCAUGUGCUUGUUAAUUUUUCAGACAGCCUUUUCCCCUCCUUUCCAAACCAAGUCUUAAAGCUUAGAUGACUCAGGCUUGUCUGGAGCCUUGAAGUUCUCAGUUUUGCUAAUAAAAUGUCUGUAAAGUCACUUUGACCACUUUUGAACCAGACAGUGAUGUUAAAACCUGCCCUGCUGAUGUCCACCCUGAUCAACCCCAUGUACGACGCUGUCAGCAGCUCAGCUUGUGUUUUAUCACAGAAUUUGAGUUGAAUACAGAGACUUACAGACAAAACACAAUACUUUGACAUAGUGCUGGGCGAUAUGGAAAAAAAUGUAUAUCAAGAUAUGGAUCAUUUUAUAUCACGAUAACGAUAUAUAUCACGAUAUAGCUAUGGUAUGCUUUCAGUUCUAUAAAAAAAUUUAAGUGUAUACAGCUGCACAAGUACCAGUACAAGACCAGCACUUAAAACUAGAAAAAUGAAUAAAUAAAUACGUGUCUGUGCUCACCCAAAGUUAUGCAACACUCACAGAAAACGCCGAUAGUGUGAGCCAAAGCACUCCAUAAUAAUAGUAAUAAUAAUAAUAAUAAUAAUAAUAAAUUUAAUUUGUAAUGCACUUUACAUUUACAAAAAAUCUCAAAGUGCUACAGUACACAGUAAAAAAAGAGCAGCAACAAUAAAAAAGCAAUAGAAUGACAGUCACAGAUUGGCAUAAAAAAAAGAAUUAAAAAAAUAAAAAAUAUAGAGUUGCAAUGUAAGAGGCAAGGUAGUAAAAGCAUAAAGCAUAGAGGAAAACUAACCAAAGGCUUUAUUAAAAAGGUAGGUCUUUAGGGCCCUUUUGAAGAGGUUGUUCACACUGCUAGAUGUUUCUCCUCCAAAGCUGCUCUCUGCCUCCAUCAUUGUUUACUUUACUCUUGAAGCACGUGGGAAGACCCGAGCAUGAAUCUGAGCGCUUUAUUCGCCUAUCAGGGGCAGACAGGUAAGGUGAUUUGAUUCGCCACGACUCCAGAAAUGAUUGAAAAACUACAGAAUGUCACAAAAUUACGUUUCCUCGCUGCUGGCUUGAAGGGUAGAGAUGCGCAGCCGCGCUCCCAGCUGACAGGAAGUCAAACCACUGUUGUAGUUCUUUUGUGUUGCUAGCGCGGUCAAGAGUGUUGGCUCUCACUGAGAGAUGACUAACAAAAAUGGACGCACCUGUUCAUCUGGUUGUUAAACACGGCUGAAAAUGAUCAUCUUUUAAUGUUGUUCCAGCUCCUGCCCAGUCCCGUUGCUUUUUUUCCCGUCCCGUCCCGAUCAAGGGAUUAAUUAAAAAAUGACUCCCAUCCCGUGUGAUUCCCGCGGGAAUCACGUGACCCACGGGAAUUCCCGAAAAAUGCCAUCCUCUACAGGGAAGGUCCCGGAGCAGAUGAAACAGGUGCCGGAGCGGCUGAAAUAGGUCCCGGAUCCGAUCAAAAGAGGUCCCGGAUCGCGCUCCGACUUGCUCCGGCACAAAUUAAGCACUGCUUACAAUGAUCCCCUCACGUGUGUAACCCAGGUAACCCGCAACGGCGGGAGACGCUGGACACGAAGAGGGCACGUAAAGCGGCGUCAUGUCGCAAAAUCGAAAGAGAAAUGCGAGCCUACAUGUCAACGCAUCCUUUUCUUUGUAAGAAAAUAUUGUUUUCUUUCCCGUUCGACACCAAAUACACUUACUGAAUGUGCAAUUAUUGUUGUUGUUACUAUGAAUCAUCUGAUGGCACAAGCCCUAUGGAUAAAAUACAGCCUAUCGCCCGAAACGAUAAAAAGAAAAAUGGCACGAUAGACAUUUUCUAUCGUGCCCACGAUAUCUAUCGUCCUAUCGCCCAGCACUACUUUGACAACUAUUUUUGUUCAUAAGAUAAAAAAGAAGACAUAAAAUCGUAAAAUAUUUGGAUUGAUCAGCCUAAUCAUACUAGUGACACAUUUUCAAGUCUUUUGCUAUAGAAGCUUCUUUAACAUCUUUAAUAUUGUUCUUAUAAAACAUGCCACUGAAAGCUAUCAAUGAAUGUGUUUGAGCCAAUCAUUUCACCCAACACUGUUUCAACAAAUGUCAGUAUCAAGCUGGAUUUGAUUCAAAACAGAUGCCAUAAAAGGAUCCUCAACCAUUGUGUGUAAAAACCGACAACAGUAGAGCUGUGAUUGGUUGGUGUCCCCACUUUGUAAUACUUCAGAGAAGGAACAUUUUCUGGAGAGCUCGCCAUGUUAAGUUGCACAGCUCUGAACCUUCCUCCUCAGACAACAUUCAGACAGCUAAUCAAUGCAGGACCUCAUCCUUGCCCACUCAUUUCACAAAUAGAUGUUGAGGUUAAAAACUGAGAGGCUGCAGACCUUCCAUGGAGACUCUAUUUGUGAUCAUUUCAAAGCCUUGCUUAAAACACCUGAGACAUGUUUUGAACAGCUGAAAAUAUAAAUGAACUGAAACACAAUUUUCCCUUGAGCAUAAACAGGCCCUUUUAAUGUAGAGCUGUUAAAAAAAUAUAUUUUAUAUAUUUAUUAUAUAAGAUAUUUAAUAUAUCUUAAUCGCAUGAAAGUCCAUAGUUAAUCGCGAUUAAUCUCAAAUUAACCAAGCAUUUUUAAAUCUGUGAUUGUUGUAACUUAAAAGGGACAAAGAUCAUAUAUUUCCCAUCCAAAUGAAAGUGGACUGCUUUAUGUAAAUGUGUUAUUAAUACUAUUAAUGCAACAAUCCAACACGAUGACAAAUACUGUCCAGAAAAAAGCUGAUUUAGUGUUGAUAGUUAAGACAAAAUGAACCAAACUCCAUAUUUUGUGUACAAAAAUGUUUGUCUCACACCAUUUGACAAUCUCUGGCACUUGUUAAAAUUGUUGGUUAAAAAAUCUGAAUCAAUACAGAAUUUAAAACACCGCAUAUAUUUCUCUACAGGACAUGAUUUAGUUCUACUUUCAGCCAUGAUACCUCUCAUUCUGAUUGAAUCUUUUAGCCUCAGUUGGAAGCUGUAUUUGGCUCUUGGCCUCAGUUAUUACACAGAUGUUUGAUACCUGCAGCCAAAUGCUCUCCUCACAGCUCACUCUGGUGUAACUGAUAACAUUAAUUGUAGCUGCACCCCCCGUUUACUGUAGGUGUGUUUGUGCCUCUGCAUUAGCAGUCUGCGCGCUGGCUGACUGGCAAGAUUCCUGAAUGUUUCAGAGCUAUCAUUAAUGUUAUCACUUAACACCUGUGCUUUUCCCGUGAUGGCAAGUUAAAUAUCCGAUGAGCUAACAUCUGUUUGACUGUGAAACGCACGGAUAUGACAGCGAGACAUACCCUAUAUACAUCUGACAAACUCGCAACUCUAUUUCUUUCCUCAUCUCUAUUUCCCACUGCGUUUGAGAUUUUAGACUCCGCUUGCAGCAGUCUAGAUUUUAAGAAUAAUUUUUAGUACUUUAACUGACCACGUGGGAUCAGACUGGAAAGCUGUAUUUGUGAACUGUGCUAAUGUUAAGCACCAUAAUUACACUCCUCAAAGGCACUGACUCCUGCUUUGAACUGUGUCCCACUCUAACAAACGCUCACUUAACCCAGUGGAGAAUUUCAGGUCAGCUCACAUUAACAGCUCUAUAGAGCACAAACCAUAAAUUUAAAUUGAGUCAUUUUUCUCUGUCAGAGUAAGCUCACAAGAACACUCGUUCCCAGGAGGCUUGACGUUGACUGCCAGAAACACUUGAGCUGAACUUAAACCAAACACUGUGUUUGGAUAAAUAUGGGACGCUCUGGGGCAGGAGAUAAGCGUGUAGAUUUGUUUUAACCUGAAUUUCAACCGGUAUCAAACAAUUUUCAGAAGAUUACAUCCCCUUUAAGACACGAGGUGAAAUUACAAUCAUCUUUCCCCAAAAGUCUUCCCCCUUCGCCAAAAACCUCCCGCACUUUAAAGGAGCUUUGGAAAGAAUCUCAGAUGAUGCAAGUGAAGACCAAGGCAAUGAAAUCAGCCAUCACGCCGCUCGAUCCUUCAGCAUCCUAAAAAUCUGCGAACACUUCAUGAUGACAUCACUUUGAUCUUUAAUUAGUACAUCUGAUCUGGACAGGGCUAAAAAUCUCACUUAACAAUAUCCACAAGGUCUCAUGGGCUCCCCUACGCAGACACGCCUUCACAUACCUACGACCAUGCAGGGCAGUGUGGUCCUUUUCCAUGCAAAGAAUGAGUCUAUAACGACCCAGCUAUAGGUCAGUCAAGUUGGAAUAUAUAUUUACUUCUUUAAAUAUCAUAAACAGCUGAAAUGCAACAUAGAAACAUGCAAGUUUAACUAGAAAGCAUAAAUAACGCAAUCCUAUUUUGCAUUCGCUUUGCACACACCCUGCAGUGUUUCCCACCAUGAGUCAUUUUAAUGAAAAGAACUCCCAGAAGUCAUCUGUAGUUACAAGGUAAAAGGUGUAAAUCACCCCCGCUAAUAGCUGUCAAAGGAUGGGUCUGCGAGCGUGAAAACAUAAACUGUAAAACAUCAAAUAAAAGCUGGUUUCAUCUUAACGCAGGGUCUUAUUAUUAUUUUUUUACUAGCUCAGUGUGGCUGUUUGUAUCGACUAAUAAAUGCGUCCACCAGAAGUCCCAAUUUGUUCAUCUUCCGGUCCGUGCAGUGAGCAGCCUCCUUAUUUUUGCUUCCUCUUAAACGUCACAUUUACAUUUACUGGUAGCCAUGGCAAUAUUGAAAAAAAUAAAAGAAACAAAAUGCUGUAAGGUUGUCAAGAACUGGAUUAUGAACAGAAACAUGUCCACUUUCACUACGACAGUUAGCAACUUUCCCAAUUUCAGCUCAUUACUACUGGGUCGUCUACUGCAAGUGGUGAAUAGGACGUACAUCGAAUGAUAAAAACAUUGUCCCUUUUACUGUUCUGUAACUUUGUGUGUGUUUGUUUUGAUUGGACAAUCUCAUCUUUUUAAAGGUAAAUGGUCUCCGCCUUUUUUGUUUUACCAUCUUUAUUGUUCAAAAGUUCUUGAAGUUUAUGUAUAAAAAAUUCAUAAAUAGCCUGUCUCACUUAAAUCUUGCCUUUAGUAAAGACGUGGUGAAAUUAUUGAGAAAAACAUUUAAAGGCUGGGCUACAAAUCAAAGCUUAAUGAUGACUAAAUUUGAAAAUAAUUAAAGUGAGACACAGUCAAGAGACACUAAUUAAAAUAAAAUGAAGCGUAAUAGUUUCUUUUACAGAGAGUUAGAUGAAUCAGUCGGAGUAAUUACAAAUAUUCCUUCUCCUGAGUUAUAAAUGUAAUCUUCACAUAUCUUCACUGAUAGCUUUAAUCACAGUAACAGAAAAUACGAUCAAUGUGAAUUUUUCUCUGUAAGCUUUUUCCUAACUUGACUUAAAAGUAUCAGCAACAUUAACUUAAUUAAAAGUUACAAGUUUGCAGAAACCAUAAAAAGCCAUAAAAACACGACUGAAAGUUGUUUUUCUGUCCUUUAGAAAUUAUUUUACGAUCCAUUAAAAUGUUUACUCCACCCACCAGAUUUUCUAAAAGCUCUAUUAAAUCUCUCAAGGCUGUACGCAAAUCAUUGAAAAAUUAAAUGUUUUAAUUAAAUAUUCAUUAGUGCAUGAAAACAUUUGGUGUACUUAUAUUUUUGCUGCAGGAUUACAUUGCUCUUUUGUGUUGUGUGUCGUGUCUCGCUCAGUCCAUCAGGAGUUCAAACAUGUCGCUCAAAAGUGAUGUUUGCAGGGAAGUUUGCAACACCUACUGCUCUGUCUGAAACAGAAAACAACAGAGUCAGAAAGGGCAAAACUUUUAUCAUAUUUCAGUCUUUCUGUCUCAAACUUUUUAUUUUAGUCUAACUUUAAUCAGUUUUAGCCAAAACUUUCUAGGCAGAAAGAUUAAAGAAAAACUACCUCACUGUCUUUGUUCGUCUUCUUGUUUAUGGACAACGUGUGACGUCGAAUCACAGAGAAAGACAGAGUUUUUGUCUUUGCUGAAGUAUCUCUUACUUAAAAAUAUAUAUCCGAACAUUACAACAUGAAAGUCAGUCAGUUUAUGAAGCAACAUGCUGCUCUACCCUAGUGUUGCCUUUCUCCAAUAUGACGUCUAGUGCUGAUUUUUUGUUUUCUAAAUUUUCCACAAGUAUGAAGUCAUUAUAGAUAAAAUGUUCUUUGGCUGUGAUUCUUAAGCAUGAAAUACAAAUAAAAGUUAGUUUUAUUGUGUUUCAGGUUCUUUAAGUCACCAUAAGAGUUUGUUUCCAGAAGAUGGAUUUAGAGCUUCUGAAUAUGUGUACGACAGUAAGAAUUGACACAUGAUUCGAACCCAGUGGUCUCCUGUAGUUAAGACAUCAUAAAAUGGACUGAACUCAUUCCCCUCUGUCAGGAAAAUCAUUUCUUUUGUCAUGUUAAAGUUUUACCUGAUGGGUGACUCAUUUGUAAAACUUGUGUUGCGCCUGCUUUCUGUCCGCAGCUGAUGGACACUUGGCUUAAGCUUUUUAUGUGUGCUAUUAUGAGUUUUACUCACACAAAGAGAACAAAACAGCUCACUGUGUGAACAAUAAGCUAAAGAAAUGAAUAUAAGGAGACAUGAAGUAAAGGUUAAUGAAGGUGUUACAGAUGUGCUGUUGUCUCAGCGCGCCCUCGAAGUAUAGAGAGAGCAUUGAGUUCAACAGAUAGAUUAACUAUGCGAGCUCAAAGAAACAGUCUGUACGGAGACCUCCAGGCAAGUCCAUCGACUGCAGCAGGGGGACCCAGCUCAAGGAAGAACAUUUAAGAUCAUUACUUUAUCAUUUCCUUGAAGUAAUAAUCAUCAUAUUAAUAAUUUAGCACUGCAUACCCGGUAGUUCUUCCGCCUUAGCGUCUCGGCCUGAUUGCAUUUCCAUGAAGUAAUAAUCCUAAAUGUUCUUCCUUGAGCUGCGAAACCCCACUGCAGUCGAUGGACUCGCCUGGAGGUCUCCGUACAAACAAGCGGCUGCUGAAAGAGAGGGGGUGAGUUGUGUUUAGUCUCUCUGCUAAAGAAAUCAGGCAAAGCUAAAAGGAUGUUUGGUGGCUAGUGCUGUGGCUGGGACCCUAUAUGCACUGUUGAUGAAGUUAGGUGCUGUUCUGAGCAUCAUUUGUGGCUAUAGAGUGGCUUACUAGAGAAGCAAGCGGUCGGCAACAUUCAUCUCUCAAGGGGGUGUCGAACUCUGUGUUACGGUGUGUUUGACCCUAACUCAAUUUUACACCGGAAUAUCCCUUUAAGUGCAUGCUGCAUGUCAGCCUCCAAUCUUGAGAAAUGAAGUUGAAGUAGAAGUGCUACGAUCUGCAGGUCCUGCUUGAGACCAGCUGCACAAGCACUGAAAACCACGUGCACAUGAGAGGAAAAAUAAACACCUUUUCAGGCGGGUUCAAAUAAAACAAAAUGGUUUCAAACAAAAUCCUCUUUAAACCAAUACACUCUAAUCCCAAAAAGAGGGAUACUUUAUAUCUGUAAAUAAUCGGGGCUAAUAACAUUUCAUCCCAUUAUUCUUGUCAGAGGAGGUCCUUGUCAUGCGGUUUGACAUCAUCUGUGUUGUAAGUUAAGAGUAAUUACACUGCAUUAUCUGUUUCACAUCUUAAUCUGUUACGGUGCAUUAGAGGAAUCUGUGUUGCUCUUCACAUUGAUAAUCGCUGUAUCGAGGGCUUCAAUGAGAGUGGAAACAAAACUGAGAGCUUUUAAAACUGCAAACAAGCUCUAUCUCGUUUCAGACGUCUGUAACUCAACCUUUAGUGAGCUAAAUGGAGAUUCUUCAAACUUGCCUCGCUGAAAAUACACAAAAGAGAGGGGAUUUAAACAUCUGCUGAACACUGAGGACUAAAUGUGCUCAUAUUACAUAAGGCUGCUUUCCAAGGAUUUAUAACCCCAUCAGGUUAAAAACAUUUUUUAGAAGUAGUCUGUAAAUGGUUCAUUUCCAAGUUGAACAUAAAAACAAGUACUCAAACACACAGUGGAGAUGCUCACACUGCAUCUGUUCCUGUUGGAAAAUAACACAGCUGUGAUAAGAGGCUAUAACCCAAAGUGAUAUCAUACGUAUAUUUUACCAUAGCACUAGAACACCAUUAGCAACCCAUACUGUACUGUCAUUUUGCACACACACUGUGGUUUUAGAUUCAGGCUGAUUGCUGCAUAAUAACCCUCUCCCCAGAUCCAAAUUAGCCAAUGUGCAUUAGCAGGUAAUUGUCACUGCAGCGGGGUGUUGCACUCACAGGCUGAAGACCUCAUAAAAAAUCUGGCAGCAGCAGUGCCAGGAACCAGAUAUUAGUCCCCUGCCAGCAGCAACAGGGUACAAAUGGUCCUCGGCACAAAAGGCUCCGUGUGGCCGAGUCUCCCUCAGAGGUGAAGAUCUCCCAGAGUAAACUUGACACCAUGGGAGAUUUUUUAAUGAUCUCCAGCUCCAGCCUUAUUGUGUUUGUUAGAUUUAUGUCUGGCUCAAGGAGAGGAGUGAAACCUCAUAUUUGUUGUAGGAAGUCAACAAAUAAACUAAGUCUGCCCUCUCCACAAGGCUGAUGCUGUUUGUUGAUGCGGCUUCAGAAAUGUGACAUUCAACCCGAGAGUGUCUUUCAAGACGAAAUGCAUUUAUUCGUCCCCUGAGUAUUUCCAGGCCUGUCCUGUCAUUGUUGCAGUACAAAGUACCUGAUUUCACAGCAGCUGUUUUAUGACAUUAAGAUGCAUGUUUGAAGCUUUGAGUGUAAAAUGUAACACAUCCACUGUGAACGAAGGGGACAAACACUCCAAUAGACCCAUGUAUGGGCUGACUGAGCUGUUUGUCCUCUGGAUUCACUGGAGGAAGGUGUCUGAGAAGAUUGUUAAUGCAAAAUAGAAAGGCAGAAAAACAUCAUUUAAAAAACACAUCAGGGUUUGGAAUCAUUGACUGACUCACGAUCCAGUCCGAUCCGAUCCGAUGUGAUACGAUCAUAGACUGUAUAUAGAAUAGACAGCGUCUGCCUUCUUGCUGGGUGAAGCCACUCCGAGAACAGCACCCUCUGGUGACAGGCUGCAGUAUAGGUCAUAAAUCCCGCCACCGCCAGCAAAGCUUAUAGAGCUGUGGACAAACUUUAGAAAUUUAUGACACAGAAUAUAAAAUGUUCUACCCCCUGCUUGUGAUGUUGACAUGUAGUUACAGUAAGACUGGUUUCUGCUCAAGUCCUCUUUUUUUCUGUACAGCUCCAUUUUUAAAAGUUAUUAGGGGGUUCAUGUUUUCUAUGACUGACACCUGAUACAGCCUAUUGGCGUUAAGGGAUUGAGUAGCUCACCCAGGGGAUACACCGUUUGAGCCGAGCGUCAUCACAGCGACUCUUGGUGACUCUCCCGCCGAAUGCGUACAACGCUACUGCGCAAUAUUGGUUUCAGGAAAUGAAGAAAAAUCGCAGAAAUACCGAGAGCUUUUUGGCUUUAAAUCUUUAUACAGGCAGGAGGCGGAACCAAGUUUUCCAUAGUAUAUACAGUCUAUGGAUACGAUAUGAUCCGAUACGAUACAAUAAGAUGUGAUGUGAUCUGAUAUGAUAUAUAAUACAAUUCGAUAUGAUUUGAGGAGAUACGAUAUGAUAUGAUACAAUACGAUACGAUUCGUUAGGAUAUAAUAUGAUUCGAUAAGAUAUUAUACAAUACGAUUCAUAACACUUGGACAGUGGAACACCAUGUUGGGGUUUUAAAUCCCUGACUGACCCAAGAUAAAUAUCUAAUGAUUAGAUACUUUAUGACAUGAUACAAUAAGAUAAGAUACAACACAGUAUGAUACAAUAUAAUUCACUAAGAUACAGUUUGAUACGAUAAGAUACAUGAUACUUGGACAGUUGAUAUCAAGAUCUAAUUGUAAUCAGUAAGAGGUAAAACAGUCGUAGAAAAUAAAAUUACCAGAUAAAUAGAAAAAUACAAAAGGCCCCCAAAAGGUAACAGGCUUGUUUUUCCAUUAAUCUGCCUGAUUGUUAGUGUAUCAGCACAGUCAGAUUAGCUGUGCUGAAGUGUAUGUUCUCCGGCCAAGUAUAAUUGCCAACCUUUUACACAUUUUCUUUGUGUUAUUAUUCCCUGGCUUCCCUGUCUAUGAUCAAUAAGAAAGUGCGUUCUCACUUUGAAACAUAUGCAUCUCAAGUAGGGUUUCUAUUGCCAUUAUUAAGUCUUGUUCAAUGUAAUGACUUCAGACCCCAGACCUUUCUGUGAGUACAAACAGUGAAAGAACUCUCAGAUGGGAUUAACCAGCAUGUUUAACUUAAAAGAAAGAAAUAUUGUGAAUUCAUUGUAUGUAUAUACUCAUGAAAUAUUUAUCCCCACAACUUCAGUCAGCAUUGUAAGUAUACUUGCAUUGUGUCAGACCAGGAUGGCCAUAUAUUGUUGUACCGUUACACUAUAAAGCCAGGAAAUGCUUCCUUCACUGUGUAUAGGCUCUACAAUAUUAUCCAAAUGGGUGAAGGAAACUCUCCAUGUUACAUUUGUCUUAUAUUUUCCUAAACACAAUUUCAGCUUCUGUGCUGGUAGCAAAUGACUCUGAUAAGAAUAUGAGGUGAAGGGGACAUCUGACUUUGCGAUGCCUCUUGGAGACGAGUGCCCAAACGCAUCAGUUUCAGAGCCUCAGAGGUUGGUUGGAGUUCAUGAACACAGCAGACGAUUGGCAGACUGACUCAACCCAAGGCAUCUAAAAGGACAGGCGAUUGUUUUCAGCCAAGGAAAAAAGGAUAAAUUAUCACAACUAGACAUUAAGUAUUGUAUUUUACCUUCAAGAUGCUUUGUAAAAAGCCUCCAGAGAACACAGUGUUAUUCAAGGGUAGGUUGGGAUUGGCCUUAGAGAGGAAAGAGUGCACUACACAGCCUCAUGACAGAGUCUGCAAUACAGCAAAAAAGGAAGAUUCUAGCAAUUGUGCUCCAUGGGUAAUAAACAUACAGUAAUCUGAUAUCUUUAUAGCAACAACUAUCUCAUAAAGUUAACAUUUUGUGCUACAUUACAAAAAAAAGUGAGUUUGGUGACAAUCUGUGCUUUGAAAUAUGACCGUACAAGUUGGAAAAGGAUUGUAAUGAUUAGCCAGAUUUUUCAAACGCUUUAAGAUUAAAUGAAUGCACCACAGACUGUGAGAAUUUGUUAUCACUGUAAGAAAGUACAUUGCAGUUUCCUGGAGGGACUGAUUUGGAUGGCUGCAUGAGCUGAGCAAUGCCCACAAGCAUCCCCCUGUUUGCAGAGUACAGUAAGAACAAAUACCUUGAACACUAUACCCAUGUGGGUGUAAGGUAGUUUUUUUUUUUGGUCUGGGAGCAUUGUAUAUAAAAUAAAUGGUGCAUGAAGAAAAGGAAAAACAGGGAGAGUGUUUGCUUUUUUUUAUAGCUCUAAAAGAAAAGUGGUGCCCUAUAGUUUUGCAGUUGCAUUAAACAAAGUUGGAGGCAAAGGCAGCAGUCUUUUUCUGCGGCAGUGGUCCCAGAGGGGCUGUGCACAGAGUGAGGAGCUGUGAAUAAGGUGAGAGUACAGCCUUUUUUACUGUCACAGAGAACAACUACUGUAACUAAGUUCACCUGAAGGGUAGUGGAGGAUGGCAGAGGUGGAACAUCUCAUCUGGGCAGGGAGGGAAUUAAUACUGCAGGUACUAUCACAGCUGUUCUAUCUUGAAUUUGAUGUAUAAUAUAAAAGGCACAAGGGUUUGAAUACAUGUUAAGAUAGAGCUCCAGCGGUAAGGCCAUUAAUCAGAGGCUCUCACUGUAAACGUAUCGCUUUUGCUCCAAGGGUUCAACCACAUGGAGCAACCUUUUGUUUUCAGUGUGUUUCGUCGCAGGUGUUUCGUGUCCUGAACGACAAAUCCAAGAACCUCCCGUCAUUAUCACUCUCUAUAACCAUCACUGAGAAUUUUCCUGUAUCAUAGCAGGAAUCUUUGCAUCUUUGUCACCUUUAUAGAGAACAACUAAAUUUCUGAAGUUAUAUUUUUAGGGCAUUUCUUUUCUGUAUUAGAUAUGACAGUGGAGGAAAGAAUUCAACUGCGGGACAAAGAUGAAGGUAACGCCAGUGAUGAAUGAGAAGUAUGAUCUUCCAAAUUCUUAUCAUCAAAAAAGUGUCAUUGCAAAUUUUGUGUGCACAACUACAGCCCAUAAACUGUAUAUAGAAUGGACGCCAUCUGCCUUCUCGCUGGGUGAAGCCACCUGAAGAACAGCACCCUCUGUUGGUGGGCUGCAGUACAGGUCAUAAAUCCCAUCUCCUUCAGCAAUCCCCUAUAGGGCUGCGGACAAACUGUAGAAAUAUGUUACACAAAUAUUUCUCCCCCCUGCUUGCGAUGUUGACAUGUAGUUAUUGUAAGACUAAGGUAAGGAUAUUAGGGGGUUCAUGUUUUCUGUGAUUGACACCUGAUACAGCCUAUUGGCGUUAAGGGAUUGUGUAGCUCACCCACGGGAUACGCUGUUUGAGCCGAGCGUCAUCAUAGCGACUCUCUGCGACUCUCCCGCCAAAUGUGUACAACACUACUGCAUAAUGUUGGUUUCAGGAAAUGAACAAAAAUUGCGUAAAUACAGAGAGCCUUUUGGCUUCAAAUCCGUAUAAUGGCGGGAGGCGGAACCAAGUUGUCCAUAGUUUAUACGGUCUCUGCUGCAGCCACUUUUCCCCCCCGUUUUUCCAGCCAGUGCAUUUUCAGUGGCUGCUCACUUAAUACUGAAAUGUGCUUGUUGUAAAGUUUGUCCAUUCUGUGCUACAGUAGAAACAUAGGGGUGCAUGAUGGUGACCUCUGUGGUAGGGGUCCUGCUCAUAAGUAGAUAAAAAGUUCAUUUUUAGUGGUUAAAUCAGGCGAUAUAGGCGGUCGCCUAGGGCGCCAUCUGCUGCAGGUGCGCCGCCAGGCACUGUUGGCCUCAAGGAAAAAUAAAUAAAUCAAUAAAAACAAUAAAAAUAAGAGUAAUUUUCUUUGCCCAGUUGGCCUCCUUUUUGUGUUCUCUCUUGAUAAUGUUAUAUCAAUAUGUUAUUUGAUAUAUUAAAUGAAUAAACAAUGAUGGAAUGUGGUGCUGCUGAUCACAUGACGGUGUGCACCUCAGGGCUCAAGGGAUCAGAGGUCAAGUCACAGACAGGUGACGGUUUCUUUUGGCUGCUCUCAUUACUUUAACGUUUGCUGUUGUUAAAAUUAAACUGUAUGGGAUUGUUCAUUUGGCUGAUGUGCCGUGGUGGUGGUGGGGCUCCUGAGAGUAAUCUUGCCUAGGGCACUAAUUUAGGUAGAGCUGGCCCUGGAUUAAAUACAGUGUCGAUGUUCAGGUGAUUAUACACUAAGCUAAACACAGAUGCUAUUUUCUGUUUCUUUACUUUCAGUUCUGCUAAAUACCACUGAAUGUCACCCAUUGUACCUUUAAGUCAAAAUUGUUCUAAUUCUAAAGGGAAAUUUUCAUUUUCAUUUUCAGAGCAAACUGCUUUCCUUGAGUUUCAAACAAUUUCCUCUGAGCCAUAAAUUUUGUCGAAGUGAAAAAUGAGUUUAGCAAAUCAAAUUUGCCUUCAAGGUUAACUAAUAAAAUCCCUGUCCCAAACUUGCGUCAUAUCGUCAUAAAUGCUGCAGUGAACGUUUUUCAUGGUGAUUCAGAGGCACAGAGGCGAGCUCCAGUCCUGCCAUACCCGCCACUACCCACCGUAUUUGUUCCUGUUUUGGGAAACCAUUAAAAAAAAGAGCGGGGAAAACAACUCAUGCAAGUCAAAUAAUUCCUCCAUGCAGCCACCACCUUUCCAUAAUGAUCACGUUUUUUUGGUAUAAACCCUUGGUUUCACCGCAUGCCACAACCAUCCAUAACUGUAAGUUAUUGUAAUCUUCCCACUAUUCAUUAAAAUACGAGGGCAGAAAAGCGUGCACGGAAAUGGGCAUUUGACAGAUUUAAUGAGACUGGCUGCGAACAAUGAGCCGUUGGGGUCUCUGGCAGGGCGAUUCAUACUUACUCAAUUUAAUGGGGAAUUAAAUUCAACUGAGGGACUAAGGUAUUAGUGAGAGUUUGUGACUCCCACAUCCCUUCACACUCGGAUAAAAAUCUGUAAAUGAAAUGGCGAGAAAGAUUGGAAGUUGGACAAAGGAAAAAAAGCUCCUCUUUAAAGUUGUUAAGACUGUUUUUAUUGUAACUAUAAUAAGAAAUCCAUUAUGCCGAUGUGAUUAUGUUGCAGUCAUGAGGUGUGCCGCAGCUGGAUUCAGUAUUAAAGGAGGAGCAGGAGGUGUGAGGGGCGUCUUAAUUACAAUCUAUAAAGAAAGGCUCCACAGACAAGCCUUUCAUUAAAUGUUAAUUAGUUGUCAUACAUCUGCUCAAGGUCAUCAUGAAAAAAAAUAUUUGAUAUAACAAUAGAGAUCCUUGUGCGAGAUGGACUAAUUUUGCGUGUCUGAUCCUUACGUCUUUCGUAUAUCUUAAUUACUGCACAAAUUAGGCUUUCAUUAAAGUGUCAGCCUGGCAGUCAGCAGUGAUGAAGCUCACUCUCCUCCACACACUUUGGGUUACAGCUGAUUAUGUGUGUGUAGACGUCAUUAGUCUCUCAGACUAGACUCAGAGCCGGUUAUUUGAAAAUGUCAGUCUUUACUCUUGUAGUUUAGUUCAAUCAUGCUUUGUCUGUAAGUCUAAAAAAAAACCUCCACUUAAUGUAAGUUUUGUUCACAUCGGUGCAGUUUGUCAAAUGUGACAAAGUUCAAAGUAAUUAAAGAAAAAAAGCUGCUUUUUCAAGAGAUGUUUGGAUUAGUUAGGCUUGCAAAGUCUGAACAUAUUGAAGUAAAUGAGGGAAAUUAUUCUUUGAAAACAGGUAUUUCUUACUCUUGCAGCAUGUGCAUCUCUUGCCUGGAGGAAUGGGUAUAAUGGUCAUGUGUUCAUACCUUUUGGGUGCAGUCAGGUGAAGCUCAAACUAGAUGUCAGUUUCUCAGAUUAAAUAAACCAGAUAGAGGAGAAGCAUUUUACAUUUAGGAAGGACAUAUACAGAAUAUGAAUGUAACACAUAAAGAACAGAAAAUAGACACAGGAAUUGGGAGAUCAUUUGCCAGUAGUGCUGUAAGUAGACCAGUUUGCUCUGAAACACAGUACUGCCACUUCUAAUUGAACUCUUUUAGGGUACUGGGACUUUUUGGCGUACUAGAGCCUCUCACCUGCAGCCAGUACCCAGGUGUCAAAUGACUCGUCUGUUUCUACUAGAGAAGAUUGCAACCUUACAGUGUUGUAAACACAAGGAAACUCUGAGCAAAUACUGCAACAUUCAGGAUAAUGACAUGGUGAUAGUAAUGAAAAACAGAAGUUAAUAUAAGAGAAAACCACUCUCAGUCAAAUGGGCAGAGGAACAUAUUUGUUAUCUGAUCAAUGUUCUGGCAGUGACGUGUGUUGUGUCUGCAGAUAGUGCAAAAACAAAUGGACUGUCUGAGGACAAAGUGCUGAAAAAACUUGAUGUUGAGUGCGCUCUUAAAACGUGAAGAGUGCGGUGGUUUGGAUCUCUCAAAUUAAGCUAAAUUACGAGGCAGUGGUGACCCUGUCUGCAGAGAGCUGUUAGCCUGCUGGUCCUCCCGACAGUUUCUCAGUGAACAGGCAGAACUAACCGGCAUCUAUCGUGGCUGAUACACCGACAUAUCAAAACAGCUGGCAAAGUGCAUUGGCAAGAGGCUAAAGGAACAUCACUUUUACAGCUCUGUGCCAUUUGUUUGGAAAGUUUCUUCUUUUUUAUGUCAUUUUUUCAUCAGAUCAGGUUUUGUUUACAACCUAGCUUCUUAGCAGUGCAUCAGUACUGUUCAAUCAUGAACACUUACGCUAGUGUCAGUGCGAUUGAGUCGUGUACAUGACAGAGAAAAUUUAAGUUAAACUAAUGCAAUAACUUGAUUUUACUGAGUGUUUGUCAUACUUCAGAUCAAUGCAGUAUUAAAAAUGCAAACAAAAGAUCGUGUUUUCAUGUGUGUAUUGAAAAUAGCAUUGUGUCUCUGUAUCCUUACAUUGAUGCUCUCAUGGUGUAUCCUUCUCCACAGAGCUGCCGUGUUGCAUCGCCAUGUUUCUGCAGUAAACUGUAGUACAGGCUUGUCGCCUCUAUCAGGCGAUUUAUAACCACUGCAUAUCCUGCGACAUGCUCUGAGGAGGAAGUUUAAGUGAGCAGUUUUCAGCUCAAAUGCAGAAGUUAACCUCAAAUUAGCAGUAAAUCUUACUCGCUGCUCCUUUAACCUGCAGUAGGCGAGACUUUUAGCUGAGUUCAGUCACUCUGAUCAACAAACAACAGAUUAAUUACCAGGAAAUACAUGAUUAUGUUAUAUUAAAACCAGAGGGAGACACAUGGUCCUUUUAAAAGAUUGUCACAAACCAUCAUUCAUGAAACUAUAUCAACACCAUGAUUGACUGAAGAUAUGACCAAGGAUGUAAUCAGAGUUCUUUACAGUCUCAGGCAUCUUAAUCUCCAGUUCUUACUCCAGAUACAGUCAGAGACUGGGCUCAAUCUGACAAACACAGGGGGUCCACACAAGGUGGCAGGUUUGUAGGCUGCAGGGGGUCGAGAUGGAUUUCUGAGGUAAUUAAUGAUGACAUUCUUCAAAGACUGUAGUCAGCAUCAAAGACCCUCGCUUCAGGAGCUGCUGAUUUCCCAGGAAAAAGGUUAGAAAAGACCCCAGAAGACUGCAGGCAGCAGCUCCCUUUACUCCUCUCUGUAGGGAAGCAGGCAGCUGACAACUUGCUGACACUGUACAUUAUCACAAUGUUACUGUCAUCGGGGUAACAUUAAAGUGUAGAGUGAAUUAAGAGAGAUAUCAGAUAUUUGAGGCUGGUUCUCCUUUUGUCAAAGCCGUGUGGAGGAAAUUAAGCAGCGCAUCAGUGGAGAGGCUUUUUGCAGAAAAACAAAAACUCAGAAUGAUUUAUUUAGAGAGGAUCCUGAACUCCUGACAUAGAAAAUGACAGAACUUGUUCAACCUAGAAUUUCUAACAUCAUGAUUUAAAACACACAGAGCAUCUAAAACAUCUCCUAUAUUUAUGAAACGUUCGAACACAAAAGCUGUAGAGGUUUGUAAUGACUGAAAUGUCCUCUUAACACUCUGUUUACUCAUUACUCAGACUUACAUAAUGAAGAAGAGAAAAAUGUCACUGAAUGUCAUUUGGAAUAGGAAAGUCUCCCUCUGGAUGUGAAGUUUGAGUAUUUUUACAGAAAACAAGUGAACAUGAGUAUCUCUCGAGACCAGGGCCUUUGUUUGGUGUAAAUUUUUUAUUGUUUGUCAGCUAUUUGGGAUGAGGAGGAGCUGCUAAGUAUAAAAAGGAAGCAAAACCUUUGGCUAACUGGUACCUUCAGACAAAAAAAUGGUCCUAAUGUAAGAAAUUUGUAUUCUAUAUACCAUAAAUUAGUCAUACUAUACAAUUGAUAUGUCAGUUCAUACCAUAAAUGUAAUUUGUCUGCAUUCCUGUAAUUAUUCUUUUAUUAUACUGCACAUUCAUUGGGACAGGAGCCGUGAGAUGACAGUUCAAGACUAGAAUGGGAUGCAUCUUGAGAAUUGAGCAGGUAAUCAUAGUGGGCGGAGAAGGUGUGAUCCAAAUUACUGUUUAAUAUGGCGGUACAUUGUUGUUUUUACAAGAUCAGCUAAAAAAAAUCAAAUAGAAAAAAUGGUAUGAUGUAUCUACCUACUGUAAAAUCCACUCACUCUGUGAGACUGCAGCUUUUUGAUACUAAACUUUGUGUUUUUAUGCAACACCCUGAGGCUUUUCAAUCCAACUGAAAAGAUCAGUAUAUUUUUAGUGAUUGUUAAGAUUUCAAUCCUUAAGAAGGGUUGUAAUGUGUCAAAACGUAUGUAAUUGCCAAUAUGAAUAAGAAAUGCAAUGAGCUGUAUGCAGAGCUUAUCUUGUUGGUGAAACAAAGUAAUAAUCAAUGUACAAAAGAUUGUGUCAUUGCUAAAAUAUAUGAGUAAUGAACAUUAUGCAAAAUGUGUAUAUUUAUUAAAAUUGAAUAAAAAUUAUGGAGGUAACACCUACUUUAGCAAUAUCAUAAGUUCUUGCUAAAAUAUACAAAUAAUCACAGUGAUUUGAGAUUUUGUUUUUGUUUGAAUAACAUAAUUAAGGCCAUUUUUACUAGACAUAUGUGCGUAUAAAUCAAUCAACCUUGUUCAUGGCUAAAAUAGUUUCUACACAAGUCAUGAAAGCAGACAGGCAAUAAAACAAACAUAAAAUCAUACAAAACAGACAGCUGAAUAAAAUCAAAACAAAACCAAAUGAACCACAAAUAAUCCUGUAAAAAUCUGUCUUGAAUAGGGAAAUCAAAAAUGUGACUGAAAACUUUGGCCAGUCGAUUUAGAUGAUCAUUUUCUAAAUGGAGCUGCAAACAUCUAGAGUCCAGCAUUCAAAAGUUUGAAAACUGUUUGGAGUUGAUCCAUUUUCAUUUCCAUCAUGAGAUUGUCUGAAAAUGACUUUUCAGAAAUGGCUGCAUCUUGAUUUCAUAUUCAUAUUCAUAUCUUUUAUGCUUCUGCAAACAAUGCUACACAAAAAAGCAUCAAUGAAUGAAGACAAUAAAAGCAACAUGAAUUAUAGCCAAGAUGUAAUUUCUCUCCAUGGCGACAAAAGGUCACAGAAGGUUUAAAAGUGACAAACACAUCAACAGCUUGAACAUGUAAAAAUAAUUUCCUAUUUUAAAUUUGAGUUAUCCUUCUUUCCAACUCUUUCAAAGUCCACAACAACAACACACACACACACACACACACACACACACACACACACACACACACACACACACACACACACACACACAGAAAAUUAUCAGAAAAAAGCCCCGUGGUAGGGUUUAGUAAGGCAUCGCCAAUUAUCCUCUCCCUUUCCACAGAGCCAUAUCAAAGGUCUGUGCUCACUGAGGAGAAAAGGCAAGAAAAUGUGUCUGAAUGUCUUGUCCAUAUUAAUAACAGAUAAGACGAGGCGGCGGAAGGAUAAUGCCCUAAGGGCUGUACCAUGAAACACAGCACAUUUUUCUUUGGCUCGUCUGAAUAGUCAGAGUACACUGGAUCAUGGCUGUGCCAAGAUAGUGCUGAGUGUCCCUAGUACACUUAAAGUGUCUCCAAACCUGAUAUGAAAGACACACAGGACUGAAAAAACAAACAAAUACGCUGUGCAAGCUAUCACUGACUGUGACUCGCUAACAUCUCUACAGCUGCUUGUACUUUCAAUCUCAGUUAAACUGACGAUUAUCUUUUGUCCAGGAAGUGAUUCGUCCAUGGGUCUGCCAGAGGAAUGAUAAUAAUAAUAAAAAAACAGUUCGGUUUUCUAAAGGGUAAAGUUUCUGUCAUCAUAUUGACAGGUGGGUUGGAAUAAAAAUAUAGAAUGUCUGUGCCCUGUUGCCAAACUUGAUACUAGCAAACACCAUUGAAGCAGUCACCCCACUUGCAUUGAUUCCUAUUUGAGUGUGUGAGCUGGUCACAAGAGCUUAUUUGCAAAUUAAAGAUAGUGGUUCAUUACUAACGGAUUUUUAACAUCUAUAAAAUGGUCAGAAAAUCAUAUUGAGGCCUUUUUAUAAUAUCAAGAAGCAAACAGCUGCUUUAUUGUUGAUUUUUAAAUGCUAUUUUUAAUGUCUGAAACUGGUGUGAGGGGGUGGGUGUCUGCUGAGCAGCUUAGGAAACAGCUGCUCACAUAAAAUAUUCACAGUAAAUGAAACAUCUGAAUGUCAAAAGUCAGCAAGAUGAGAAUUUACUUUUGUCAAACACCUCUUUGUCCACAGGGGGCGCCAAGGUGAUACAAACCAAAAGUUCCUAAUUUCUACUGUCCAGUGUAUAUUUUCAUGGUCUGAAUUAGAUUGGUAAAGCUGGAUUUAAUAUCUUUUGUUGUUGUUUUUAACCAAAAUAAUCACCUGUUUAAUUUUCCCAUUAUUAACAGAUUCAUCAAUUUUGUUUUUUCAUCUCUUAGUAUGUUUGAAUUGGUCUGGUAUCAAAUGCUAAAAACAUGAUUGUUAGGUAUCGGCCAUCAGCUGACCUGCUCUCUUACAGCCGGCAUCUGCAAAUGAAAAAACUAAAUUGAUCGACCACUGACUGAUACAGUUAUUUAUACCGGUGACUGAAGUGUUGUGAUUGAACUUCUCUGAACACCGAGAGUCAUCCUGUUUUUUGUUUAGAAAGCGCAAAUGUAAGAAGUUGAAAUGUGUUCAGUCUGCGCACAUUGUGAAUAUUAUGGUUUGUUUAACGCAGGGCUUUUUGUGACGGAUGCACUUUGGACUCCAAUGUUACGCUGAUAAGAGACCCACAGACAGUAGAGCCAAAGCCGUGUACGUUUGAAUCUACCUACCUUCUAGGACUCAAACUCUCAAGGUUGUUUUAGAAACUGAUGGUUGACUUUCUUAUCAGAGACUUAUUUAUUAAUAAAAUCAAAGUUGCAGAGCUGAUGUUCUAACUUCACUUUCCUUCAAUAACUAAUGACGCUGUGACAGUAAAGAAAGUAUUUUACCCUGAAAUUCCUUUACUUUCACUUCGUUCAAACUCUGGAAUUUUCCAUAUACAUUUUUCUUUAACUUAAUAAGGUGUAAUAAUACUUUAAAAAAAACAUUAUACACGUUUUCUUCAAUGCCUGCCAGUAAACAUAUAUACGAGGUCGUAGCUCUGUGAAUUUCCAAUCUGUGUUUCCUUGAAUGUGCGAGCUAAAGUGGAUUCAAAACAGGUUUUGUAUUCUGUUUUCUCCAAGAACAUUUCAAGGAUAAUGCUGCUGAUAUUCAACAUUUUUGUAAACAAAUUCCACAAAGGUUCAAAACCAACACAGCUCUUAACUCCAUACAGUCUGACUCAUCCUAUCUGUGCCAAUCCAAGAAAGAUAUGAGUCUUUAUAAUGCUGAGAUAAAAUCUACUUUUAAAGAGACUUCUUGAAAGUCCAGUUAGUGUGGGGAGAGAAAAAGGACACGAUGGGAGAAAGAGACAUGCAACUAAAGUUAAAUUCAUGGUUGUUGGGGUUAAAAGAUGUGCACAAAACCUCUUGGCUGAUGGAUUUUAAUCCAAACAAGGAUACAACUGUGAGCAUUUUAGUAAAAUGUUUUUAUUUGACCGUGGUAGUGAAGGAACAUUUUGGCUCUCUUGGUCAUGCCAGCAGCGUUGCUCUAGGGCAGAGCUGGUUUUUGGUAGCUCGGAUCACUGCCCUGGUCUCUCUUCAGCUCUGACUUUGUGCACAUUUGGAGUCUGGAGGAUAAACAACAUUUUGGCAAUCCAACUUUUUCCUUGUGCAUUAAAGUUUUUACUUGUGGAAAGUUUUAGCCGGAGCUGCACGACAAAAGAAAGUAUUUUGCAUAGACGUUAAUGUCUUCUUGAUGAAGCAUGAUUAUGACCUUUCUCAUCACUUCACUCCUCUUUUCAGUGUUUAAUGACACCAUGAGGUUGACAUUUGUGGUUUUACUGAAAUGUCUUGGUGACUGUUUGAUGGAUUCAUGUGUCAUUUGGUGCAGAAAUUCAAAUCAUCUUUGGCAAACUUGUAUUCAUCUUGUGUUGACUUAAGGUGCAGUCUGUGCAUGCUUUUGAUUGUGUUUAGUCAAGUCACAUGUACUUCAUCAUUUUCUUUUAUUACUGAAUGUGAACUGAGGAGAGAGUACACUUGAAGGAACUCAUAAACAAACUAAACAAAUAUAAAUUCAUGAAUUCAGUGAAUCUGUCAGUGCAGUUUCUUUUUCACAUAUCAAAAAACUCUUUCUUUGUCUAUUUCUGGGUAUUUCAACCCGGGCAUUUUGGGUGGCCAAUCACCAAAUGCAAAAACGUCAUGUGUUGUGAGUUCAGCGCUACUGUAGAAACAUGGCUGUGCAAUCAACUGGCUUAUGUGAGGAUGGAGCCGCGCCUUAGAGGCUCAAACUAGGCAAAAAAACAAAGGUUUUUAUAUUCAGCUGAUUAUAAACUACUUACUGAUAUUAAGUAGUGCUGAAACGAUUUCUCGAGUACCUCGAUUACAAUAAAUUAUUGAGGAAUUUUCUCUGCAUCGAGUACCCGUUUAUAAGAUCAAAUUGUCACUGUUUCACACAGAUUAUUUUUAAGGUCAUACCACAUUAGAAGGAGGAGUAAGCGUGGUUUUAGUUUUGCGGAGUGGAAAAAAUGAAUGAUGAGAGGGGCUUUUCUUCUGUAGAGCUCCAGUAGCUCACCAGCACUUCGCCUCUGAGUCGUUGGACACUCCUCUUCACGUUAGCUUGUAGCCUAACAUUGCCGGUGCAGUAGCAGAAGCAGGUAACACAGAAGCCAUUCAGCUCUCAGACUUGAAUGUUUUUAGUGGCAUGAUGAAAGUUAAUAAAAUCAACUUUCUUACGAGUAUUGCAAUCCACUAACGCACACACUUGUUCUGCGAUAAUUGCACUUUAAAUAAAAAAAUCAUGUUUCAUCCGAUUAAUUGAUGGAAUAUUCGGUUGAAUACUUGAUUACUAAGAUAUUUGAUACCUGUAGCCCUCAUAAUUAGAUUAUUCUGUGCCUUGUCUGUUGUGCUGAUGCUGCUAAAACGUCACACUGCACCUUUAAACUUCCCUUUGUCAUGUUGAAUCAUUUAAUACAGAUGUUUUGCUCCUUUUGAUUUAUUUAUGUAGGUGUGGAUAAUUGCUCAUGCACAUUUGCUUAAUACCACGACUCAGGAUGGGGCUUUUUAAUUAGAGUUCAGGUUUGCAGGCUGUUAUUUACAUCCCUGUUGAACUGCCUGGAGCGAAAAGACCCUGUUUUCCAUGUCUGGUGCUGAGAUAUCAAUGUGCAGAUAAUACAUUAUGUGUCUAGAGAUGGUAAAUAUGGAGGUAAAUAUGGAGGUAUUCUCAUGUCAUAGAAACUAACAUGUUCAUGCUUAUUAGGAUGUCCCUGUUAGAAACCAAACUGUCCUUUUUGCACGUUAUCCUGCUCUUUUUAAUGCUCAGUGUACAAUCAGACAUAUUUUAUCAUCCUCCCAUCUUUAAAAUAACUAAUAAAAAUGCACAGCCAAAAGAAAUACUUAUUACCUUCUUAUUUUUUAAACCGUCUAUUUAAAAAAUCGGAUGUCAGUUAGAUUUUAAUCAUUUCAUAAACGAGGAAACAUCCUUUUAUAAAUGUAUAACAAACCUGAUCAUAUUAUAUUGAAGUGAAUAUUGUCACAGUCAAUAAUUUAAGUAAAUAAAUGAUUUUUUUUCUUCCUUGAUGUAAUUGAACAAUAUUUUGAAUGCAAAUCAGUAAAUAAUGGAGUUGAAUGUGCCGAGAAAUAAUUGAUGUCUUAUCUGAGAGUGAUGUAUAUUUUAUAAAGCUGCUUUAAAAUCACAUCCGUCAUUAAAACCGCAAAGAAAAAGAAAAAACAAACACCUCCUCUAUGAGUGUAUUCCCAGCACAGCUCUGCAAAUCUCCACCCUGGCACUGAGCAGUCUGAAUAAUGAAGAUUUGAUAGUAUAAGGGGGCCACUGUAGCCCCCAAUUAAAUGAUACAAAAGCAAUAAAUACAUUUAGUCUCUGAGUCCUUCCUAUCAAUUCUGAUAUUAUUAGAUCUAUUCAUCUCUGCUUUCCGAUGGGAAAACACAUCCCCGUAUCAGGAGUUAUUUUGUCUCCAAUUCAGCUGAAAGUAUUGACUCAUCAAUAUAUAAUGUCAUUGAUUUUUAGGGAGUGCUGGCAGGAAACAAAACAACAGACACAAAGCUGCAGACAGGCUGUCUAUAGUCUCCUCUGCUUCCACCCAUUAACUCAAUUUGUGACACAACAAAGCAGCAUGGGUAUAAAUUUUGUCCUCAGAGCAUCCUCCUGUUUCCCUUUGUUUUGAUGCUGCUGUUUCGUGCCGGACGCUGCCGCAAACACUCUCAGUUACACACCUUUGAAGCACAGCUCCAGACUGCACUCCCCCAGUCAGGACCCUUAAAUGCACCACUGGACUGGAGAGGCUUUCAUUUGCUGAUGUUUCAGUCCUCCAUUUUCAUUUUCCGUACAAGCCUUUCACAUUUUCCUGUUCCUUACAUCACUCCCUAAGAGCUUUCUGGUCGGCUGCUCAGCUCCUUCUCCACUCUCUGUUUGAAUUAAGUAGAGACUGCGACUCAGACGAGGAGUUUUGGAGUGGAUAAGGGGCUUUUUCAGAAUAAGUGCCCAAAGUGAUGGUAGUAAUGUGUGGGCAGUAUAGGGCUGGGCACUGUGGAUGAAAUAAAUAUUGUGAUUCUGGCUCAAGUAACAUAUUUUUCAAAUAAAAUAUUCACAGAAAGGAAAAUAAAAUAAAAAAACACAAACUUGAUAGGAGUUUUAAAGAUCUACUAUAAAACUUGAUACUAUACUUUUGAGUUUGUUAAUUCUUUCCAUCUAAAAAAGUUGGCUGCAUCCUUUGGACCAUUGCUACCGAAAUGCGGUCUAAAAAGCAGGGAGCGGUAUUUUACUGUUUGACAGUAUUUCAUUAAAGGAUGGUCCUUCAUAAGCAAGCUUGGUCACAGAAAUGUGCAUUUAUGACCACAAGAGUAGCGGCGGCAUGAGAUUUAACAGUGGAAAUAAGCCCCUCUGUUUAUUCAGUGUGUUUACAUCCUCAAAUAAUCAACUUAGUGAAGUCGGAAAAUAUAAACUAUAGAUCCGAAACUGAAACUAUAAACAUGUUACAGUUGCACAAACUCAAACUCUGGUUGCAGGACUAAUUUACCUAGAUUAUGUGGUAGGGGAGCAGUUCACUUCGUCAUGUUUACACCUCAGCUGGACUGAUACUGGCCAUAGAUUGUACAUACUAUGGACAACAAUUCUCUGCCUUCCAUCAUUAUACGAAUUUGAAGCCAAAUUGCUCUCAGUAUUUCCAGGAUAAUCACCACUUCCUGGAACCAUCACUUGUGCAGUAGCGUUUUAGACAAUUCAGCGGGAGAGUUGCUGAGAGUUGCUCGGCUCAUCCCUGGGUGAGCUACGCUAUCUUUGUACGCCCAUAGGCUGUAUCAAGUGUCCAUCAUAGAAAACAUGAACCCUGAAUAACUUUUAAAAGAGGACUUGAGCACAAACCAGUCUUACAAUAACUACAUGUCAACAUCACAACCAGGAGGUAGAAAAAUUUAUAUUCUGUGUAAUAAAUUUCAAAAGUUUGUCCACAGCUCCAAAGGGAUUGCUGGAGGAGGCGGGAUUUACGGGAUUUACGACCUAUACUGCAGUCAGCAACCAGAGGGUGCUGUUCUUGCGGUGGCUUCAGCGAGGAGGUAGACGGCGUCCAUUCUUUAUACGGUCUAUGAUACUCGCCCACGAGUUAUGCACUUUGACCCUGCUGAACAACACAUCAACAUGCAUUCUGGGAAUUCCAGUAGCAAACACAACCUUGACAGGAGAGAAAGGAGGUUACACUUAUAGGGCUACCGUAUUGUCUGCUUUAAAGUUGUCUGUUCUUUCUUCACUCAACAUACAAUCUGUUAGCAUCCUGCUGAUGCACUCAUAGAAUGUUUUGAUCCAAGACUUACAGGGUUGAUCUAGAGGAUGCCACAAUAGUCGAGGCUUACUGCUGCCUGCUGUACCAAAGGUGGACAUAAAUUGGUCAAUAAAUUGAUUCUCGCCCAGUGCUUGUAGACCGGGCUAAGACACUAGUCCAGUUAAAUCACCUAAUCAAGCUUUAACAUAAGUGUGCAUGUAAACAUAGUCAUUUUGCAUUGUACGCGUCUGCAUCACUGUGCAGAGUUCAGGGACACAGAGUGAAGCAGAACAGGCUUUAACAGCUCAGGGUCAGAGAAUGUUGGUAUAUCUGGUAUAUAAAGUCAAGGGAGACUGAGCCCAACUACAGCACUACUAUAAGAGAAAUCUCCUACAAUCGAGGCCCUCUUCCCUCUGGUGGACCACCAAAACAAGUCUUCCUCAAUUCAGUUAUCAAUGUUGAUCUAUAAGUAAAUUUAUGUCAUUCAAAAGAGCAUGCUCAUGAAGUUUCAACACAUUGUGGAUCUGAGUGAUGAUAAUGUGCUAAAAUAUGGUUAAACAAUCAAUUAACGAUUAUUGAUCUGUCAUUGGAUAGUCAGAUUUAAAAAUUAGACUCUCCUCCACAUUUAUGGGUAGAUUGUCUGUUUUCUAUCUAGUAAGAAGUGCACUGGAAGUAUCAUAUGUUUAUUUAUGGAUUUAAAGACAACACAUAAUCUUGUAGUAGAGUUUUGAGUUUCGGUGGUUGUAGUUGACUUAUUUCCUGGUUGUUUAAAUAAGAUUUUAAAUUGUAACUAAUAGUGCUGUGAAGUCCUAGUCGACUGGUUGACUUAUUGGUCGAUCCGUGCUGAGUCGACCAAUAUUCUGAUUGGUCGACUCAAUUUUUUUUCCACGUCAAUUUGCAGUCUAUGGUUAAUUUCAUCAGGAAGAACGCAUCAAGUCCUAAUGGGGGUGUUUUCAGAGCACCCCUGUCUCAGAACACUCCCCUUGUUUUUACCAUUUUGGAUUCGCCUAACCCACUGAAGACAGGAAGAUUUAAGAGCAUCCACGUCGAUCAACGUCCGGUGGUUUGCUGAGUAUAUUCCCUGAAUUGCCUUUUGCGUAAUUGCCUUCUUGUGCUGGUAUCGGAAUAUUUUCACCCUGCCAAGCUGCGCUUUGCUGAGCUGCGUUGUCCCCUCGCUGCAGAAGGGUUUGCCGCCAGUCGGAGUCGAUUUUUGGUAAAAAAUUCCAGGGUUUCAGUCGACCUAGAAUUUCUUUGGUUGAUAAUAGCCCCAGUAACUAAUGACCAUUCUUAAGGUAAAAAAAAACAAAAAGAAAACAGUGUGUGGAGUUAAGCAGAUACAGCCUUUAUACAGCAAUAUCUCCAUCUCCAGUGCCGGCUUUCAAGGUUGAUGACAUUUAAAUUUGGACGCACGUUCCUGCUUCCUUUCAUUUUGCCGCCUCUCUAAACAUUAUUCAAGAAUCCAACAUUUGUAGGGCUGCAGUAUUAAAGGUGGGAGUGAAAAGGAAGUCCAAAACAUUGCAAAAUGAAAGAAAGAAGGAAAAAGCAAAUGAAAUAUGAAAGAGCGGAUAUAAAACAUAUAUGAACACCUCAUCAGGAAGCAUGACAGAGCACAGGAGCUUUUGAUUCAUCUCUCAGCUCAGCCUUUCAAGCCUCCUCUCACAGCUGCACUCUAUCACUCAGCUUUAAGUAAAAUAAUGAAAGCACACAAAGGUUAUAGACAUCAAGACUGAGCCGCUGAUCAUCUCCUUGGAGUAAAUCAGUGUUUUCCCGUGUUUUUAACCCCCACAUCUGCUCUGAGAUGUAAGAUGGAUGCCAGAUGUGUUACAGUGGGUGGACAGAUGUGCUGACGUUAUCAUGUUGCGGAGAGGUCCAACAACAAUUUAAUUUCACGCAAGUUCAAGUUUAUAUCUGUGGAGCCGCUGCCUUCAUUCUGAGCUCUGUUAUCUGCAAAGUCUCUGUGUCUCCCCUCUGGAUUUGUUCCCAUCGUAUCUCUCUCCCUCCAGUUCUCCUCUGUUUCUUUUGCUCCAGACCGCACGAAUGAUAAACACUCAGAUGUCAAAAGAUAUAAAACCUUAAAAGCGCCGAACAUUUUAAAUCAUUUAAUUGGAUUUAUCAGCGGAACUACUGCCCAGAAUAAAAUCUUAGAAUUAAGCAGCCUUAGUUUAUUAGAUUUUCACAUCAAAGUAUGUUAACUUGCAAAUGAGUACACCUGUUUUCAUCUAGAGGCUGAUAACAAAGAUCAUCCUUAGAAAAUUCUCAGAAAAAAAUGACAAAUAUGAGCUGGUUUCUGCUUAUCAAAUGUAAGUAUUACACUAUUUCCCCUCUAGAAGAUCCCUGAGAAAGUUUAUUUUUAACCACCAAAGUAUAAUCUCUUUUUUAUUUGUAAGAGAUUAUCACUUAAAAUCAAUGAUUUGCACAAUCUCUUGUUAUACUCUAGCUUGUCUUGUUAACAGCGGCAACUAAAACUCAUCUGACCAAUAAAUGCUGCAGCAGCAAGGGAUGUUUAAGAGACAUCUACCAAACUGAAGAAAACAGACAUGCAGAAACCACAAACUGUAGCAUGGUAUGAGAUUUGGCGGUGUUAGUAAACUCGAAGAGAGAUUAAACGUAGAAAGAGAAGUCAAGAGAAGAAGAGGAGCUUAUACAUGUGCAACUAAGGAGAAUGCUAAUGGAAAGACUUUGUUUCCACUUGAAGACCUUACUAUAAAUGAAAAUGUUCAGUUCAACUUUAACCUUCAAGAAGGCUAAUUAAAACUAAGACUGAAGUACUACCAACCAUUAUAUGUUUUAAUGCUCUGAUUCAACAUCUGCACCAAAGUUUCUUUAAACUUCUCUCUAAGAAAGACCGUGGAUGUUGUAAUAUGUUUUACUUUUUGUUGAUGAAAGACGUCUUCAAACCCAUGAGUAUUGUGUUUUUAAAAACCAGUAGUUGUAGUUUGGACCCAAAGGCAGAACCAGAGGCAGCUGAGGCAGUUUGGUGAUUUUAUUUAGAGGGAAAAAGGUGGAGGGAAGAGAUCCAGGGUCCAGAGCUGGAGGAGGGAAUCGGAGGAGAGGUGAGGGUUUGAGACGUGAGGGCUUGAGGAGGAGGCUGGUGAGUGAACCCAAGGAGAGAGUGUGGCAGCGAGGCGGAGAUUGGGUGGCAAGCAGCACUGGGGGCUUGUGGAGGUGCUGGACAGCGAAAAUGAGUCACAGAUGAAACACACAAGGCUGUGACGUUAAAACAAUUGCAAAUACUUGAGAAAACUCUUGAGAUUUGGCCGAGAUCACCACUUGAGGUGUGGGAAUAAUCUGGCGCUGGAGAAAAUGCAGUUGAGAAGGUGCAGGUGGAGCCAGUGUAGGACGGAGCUGCCUAAUCUCUGCAAGGAGGGAACACACACACAAACCCACACAAAAACUCCACAUGAUAAAGAGUCGAGAACUUGCCCCCCAAAAAAUGAAGAUAAAUAAAGAGAAAUCACCACAGUCGUAUAACGGUAUCUUAAAAGAAAAUUAACAUCCUGUGAGCUUAAAUGACAAAUAUCUCCUUUUCCUUUUAUUCGUCCAGUUAAAGAGAAAGAAACACAGAAUUCAACUUUUAUGUGUCUCCGUUCUCUUUAAACUUGUGAUGUGUGUCCAUCUGUUUGUCUUUGAGCUAAAACACCGAGCGAUGUACGUGGGGGACUUGGUUUUUGGCUUUGCUACAAUAUAAUUCUUCUGCUUAUGUGGGCCUCAAAAGAUUUCCCUGCUUUUGAAAGUUGCAGUUACAAAGACACUUCCCCUCUGACGACAGAUGGCUUUGAACUGCUGUUUGAAAGCAGGGACCAUGAUCGAUUUGACCAUGCUGCGAGGUAGCUGUACUCACAACACAGUGCCAAAUAAGGUUAAGUUUCUGUUUACAUAAGGCUAAGUUUGUGUUUAGUGAUAUGAUAGCUGGAGGAAAUUGAUGUAUACCGAACCCCCCUGGGUUACAAACCAAUUACUGUCUCUUCUUCCCAUAGUUAUCGAGGACAUAGCCAAAGUUUAAUAACCAAGACUGUUUCCUCUGAAAAAUAAAGCAAUGCAGAAUAGACCCUAAAAAGGCGUUUUUACUUUACUCCCUCUAUGCAGGGAGAUAUUUGCAAUAAGGCCAAAAAAGCAACAACAAAUAAACAUCACAAAUUGAACCACAACUUGUUGUUUUAAGUGAAAUCAACUUUCCAACAAGAACUCAGCAGGAUCCAGACUCAUUUCUUCUCAUCAUCCUCUGUAAUGAUGAUAUAAAAACACAGUUUGAUUCCUGCUGUCCUCAGGGGAGUCCGUCAUUUUCCAGACAACAGUUUCCACCUCUUUCCUUCAACCUCAAACAUCAGUUGGAGACCAGUUUGUGUCUUCUGGAGUCAUUGCUAUUCCUCAUUUUUGUUGCAUUAUCUUAAUUGAAAGUAAGACUCGUUUUAAACACAAUUUGUUUUUAACAUUGCUAAGUUUCAGCAAUCAAAACACAAGAAAGUGCACACACGUACGUAUAUAGACACAAAUAUAUUUAGCAGUCUGCCUAGGGAACUAUAGACAUUACUGACAGCCUGCCUUCAUAUUUGAUUAAAAAACAGAGACAUAAACCAGAUCCAGGCCUAAGAGGGAUGGAUCUUGAAGUUUGGAAAGAGAAAAUAAAUGUAUGUCUCUGCCCUGGUGGGAAAUCAGGCAUUAGGACAAUGGCUCUCCACUCACACCUUGUAGAAAAAAGUCAGUUUAACAUGUUUACACAUUUACAGCUCAUUCCUCCCUGCUGCCUUUUGCAUUAUUGGGGGCAAAGCUGAUUAGUAUCUGUUAGCCAAGAGGCUAAAAGCCCAGCUCUACUCUGCCACUUACUCAGUUGGCAUAUAAAUGCGCUGAGUCAGCUUUUCCAAUUAGGCGACUGCCACAGAUUGACUUAAAAAUGCUUCCUCAAAUUCCAUUGGUUAAUAUCACUGAGGCAAUUUCCGGGUUUUGGAUGGUCUAAUGGUGAGGCCGGGUGAAAACUAAUUUCUGUGCUGCUAACUGGCCUCUCAACUGUCACAUUGUCUGGGUUUGUAAAGGGGCUUCAGCGUAGAUAUCAGCCUCAUUCUGUUUGUGUAUCAUCUUUGCUGUUUGGCAAACCCGCAAGUAAGAAAAGACCUAUGAACUCAGAAUUCGAGCACACAAACAAACAAAUGCUUCCUCAAUUUUCGCUAUUUUAGCAAUAGCCAUUUUUAUGCCUUGAAAGUGUAGCUAUAUAACUGACUAAUGAUUGACAGCUGUCUAUCACCAAUCACACAUCAAACAGUAAGAAGUCUUUCAUAUUUAAAGAAACAAUCUUGGCUUUUGCAACUCUUCAAUUUCUCUCAUAUGACUUCAAAUUUAUCAGCUGUACUUGAAAUUAGUCUAUAGAUGGAUAAAUGGAUGUAGGGAUUAAUAAUAUAGAAUUUAAUCAUCUCAACUGCAAUAUACACAUGUGCAUUAGUCACACCACUAAUGUUAGUCACAUGACCUGAAAGGCAAUAUGUUAUUGUUAGUUCCUUGUUGUCAGGAUUAAUCAACAGUGUCUCUUGCUUCACAUGACCGUACACGACUUUAACAUUCAUUUUCUAAGACCACGUUGACCGCCUCAUCUCGGCGCUCUUUAACAUCAGGGGCUCAUGGACAGACUACUGAACUUCCGGCAUCACAGAGUGUUUUCUGUAGUGCAUGUACUGUACAUCAUAGUGAUGUGUAGAUGAGUGCAUUUUAGCUGAAUUAGAGGAACCGUUAUGGUCCAGCAGAUAAUUUUCAACAUUGACACAAAGUAAUCGCCUUCUCCAGAGGCCUGAAUGUUGAGUAUAAGUUAAAAGAAGAUUUAAUUUGACGGCAGAAAACAGAUAAAAAUCCAAAUUAUAAACAGCAUGACUGUGGUAUUGAAAAUGUUAAAAUAUUUACUUGAAAUGCACCACACUUUCACAUCACAGCCCAGUAAUUUUUGCAAUAUCAUGCAGCUCUAGACAGAUGGACAAACAGAGGGACAGAUAGAUGGACUUUAUUAAUCCCAAACUGGGAAAAUGUGUUAGUAUCUACCUGAAAACCUCAAGAUAUUUUACUUUCAACUCUGGAAUACUCGAAUAUCAUCUAGAUAUGCUUCAGUGUAGCCUAUAUACCGAACUGAAGCUGCUGUAUGGGGGUUUGAUUUAAUGAUGUGAGAAGUGAUGGAAAGUACUGUAACCUGUCUGGCAUAUAAAAGCCUGUCAGUCUGUCUCUUAAGGAGGAAAUGCUGUGAUUUGUGUGUAAUGCCAAGACUUUUCUCAGAAGUGACUCAGUCUUCUUUACCCCCCUCUGCCUUAUAAGCAGGUUAGUAACCUUGAGCAUUACAGCAUCAUUAUGACCAAACGACGCUCUCAUCUCGUAAAGAUGCAAAAAUCUCAUUUGCACAGCACAUCACAGGAAGAAGAUUUCCACGCUGCAAUAUUGGACUGCGGGACUAAAUGGAUUUCUGAGUGCCUUCACACAUAUUACCACAUCUUUAUGUGCUUUAUGUAGACUGCAAUAUUACUGCAGUGGAAAGGCUGUGUAACAUUGAAUUAUCUAUAGACACUUCAAUCAGUUUACUGGUAAUGAAGUCGCCACUGGUUGAGUAAUUUAUUGGUGUGUUUCUUCCCCAUGCUAAUGGUGUUUUGCCUCAUUAAGCCUCACAGUGUAGGAAGAUCUUUUGUUUUCUGUGUUGGCUGUGCAGGUUUCACUUUGGCUUCAGGUGAUAAUUUGCUACUUCGUCUUGCAGAUUCUGACAUAUCAGCUUCUGUUACAUAUGGUUAUGGAGCCCAUAAUUUGUCGUAUAAUUCAUGUUUAUUUUAUCUGCACACAGGCAGUAACUUAACACAGCAAUAUGCAGUCUCUUUUAGUCCCAGCAUCAUUAUCAUUGCAGCAGCAAUAAUAUAUCCGUAUCAAAUAUUGCAAACUGAAAAAGUAGAGGGAGUUUAAAGUGUAAAAAUUCAUUACCCUGACAGUCUUUUUCUUCAUCUGUAAACAAUACUUUUAACCAAGUUGUCUAUGAGGAGUGCCGCUCAUUAAAUCAUGCUGCAGCUCCACAGAGGUCAUUACUUUUAAUGGCUAAGUUGAUGAAUGAUGGUCUCGUGGCAGGUUGAUGAGGUCAGGAGGAGGAUCCGGGUGUGAAAAUACCCCCUUAGACCUGACAGGGAACACGUUGUGCUACACCUUCAACUGUACACUUGUAGCUGUUAAAACAGCGGAGUUGGUGUCAUCAUACACACUAAUGGUCGCGAUGUUCUUUCUGCAGGAACAGCUCCUGUCAAGAUCAUAUGAAGUUAAGGUCACAGUCUCUGGCAAAACAAACCGCUCCUCCUGCUGCAAACUAACUAGCCAUAUUAAUUUAGUACUUUUAACAAGACCCCCCAGUGUGUAAGCAUCUGCAAUUAUUCCUGAAUAUUUGGCUCAUUUGAGAGAGGGGGCAGAGCAAAUUAAUAAAUACAUGUCUUAAAAACUGCAAGGAUAAGCCCAGAGGCUGUUUUCCAUCUGAAGUCUGUGGUCAAGGUGUGAAAACAGCUUCUUAAAACACAUCAAAGAGAAAUAAAACCUCGGCACGAUGUUUAAACUUUGAAAAAGAGACUCUGAUGUAAAACGGUGCAGGUCGAAUGAUGUACAUUUGAUCAUUUUCUACCUUUUGUUUACUUGCCUUGGUAAUCUUCACUCACAUGAGCGAUCAAAUGGCCUCUAAAUCUUUGCUCUUCCUCUUUCUCUGUCGUCCCUUUUUUUCCCCCAUAGCCAUCACCGUUAUUACUGUUCUCAGUUUUUAUCACCAAUACUGGAGUUUUCCCUCAGUAAACAUUAACACUGUAAUCUACACAAACCCCACUGUGCUUUAAAGCUUCGACAGAGAGGCUGAGGAUAUAUGCACAAAUUUCUCAGCUCAUAUUAAUACAGUACGUUUAGUCUGGUUUCUGUUUGUGUCACUAAAAUCCCACUAAUACAGCAGUUUUCAGAAUAAGCCGCAUUCUUGGAGAGUCAUGAAAGUAGAAGUUUUAGUUUUAGUGGAGAAAAAGACCAAAAAGUUUAGUGUUAAGUCAGCAUUUAAAGCUCCAAUGAGGAGUUGUUUGACAUUUAUGAAAUAGACUGGAAUUCAUACUAAUGCUUUUUCAUGAUAUAUAAAAACUAGAAAAGCACUCGGAGAGCGCAGACCUCCACCAAGCAGCUCAUGUCCCCCCUUAUAUUGUGAUUCACACCAAAACUUUUACUGUUACGUGUCUUUUAUUAACUUUUAUUUGUGUCUAAACUGGUAUGUUCACUGUUCAUAAUGUUCCUAAAACAAGAAAUGCCCUGACCCAGAUUCGAACCCAGAACCUUCUUGCUGUGAGGCGACAGUGCUAACCGCUACACCACUGUGCCGCCCAUCUACACCAUCUACACCACUGUGCCGCCCAUUGCUUAUCUUUCAGCAUUGAAAAUUCCAACGACACCCUUAUUUUUGUGUGUUCUGGAUCACAGUAUCCGGAAUUUUGUCUGGAUCAGGAUCAAUCCUUUUGUGUCAUUUUUUACUGAAGACUCUGGCCAUUUUUAUAGAGUUAAAUGCAAAAUUUCCAAAAUUUGCCCUAUCUCACAAUGAGAAAGAAUCCUGGAUCCAGAAGGCGAUCCGAAUCAUCACCAAAAUGUAAUGGGAUCCUCCUGGGGCUGAGACGCACCUCUGGUGAAAAUUUCAGGUCAAACCGUCUGUAACUUUCUCCGUAAAGUUGCUAACAGACAAACCAACAAACAAACCAACGCUACCGAAAACAUAACCUCCUUGGCGGAGGUAACAAACAAGACCAACAGGGAGAAGAUUUAUGAUUUUUCUGUCAUAAUUUUUGAGGCCUGAAAAAAAAAACAAUGUUCAGAGGAGGUAGGUAUCAGCCAAGCAGCUGAAGAAACAGCCCUGCUUUACAAGUUACAUCUGGAUUAUCACAAUGAAUGACACAUUUGACCAUCUAAAGUCAGGAUGAAAGGAGCUUAUGUCAAAAGUCACAACUUUUGCAUGGUAACGAAACAUUGGCAAAGUUCGCUUGGUUCACCGCCAACUGCGAACAGUGUUGUUUUUUUGUUGGCGGAACAAAACUGUUCGGAUUUAACCUUGAAAGAAAAUGUUAAAUGUGAUUAAUAGAAGUGAAAAAGGAUCAUUUUUAGACUGUACAUUAAAUUAAAAUGUUUGUAACAUCCUUUGUUUCUCACUUGAAUGCUGCUGUCUGUCCUUUAACCCACACAAAUGUGGUUUCAAUCCAAUAUCUGAAAUAUAAUUACAGUCAAUCCUACACCAUUUACAUCCACAUAAUGAGACUGCAGUGUUUAUUUUUCUCUUACUGUGACUUUGUUGCUAUAUUUCUUGCUGCUUUACUGUAAAUGAGUUAAUAAGUUGAACAAUGCCAUCAAACACUAAGACGUGAGUCUUGUCCUCAUGCUUAUAGUCAAUACAAACAGAAAGAGACCCACUUGUACAAACAGACUUCCAUGGACGACCAUUCUUGGCAUGUUUCUUUCUUUUUUUUUUCUUUGUGUAUAGGGGCUCACCUCGCUAACACUAACUGGAUUUAGGGCAAUAAAUGUUUGAGGACAUGGACUUCUGAUCCUUCAACAUGACCCUGCAGGAAGAUGAAAGUUGCAAAAUCACCUGAACUCUGCGCAGAUGAACUGAACAGCUGCACAUACUUUUUUUUUUUUUUUGCUGACUCACAUUGAUGUUGAACGGUUUUGUGCAUGCACAAGCCCUGCAGUGUGCCAUUUUCUACCUCACGAUUAAUCACAAUAGGUUAAUAGCACCCUCACUCUUUGUGCAUGUUAAUCAGCUUCUCUGAAUAGGAGGAGGAUAAAGCUAAGUGCAAAGCUAAUAGAAGAAACUGCUGCUUGAGAAAGAGCCAGACAGGUUUACUGAUAGUCUGCUGUUAUAAGGGUUGUUUGCAUUUGGUCGCCUAAGUGAUUAAACAUUGUUAACUUUAUUUGUUGGCAGAAUAACAAAAGGGUUACAAGAAUAAUUACCAUAAUAUUCUUCUUAUUGUAGGCUUUAAGUGUUAGUCUUAUGUUGUGUAGCGCAGCCAUGCACUGUUAGCCGAGGCUGUAGCUCUGAUAACGGUCAUAAUAUGAUAAUGCUUAACUAUCUGGAUUUAAACAAGCACAGAUGACAUCUUCUUAACCUGCAGGAGGACCAAUUUAUGAGUUUAUUCACGUAAUAUUAAGGAUGUAAUCUUGUAAAUUUAUAACUAUUAUAAAUUCAUCACCUCAUUCUCAUUGUAUUCCAGAUUACAUCCGUUCUUGUAAAUGCACUAGAGUUAUUUCAUACAUUUAUGACUAUUUUGUCUUUUGACUGAAGUUUGGUCUCACAAGAUUACAGCUUUAAUCUAGCCAGUUUACAAGUUUACUCCCAAAUAAGUCUGUUUGAAUGCUCAUACAACUGGUAAAUUUAUGACUUUUUUCUCAAAAGCUUUGGUUGUCUCUUCCUCAAAGCUCAUGUAAGGAAAUUUCAGUAAGUGUUAAUUUUGGCGCCCCCUGUGGACAAAGUUGUUUUUACUUAUCUUGGCCCCUACAUGCUUAAGUGAUGUCUGCUGACAGGGAGAUCUCAUCCUGCUGACUUUUGACAGUCUCAUGUGUCAUUUAUUGUGAAUUUAUAUUUAGAGAUUGUAGGGCUGGGCGAUAAACUGAAAAUUUACAGAUACUGAAAUUUACGACAAUAACCAACGUCAUUUUGCCCAUGUCAAUAUAUUCGGUGUCAAAAAAAAAGAAUAAAUAAAAGUUGGUUUUGGAUGUGUGUAGGUAGGCUAUGGUCUCAUGUCCCUUUAAGACGCUGUCCUACAUCAGAGACAUGACUCCGACCCAUCCAGUCCGUAACAAAGAGGGAAAGACAGGUGAGGAGAUGGAGGACAGUUCAAAAGUUGAAGUGGCUGGAGCGGCGGCUGAAGUAGACGAAGUUAAUGUGGAGGGGGGUGAGCAGCUUGUGGAGUAGUUAUCGUCCAUUUAUUGCUAUCGAGGUGAACUGCUCAAUAUAUCGCAAUAUUGAUUUUAGGCCAUAUCACCCAGCCCUAAGAGAUUUUAAAAGAGGGCUUUGGUUUCAGGCAUGGCAAAUCAUGAUCUUUAAUUAAUUAAUUAUAGAUACCAUAAAACAGCACCUAUAAGAAUUUCAACCUGUUUCUUAGGUGUCAAAAAACUCCUUACAGGAGCUUUAAUGUGUCCUUAAACCUCUCUUGCUCUAAAUGCUGUUUUCGUCUCAGUUUCUUUGUUGAGUCCAUAACCCGCACCGUUAUUGCUGCUGUGUGAUGCCAGCAUCAAAAAUAAAACUGCCUGUUACCGUGAACAAAAAUUGACUUUCUUGCUCAUCUACCGUGGCCCAAUGAACCCUGGAAGACGCUGCCAAAUAAACGUAUCAACCAAAAUAAUUAACAUACAGUUUUCAUAAAAAAUAUGUCAAAGAUUAGACACUGUGGCUGUGCAGACAGUAACAGACAGCCAAUUUAUGAGCCUGUUUGACACAUUUGUUGCUCUGCUUUGAUUUAAUUGGCUCGUGGACUGAAACGGUCGCUGGCAUUCAGCAGGAACAAAAGGCAAAGUCCAAAGUCUGUGUAUCACUCUGGCAUUAAAACGUCAUUGUCUCUGAGAAACAGCGACCCUCAUUGAUUUACCCAGCACAGGCAAAUUCCCCCGUAUUUGUUAGAGUGCUUAUUUCAGAAUAUGCAUUAACAAGCCUAUUUGUUAGGUCAUUUCCAGACGUUUGCACAAAUGACUCCAGGGAUAAUUAUUUCUUUUGGUAUUGAAAGUCAUCCACUUAGUCAAAUAGGAGGGGGGAGAGGUGGGAGGCUUAUGCAAUUUUAUAUUAAGAAACUGUUGGACACUCAAUCAGGACGUGAUAGGUUUGGUUCAGAUGGCUUAAUCCACAUUAGACCCUAACCAGAGUGUAGCUGAUGGCCGGAGUGCUCUGUGCAUGCAAAAUAUAACAAGCCAGAGAAAAAUCAGGACGUUUGAACGGUCCGUUGAUGACUGUGUUAGCCGUCAUGGGAUUUGGCACGUGACUUUCUAAUUACAGCAGCGUAUCUUUUAGCCACUAGGGCCCCUCUUCUCCUUUUUUUUUUUUUUUUCUCCACCAGGGAAAUCAAACUGAGCGAGGUUUUUCCACUGGCGUUCGUUUGGAGUAAGGAUGUUUCUCCUUUUGCAUUUUCGUCCUUGGCCUUCACUUUCCCCCUUUACUUUCAGCUACAUCUCCCCCUGCUUACUGAGGUGUUUCAGGGCUUCCAGAUUCGGGUAUCCCAUGUCCUCUGAGGCUGAGCUGGCAGAGCGAUAUACUAACACUGCCAGGAUUAAGGGUUUUAGGACAUGUGUAGCUCAAUAGAUAGAGCAUCGACCUCACACUGCCAAGGUUAGGAAUCCAUCCACCGGAGCCACCCUAACCCUAAUGCUGUUUAGAUGUUUGGAUUAUGGAUGCAGCACAGGACAACCUCACCUCCGGAUCACAUGUUCUCCAGCUCUAUAUAUAAUGCAGGUGUGAACAUACCUUCAAGGUUGCUAUAGUGACAAGUUUACUACCGCAUGCGUAAAAGAAGCAAAAACAUGCUGCAGACAUUCCUGAGCUAAAAGAGCCGUGUAAGAGCAGCAUCUUUAUGAUUGAUCUGUGGCUGUAAGAAGGUCUCAUUUCUGUUUUCGAUAUUCUCAAAAAGAAAAGAUAACAUCCACUCUCCUAACCCAGCUUAGUCUCUCAGUGAGUGGUAUUCAGACGAUUCCCAACAGAGCUGUCAGUGAUUAUUUCAGAGCUGAUUAAUUCUUUUGACAGCUGAAUCGAGCAGAAAAAAGUGACGAAUAGACAUUAUCAUUACACACAGCUUUAAGGGUACACCAUGAUUGUUUCAUCAGCUUUGGCAAAUCCAGAGAUUCUUAGUUUUUGGAUUGAGUGCGGCAAAUAGGAGAUUGAAAAGACGGUGAUAUUUGAGAAGCAGAAAGCAGCAAAUAUUUGACUUUUCAGCUGAUAAAAAUGAGUCAAAGUGUAUUUGAGUGUUGGAACUUCUGAGGGUUUAAGUAUAGGUAACAUUCAACACUGGAGACGUGAGGAUUCAUUGAUUUGGACUGAUCCAGUGAUUGUUUGAACAAUGAUUCAAGUGUAUGAAAAAUAAGUGUGAACAUUGUUUUUUUUAAGGUAUUUUUUUCAUAUGGAUUACCUGCCACAUGCCUGUUUCAAUUUCUGCCUAAUUGCACCAGCUCAUUAACCUCCAAUUCAACUUCUGACUCUGUAAUAAAUUCCUUAAGUUUGUUCACAGCUUUGCUGGCGUAGUCAGGAUUUAUGACCUAUACUGCAGCCUGUCAACAGAGGGUGCUCUUCUCGGAGUGGCUUCACCCAACGAGGAGGCAAACGCUGUCCAUUCUAUAUACAGUCUAUGUGCUUAAAGCACUGCAAAAAACAUACAGUAUGCAAAUCGCUCUGCUGGUCAUUAAUUCUUUUAUCAUGUGGCCCUACUUCACAAUAACGGCUGUUAUAUUAAUGCCUUUUUUCUUUUAGCCCCGGGUGUAUUGUUCAUGUAUACUGAGAUUUUGAUACUCAUUAUUUUGCAGCUGAAUGUGCAGCUUUACUGUAUUUAAUUUUGAGUCAUUCCCCAAUGUCUGACUCAGCUCUGCCAAGAAGAUACAGGGGACAUGUAAUCUGCAAACACUAUGAGAUUAUGCUGAUUACACAAACCUACAAUGAUAGCGACACAACGUAAAACCAAAACAUGUAAAAGUCACAGUGGUCUGUUUUUUUUUACACCAGCACAGUAACAGGGUUUAUUUUAGCACUAGUUAAUGAUAAUGAUAAUGAAGCCUGAGUGUUAAAUACAGCUUAAAGUAACAUGUACUAAAUCGAUCAAACAGCUACUGCCUGAUUAGUACAGUAUCUGUCCUCGAUGAGAAAGGGAGCCAGAGAUGGACACAUUAAUUUAGCGGUACCUAACUCUACGAUCUCAUCUGAAGCCAAGGCCCACAAAUAGUCCCCAGUGUGCUAAUUCUCCUGUUUAAUUAAGACCAACAAGCACAUUUCAGGUGCCACUUCUCUUUACAUUCAGAGCACUCACCUGUUGUUGAGCUCUGGGAAACACCAGCACAGGACUAAAGCACCCUCUUUGUUUUGUACAGUUGUUGGCUUUGUUUGCCAUCCCCUCUUUCUGCUAAAUUGAGUCCUGAAUGGAGUGUGAGCAGCAUCCAGAAAUCCUUUUGCAUUGUCGCUUGAAUAGGUUGUUCCUGGUGAGAAAAAUAGUCUUGUUAUAGCCAAAUCUCUGGACUGAAUCAGACUGAGCCAUGAACUGUCGAGUCUGCAAUUCACCCCCUUCCUCAAGGCUAACUGGGUAUUUAAUGACCAGUCAAUCUCACAUCCAAGGGGACACUCAGGUUAGGAGCCGUUUCUGUACAUUAAAACCUCAUCCCUCUGAGUUGGAUAGUUUAAAAAGAGAAGUGAAACCAGGGACAAGACAACCGGAGUUUUUUUUUGUGUGUGUCGGAGAUGAUUUUUUUACAAGUUGGAAACAAAGCUGCUGAGUUACCGUCUGAUCUGUGACUAAUUUUAAGAACGAACACGAUUGUUUUUGCAUAUUUGUUCCAGCCUCCUAAAUACAACGAUAUCUGACUUUGUUCUUUAAAGAUUUUGAAGUCUCUCUGGAAUAGUGAUUUUUACAGGUGAUUUUCAUUCAAAAGUGCUCCCAUUUUCAGAAAGUUUUUACAUUUUCUUAAGAAUCAAGAAAACAGGUUAUGAGCAACCGUUUUUGUAGUAUGAGUCCAUGUAUUGGACUUGAAGCCGCAGACUCGAGACUCAACUCAACUCAACUCGAGACCCAAGUUUUGACUGUGUUGGGACUUAGAAGAUGGAAAGGAGAACUAGUAUGUAUUUACUGAUAAGGGCUGUUUAUGUUGGUGUUACACCCAGAAGUGCGGAAAACCAGGGAUGAACAUAGGAGCAACCCUUGUCUCUCACAACCAAUUCACUUUUUGCAGGUCCAAGUCAAUUCUUGAGUCCCCUUUGCCAAAUCAAGCUGAAGUCAAAUAAAAUUAAAGUAAAAUAAAAUCAUACUGUUGUAAAAAUAAGAGCUGAAACACUAUUUUCUCAUUUAUUUCCUCAUUUAAGUCCAAUCUGGAUAAUCAAAUUUCAGUGUGGGCACCCCUGGGGUUGGGGCACCCCUAACUAUACCCUUAAUCCACCCCUGGCAUCUGCAUCUCGUCAUUUUUAGCCUUAAGGCCUGCCUCCUGCCUGCAGUGUCUUUGUAUCUGACUCAUUAGCAGGACCCUGAAUAACACAACUCAAUAUUUGAAGGCUUUCUUAUCGCGACAGGUGACCUGCGCAGAUGACCACCUGUUGUGAUAAUGAUCCAAAACUGAGCACCCAGCACCCAGCUGUGAAGAACUUUUAAAACAUGUUUGACAUUGAUCUCAACCAUUAGCCCACAUUAAAAUGAUGAACUACCAUGUCUGCCUGUCUUUAUCCCAGAUCACCUGCAGAGCAAACACUAUUCACAAGGAGCAAGCAUGGAUCAUUUAUUUAUCGAGUGGAUGAAAACUGCCUAAAAUUUGUCUGUAGUUAUGCUUGAGCAGCCUUGUGGCCCAUGUUUGAGAAGCUCUGUGCUGUUGCAGCAGCAGGUGAUGUGGUGAAUCCCCUCCAGCACCAGCAGCAGAAAAUUACACAUGAUAAGAGGAAAUGAUGAUAAGCUGCUGAUAUUAUUGAGACAAAAACACAAAUAAAGAGUGUGCAUGAGUCCCAAAGCUCAAGUCCGCGACAAGUCUCAAGUCUCUUUGGGUUGAGUGAGUCAAGUCAAAAGUCACCUUGGUGUGCAACUUAAGUGCAAUGUGAGUACAAGUCUCAAAUUUGAGUCCCAAAGACAAAAAACAUACCCGAUUCCCUCACAUAAACAGGAGAAACAAAAUGUGCAAAAACUAAAGGCUAAUCUACCCUACCACUACUUGGACAGCUAAAAAAAUGCAUCAGCAGUAGAAGAAGGAGGCAGGGCCAAGAGUUUUUCCUCCCACACUCUUAAAAAACAGCAAAGAGGAGAGAGGAGCACACACUCUAAAAGAAAACAGCAUCACACUAGGCAGAGAGGCAGAACCAACAUCACAUAUGAAUGUCACAAAGUCAGUAUAAGACCCAUGUCAUUUAUUCAGUUGAGAGAGAGGAUAUGUAUAUUCAGAGUAAACCGUGGGAGUGGAACACAGUAUCAUCAGUAGAGAGGUAGGGCUGCACGAUAUAUCGUUUGAGCAUCGUCAUCGCGAUGUACAUGUGCACUAUAGUCACAUUGCAGAGCCUGCGAUGUAGGAGGCGAGUAAACUAAUCUAAUUAGGAAUUAGCAUAAAUGCUCAUUUUAAUCCGUUGUCCUAAGGCAGUUGUUUAAAAACAUAGAAACAAUACAUUAUAUAUACACAAUACACUAUGACACUAUUCACAUAGAAAAGAUAAGAAGGGUUACUCAUGAGAGCCGGUCUGAUCAAAUCAAAAUAAUCCUCAGCAUGAAAUCAAUCAACUAAAAGGUUUUUGCUUUUUGAAAGGUUUGCUGAUAAUGCCACCCCUGAGUACUUUUUUAACCCUAAAAUCAAUUUAGAAAUUUUUCCUAACUGUGAAUCAUUUCAGUAAUGUAUAGCUCACAAACAUUUCAGGCACACAUACAAAAGAUACAAUCACAGGAAUCUCUCUCCAAGUCUCUGGCUUUGUUAUUUGGGAAAGCUAUUGAUUGAGAUUACUGGAUCCUCAGAGCUUUGAUGUUUCUGCACACCACGGCGUCCUGCAGGACAUCUUUGUCUCCUCCACAAAAAGACAUCCUCAUCAGCCCCUCUGUGUUGAGAGAUUAUCUUUCAGCAGGUUUCACUUUUUAUCCCAUCAGGCAGACACACACAGCUCCCCGUGUGGAGCAACAUGUGGUUCAUUGGUUCAAAAACUGUUUGUUGCUCAUGCUGUACGGAGCCUAAUUAUAUUAUCAGCUCUGAAAUACAGUUAAUAAGUAAAUGCAAACAAAGGACAAAUCCCGGGAUAACUGUUCAUGGCAAAAGUCAUUAAUUUAAAAUGUAUCUUAAUUAGAAUCACUGACAUACGGCUAAUUAAAAAGCAACCGAAGAAAAGUUUAAAUUGAGGAUGGAGAGAUAAAUAUGUCCGCUCAAAGCAGUGACUGUAAAAUGUUAUCUUCAAGUUUUGUUCAAUUAAUCCAGUCCCUAUGGAGGACUGUAACAGUUCUGCAUCAUUAUGGGUUUACAGUGGAAGAAUCUGAUUUAGAGAAAUAAUAACUCGUAAAAAUCAGUGCGAGGACUCGGCAUCUAAAAAUAAUUUAUUCAUGUCUUCAGUUUUAAUUCUGCUCAGAGACAACACACUACGUUUCUUCGGAUGGUUUCUUCUCAUCCAGUGAAUCAAACUAAGUGUGAUGAUGGUUGGAGAUGCUCUCAGCAGCCUUGGUUUGGAUGGUGCUGGUGUCAGACCUGGUUGUUUUAUGAUCAGGUCUAGAUUGAGUUUUGUUGUUGAGCCUUGAUUGCAACUGCAGCUCUGCUCAUUUCACAUAUGAACAGCUCUGCAGACACCGCACCACGCUGUAUCAUCAAUGACACGCUAAAUCUCCCCACUGCCAAAGGGUCCCACUGUUGUGGAACAAGACCAGCUGCUCUCUCCAUCUUCUUUGCAUUUGUGUGAAGUUGGAUCAAAAAUCAACUCCUACUGAAAAUGUGCACGUAGAAAGAUGGAGCAGAGCAUCUUAUUAUUAUUUCAACAACAUUUUAGACAGUAUUGGACUGUAGACUGUGUAUGAAAAGUGGAUAUUCAAGCUUUCAAAAAGUGGCACCACAAAGAAAGUUUCAUAGACUUCCUCUUUUAUGUCAAGCCGAGACAUUUGGUGUUAGAGCUCUGAUCACAAGCCGGGCAGUUCCAAGCAGUGUCCAUGGUUUCCAAAAAGAACGUCAGAUACCUCAGACCGCAGGACAGUUUCCUGUUUCGCCUCAGUCCAUCUUGAGUGAGCUUGGGCGCUGGAGAAGUUGCUGGCCUAUCUGGAUCGGGUUUAUAUCUUGUUUCCCUUUUUGUACUGAACAGUUUUACAGUUUUGAACCUUGUAGAGAGAUUCCUCAUAAUCUGUGAAUAUCAUCAUCAUCUACUGUAGAUGAUGAAGUACUGAAAUGAUUGUGUGAUGAGUGUCAGACUCUCUGGAGCGCUCUUUUAUACCCUGUCACUUGUUGCAAUUCAACCUCAUUGGUCUCCUAGACAGUAGGAGCCAGAUGAUACCACCAAUGACACCAUUUUUAUGUUCAGAUCCAACCCAAGAUCUAUGUAGAUCAUGUAAACUGAGUACUGAGUUUGUAGUACUGUAAAAUAGUGUAAAACAAUUGUAAAAUACUGUUGUCAUGGUGAUUCCGAUUGCACCCUUUGAAUUGCCAUCUUAUCUUAUCAGAACUGGCGUGUUCCAGUUGUAUUCUGAAGUUGGGAUUUCCGAGGUCUGAGUCGGAAAUUCAUCUGGAACGCCCCCCUAAAGUCGACGUCUGACUUCUGUUUUGUUUUUGUGAAAUUCAAUAAGUGGUAUUUGUUGUUCUGCUCAACAUCUAACUGUAAACACGAUGAUACGGUGUUUGUAAGAGUAAAAUACUGUGUUAUACGUUGUUCACAACUGGUGUAGCUAACAACAACUUACAACCACUGACAACCGCUAACAACAACUGACAAUGGCUAACGACAGCUGACAAUUGUUAACAACAGCUAACAACUGCUAACAGUAGGCGUCCACCUUGGUUUUCCUACUUGUUUACUGGAACGCCAUAAACCUACUCAUUUCCAGCUCUGACAUCCGACUUCCAAGGUAACUGGAACGCAGCAUGAACAUGUUUACAGUCAUAUUACUAAAAACUUCUGCAGUGACACUUGAAUCAGAAUACGGUGACUGAACCUGACCAGAGCCUGACCACAUAUAAAUGUACAGUAUACCCCACGUUGGCAUGACCUGUCUGAUUCUGUCAGAUCUCAGUGGGCUUUGAUUAGGGUUUCCACCAUCUUCUGCAGACAUCUCUUCAAAUAACAGUGCAGCACUAGUAGUAACAGUAUCAAGUGUGGUAUUGUGAGAUUUUCUACAAUGCACUCAUAUCUGCGCACACAAGCUCGUAAACCCGCUGGUCCUCUUUACAGUCUUUUUCCUGAUAUAACCCUUGUGUCGUUUGACAUUUCAAUACAGCAGCGAGAUGAUUUUCUGAGCUCUUCUCAUCUGGAGAGUUCACCAUGUUGCCUCGGGAGUCCCGUUCUUCAACGGCACAAUAGCUGUUGGACAUGUCACCUGCUGCCUGUGUUUAUUUGCUUCAGUCUAAAUGGUGUGAACAGCCUGUUAUGAGCUCCCUCAUCUAAUCCACUGCUGGAGUUAUUUAUACUGCUGUAUUGUCACUGCGGAUCCACUCUCACCGGGAGUCUGAGGGCUGCGGAGCACUCAUUGUCAUGUGUCAUUGUCUGACUGACUGAACAUGCAGCAUCUUUGAGCAUCUCUAAACCGCAAAAAGGGCCUUAUCUUUCUCCCUGCUACAUGGAUGGUGGGAGAGAAUAAUGCUGCAUUUACAAGAUUACAAAAACAAAUCUAGUGUUGAUUUGACCUUUCAACCCCGGCCCAAGGUGGCAAGUGAUGCAGAGAAGAAAAUACGUAUAUAUAUAUAUAUAGAGAGAGAGGAGCAGGGAGAGCUGCAGUCCAAAUGCAGGUGAGUUAAGACCCGGAUCGGAUGUCUGGGGAAUACAAGCCUCCGUUUGUUCCAUUAGUCUCCUCCCCUGGCACAUCCUAUUCCUUCGGGGAAUUAGCCUGUCGAUAAGAAAGCAUCAAACCCACGGGGGGAAGGAUGGAAUCCAUUUAACCAGCCUUUUGUUUCCGUCAUUUUUCAGCCGCCAUCUGGAAAAUGUCAUAGCAACCUUAUCACAAAAGUCACAUGCUAGAGAGUCUACAGUCGGCGUCUGACAGAUAGAAGAGUGUUGGAAAUAAUGUGACAUGUCAGUUCAUAUAUGGACAAAUCAGCAGCUUGCCAUUUUACUGAGUUAGCCUUGGCAGGAAAUGGAUGCUUAUUCAUUCAGCAAUGCUGGGAUGAUAGUUCAUGUUCUUGGGUUGAAUGUGUCGUGCCAUACUUUUCACAAUGUCAGUAUUUCAUGAAAAAUCCAAACUAUGUUUACUGUGGUGUUUAACUUUGACUGUUACAUCAUAUGCUCUCUAAACGUUCUUCAUUUCUCUCGUCCAAAGUUCUUUUUAGAGUUUUUACAGGUCUUGAUAGCUGUGUAGUUUAGUUACAGUACUGCUUAUUGCAGUGAUAGUGAUAGCUACGAUAUAGAUGCAGCCGAAAAAAUUAGAAUAUUUUGAAAAAGCUAAAUAUUUUUCAACAGUUUUGUGAGAAAUUGGAAUUGUGAUUCAUUAUGGACUCGUUUAAUGUAAACAGAAAAGCAAUGACCACAACCACAGAGGUAUUGUCAAAAAAAGUUGAAACAUGAACCUGGGAGAGCUUCACAAGGAGUCAGUGGAUCAGGAGCCCGAUAAAGGACAGGAUCUACAGCUGUCCUGCUUCUAAUAUGAGGACACUCAUACUACUCACACUCAACCGGACACAACAUCAGAAUUGGAUAAAGAGGAUUAGACUGUAGCCUAGUGGUUUCAAAGUCCUCUACUCAGAUAAAGGUCAAUUUUGCAUCUCAUUUUUGAAUCCAAGUGUUUGGAGAAAGAGGCACAGAGUCCAAGAUUUGUGAAAUCGAGUUUUUGCACUGUUUAAUGAUUUUUGGGCGCCCUGUCACCUGCUGGUGUCAGUCCACACUUUAGAGAUCAUGAUCUUGCUUCUAUGUGCUGCCAAGCUUGAUGACGAUGCCAUUUCCCUUUUCCAGCAGGACUUGGCACCUGCCCACAGAUCCAAAACUUUUACUGAUACCAUUGUGCUUGAUUGGCUGGCCUGAAGCCUGUGCAGAAUUUGUGAGAAAGACCAAACACAAAAAUACAGACCAGCUUGAAGCCACUCUUGAAGCAACCUCAGCAGAGUAAGAUGCUUCAUGCUAAACCCUGUUGCUGCAGUAAUUUGUUAUGAAGAGGCCUGAAUCAAGUAUUGAAUGCACUUAUGUACACACUUUUAGAUGCUGAUUUUACAGUUCUGCAUUUCAAGCCUCUUUUGAUUGGUUAAAGGGAAUAUUUUAAUAAUUUGAAAAACUUGAUUUCAUAUUUUCAAGAUCUACAACCAAAAAUGAAGCAAAUCUAAACAGAAUCAAAAGGGCUUGAGAUAUUUUAUUUCACAUCCAAUGAAUGUAAAACAAAUGGACAUUUACCUCUGUAAAUUCAGCUACAACAAUAGGACUUUUCUAUAAUAUUCUACUUUAUUGAGCUGCAUGUUUAUGUCAUAGUAGUUUCUUUUGAUGUUUCAGAAGUUCAUACUUUUCAGCCAUUAUUGGCUCAUGGACAUAUAGUGGCCGAUGUGCAAGAGUAUUAUAUAAUCACUGAGAAAGAUCAGAGACAUGACAUGCAAUUUGCAAAGAUGUCCCAUUGACAUUUUUAGAAGGACUUAAACAGCAGGGAUUAGAGCUGGGCUAUUCAACUCUCAUGGCAAGGGGGCCAUAUGGAAUAAUCACAGAGAGCUCCAGGCCACACAGAGUGUUUUGUCAAUAACGGCUUCAAGUAGCUCAUAUGCUCACUGUAUGAUAAUUAUAGAUUUUAUUAUUUCACAUAAUGAAAUAUUUUAGUCUUGACUGUCCACCCAGAACCUCUAAUGCUUUGGUUAAUCGAUUGUAGUUGCAUGGUGUCAUCUUAGUGAAAAGCAAAUAUCUUAUUUGGUUUAACAAAUAUACUUGGAUGAGCAUAAGGAAGGUUUAUGUGCAGGGAAACAGUGGGUAUCCAGUACCUCAGUAAUAUUCAUCAUACUGCACACACAAACCUUGCUGAUGUGUAGGCGGUCUCUGGAGAGCGAUAGAAACAUUAUAAGGGGUCAUAAUGAGGGGCCCAGGGGCCACUGAUUGGACAGGGCUGAACAAGAGGGAACCACUGGCAACAGUGAAUAACAAUAUAUCGUAUAGCUCAUUUGAAAAACAAAUGUGAUAUAUUGCAGAGACUCAAAGAAAGAACAAAUAUGAGUAAUAGUAUUAGCUUCCAGCUAGAUUGUACUUUUUAACAUUAGUUUGUCACAACCUGUGUUGUAAUAUUGCAAAUACAUGUCAAAUUUCAGUUUGUAAUACCAGGAAUAACUGUAUGGGUGGUAGGAGUUUCAGAUCCUUGGACUUGAAUGCGUUGUGGUUUUUCCUGUCUGCUCGAUAUCCCACAUUUCACAGGAGCAGCACUGUAUUUACUUCCACCAUUUCCCAGAAAUUUCAAGAAAAAAAAAAAGCCCUGCACACCCCAUGAUAUCUCUAUUUCAAACAACUACUUCUUGAAGACAGCACCCUCUCCUUUUUUAAGUGAGUCCUUCUCCCCCCAAUUGCUGUAUGCCACGAGGCAGCAGACAAGCAAUUAGUCCACAAAGGCCAGACAAUUACAGAGACUGCAGCAACACUUCAAAGAGGACAGGGCAUAAAUCCUUAAGGGCACAGUCUGCAUCCCUUCACACAUCUUCUCCGGUUGGCAGUUUGUUAUUUAGUCUGCAGCGUGUGAACAGAACCAGCUGCAAUGUGUCAGUCAGAGUCUUUGCCGAGCCUCAGGCGAGAUAAAGCAGCAGAAUCGUCCUGCAAACAGAGAGAGAGAGACAGAGAGAGAGAGAGACCUGUCAGUGAGUUUGGGGUGCCUCGUCUGUGCUGUAAGCGUUUGCUUCCCUGCUGUGGCGCUGCUGUGAAUACUUAGCCCGUGCCAGGUCUGACCUCCUCUGAUGUUUUCACUCUGAAUGCACAUUUGCAUCUGAAUCAACUGCCUCUAAGUCACACAGCAUUUUUUUUUGCAACAUAAUGCAAAUGAAGUCGGUGUCAGAAUCAUCUCUGUUAUCUGUAAACUGCUGGAUAGCUUAAUGGGAGGAUGGGCUGUCUUAUAACUGGAAGGUCACUGACUCAAUCAUACGGCUGCUAACGUGCUAUUAUCUGCCAGUCGUCCGGUGAUGUGUAAACGCGCUGAGAGAGAAUGGAAAUACAGCUGGAAGCAAAGAAGAAAAAAACUGUAUGUACUUUUUUUUUUAGGUUUUUGAAAAACACCACUCACAUGAAACAAAAAGCACUGUUUGUUUUUGUUUUUUUUACUCUUGAGUGAAAAAUUAGAGAAGCAGAGGAUGAAAAGCUGCUGCUCUCAGCUUCUUGCCAAUUUCUUGAUUACGCUGUUGUUGAUUGGAGGAAAAAUACUAUCAUUAGAAGAAAUUACAAUAAUUUGUUGAAAUUGCAGCCUGUGUUCAAUUUUUGGAGUGUGUGGGGUGAAAUAUGGGGCACGAGUGUGGCAACCAGGAAAAUUUGAGCUGAAUUUUCAACAGACAUUGUUCACAAAAUACCUUAAAAAAAAAAAAAAAAUAAAGAUAUUCAAGUGAGCAGUGAUUCACCACACUGUCAUCAAGCACUUACCUUUACUCUGAUAAACAAGGUUUUUCACAUAUCUGUCAUUUCAGGACAGAUGCUUAGGCUUUCAUUGAAUUCCUUCUAGGUAUGAACACCAUUUGGGCAGAGUAGAAAUGUUAUGCAUUUUGAAAUAAUAAUGCAGGAAAAUAAAAGGACAAGAUCCAUCUCUUCCAUACUUCAGUCCUUUUUACCAUCAGCUCUACCAGCACCAAAGCACACAUCUAUAAAACAGUCUGUACUCAGUUCCAACAAAGUCAAGAGUUUUCCAAAGUGAAUUACUUUCUUGUACUUUUUAGGAGAAUAUAACAGUUUUCCACAAUUUUCAUGAUCAUGCACUUUUCUUUUCUGUCACAUUCAUUUAUAUAAAAGCAUUUCCUUCUCCCUUCUCUUCCAUCAUUUUGAAAAUAUUCCUCUUCAUUGCGUUGGGCUUGUUAGUUGUGAUCUGUUUGCGAUAGAGCUGAGCAUUACCUGCAUGAAUUUCAGUCAGUCCUUAUCUUUGCGUCACUGUGCACUUUACUAUAUUGCUGUUGUUUCUGUUGUCCUGUGCUGUAUUGUAUUGUACUGUAUGUGCUGUGUUGUAUGUAUGCUGCUUACCCAUGUGUCCAAGACAGAAUAAAUGAACCCUGAACCCUGAUCCAUUGGUCCUGGGCAACACUCGAGUGGGCUAAAUAAUUUUACUUAGUUAAUAUCACAAUUCUGCUAAAUAAUCCGGGCUCACAAAGGGGUAAAUGAUCCCGUCUGUGACUUUACUGCAGCACUAUUCACUCUGGCUGUGAACUAAUAUCUUUUAAAAGUGCAGAUGCAGACUACGGAUAAGGUUUUUCAAAGACACACUAGUGUACUGCAACAUGAACAAAAACCUGCGACCAGGCACGUGUUGUUUUCUGUCCAAGUUUCAUCUGGUGUGUGACGUGACUGUAACAUAUGGCCGUAUCUCCAUGACUACAAGCUCAUUCUGAAGUGACAGAAUUAAAUCAUAUGUUAAAUUAAGCUCAUGUAUUCAUGUUUUUUUUUUUUUUUUUUUUUUUUUUUUGCAGGAAGAGAAGAAUUCGCAAAGUUCAAUGGAAAAAGAAAAUCUGGCACAUUUUCUGUCUUCUGUUCUCCUCCAACUGCUUGACAAUCACAGAGGAGUAGUCAUCCUGCGGAGAAGCUGCAUCCCAGAGCGAGAGCAUUCAGCACUGAGUGUUGUGUAAGAAAUUACUACAAUUAAUUCAGCUCCCUGAAGGGCAGACGAGUUGGCAGGAAAUGAAGCCACUCGAGAACAAGAAUCCCAUCCGUCACUCCGAGGAGACUUAAUGUUGACAUUUGGGUGGUCCCAUUAUUUUGACCUUACCUUGUAUGUAAUUAAUCAUAAAAAGCUCCCGGGAUUCGGAUAAGCUGUCUGUUUCGGCUCUGAAACACGUAUUUCAAAGUGCUUUUCGUGAAAUCACUCAAGUGCAAAAUUACAGCUUCGGUUACGUGAUUGAGCUCUAUCAGGUUCGUGAUUAGCUGUCUAGCAUGAAUGUGAACCGGUGUCUGGCUGUGAUUGUUCCCCUGGCCACUGAGCAGUCCUCGGUUUGAUGAUAACCUCCUUGAAAUCCAGAUGAGUCGUGUGUAUCGUCUUCAGCACCUCUAUUGCAGGACGAGUUGAUUCAAGGGGCAGGGUAUCUGAAAACAAACCAGUUUGCACGCUCUGAAUAUUUAAAUGGAGCUUCUUUUCUUUUCAACCUCUGCGACUAUGGGAAUUAUUUAGAUACCGCCGUCUGAAUGUUGAGUGUAUUGACUUCUUUUCAUGUUCAUGUGGAGAUAUUUACAUCUGCGUACGUGCCUCUAAUAGCAGCACAAACUGUUUUAAUCCUGGGUCAAACAUAAACGCCGUCAGAGGGUUUUCUGCUCUGAGGGUGCUCGUACAGCUCUCGGUGAACCAGCAGCCCCUCUGCUUACAGGAAACAGCUUGAAGAAAUGCCACUCACUGGAAAAACCAAACAUUUUUGUUUGAUUGUGACCAAUGAAAUGAACACAUAGCUCAGGUGUUGAAUUCAGACAGUUAAAUCUGUUAGACCUUGACCUAAUGAGGACUUCAACUUGCUGGUGCUCAAGUGAAAAAUCAGUAUGAAGUAUGGGUGAGUGGGUGUGUAAAUGCAGCAGGUAAUAGCCUGGACCAAUCACCACAAAAGAGCGGAGAGGUAAAUGAUCUCGUUGACAUUGAACAGUUUGAAUUUUUUUACUGCUACCAAUAACCACUGGCAUUUGUUCCAGUUUCUUUUUAUUUGUAAAGUGGAAAGUCCUUAUACAAGUCCUAUUAAGUCGAAACCAUUAUGGUAGACCACUUUAGACUUUUAGGACUUUGUUGGCUCAGCUCAGGCACUGAACCAUGCAGGGUGGAAAAAAGUACAGUUAUGCACUAACACAAAUCAAUAGCAUUUAUUCACUCUUCUCAUUUCUACUAAGUUUGCUUAAUUUUUAAACUACUAAAACUGAAAAUGUAAAACAGACGUUUUGUUCCUAUGUGUAUCAUUUUGGCACACAACAGAAUUCAAACUUGUCUAUCUACUUGGCCUAAUUCAAACAAAAAAAGGAUGUUUUUCCAAAAUCAUUUAUGGGAAAAGCUUUGCAUUAAACUCAAAGACUGUUGCAACAUGAUCCAAAUUUUGAUUUGAAUAUUUGUCCCACCCUGGUACAGCAAAGAGCCAACCAUGGUCAAUGCGUUUACAUGCACAGUUUUAAUCGGACUAAGCUCAUAAUUUUUUUUUUUUUUCGCCAAAUCGGACUUCUCUCUUUCUGCGCGUAUACAGGCUAGCUGAGAAAAUUAAAUUAUUUAUGUGAACGUGCCCUCCUCCCAAAAACCAGGGGGCGAUAUGGGUCUUUUAAGCUGCGCUGUUUCUGACCCCAUGCAACUGUCAACAACAACAGCAGGUCCAUGCCAGACAUCAGAAGUGGCUACAACUGCUGCUGGGCAUUUUCAAACAAGAAGAUGGAGCAUCGUACAGUGUCGUUUUUGUCGUACAUGAUGCACGCGCUACUUUUUCUGCA